rnacentral:lncRNA from 1 species
AAAUCUUCUUUCUGUUCAUUUAUUUACUUCUUUAGGUGUUAUAGGCAAUAGCUUCAAUGUUAGUUUUAUUGUUCUUUUUUGUUUGCUUUUGGUGUUUAGUGGGUGUGUGAGUGGGUGGGGAAGAAGAAAGCUUAAGUGGAGCUACUGGCUGGAACAGGAAAAUAAUUGGAAUCAUCUAACUUUUGAUGGACUGAUGGAAUGAUACCUUGUGUGGACAGACCGUACUCAUUUUUUGUAAUAUUUCAAUAAGUUACAAAUCUAUUUUGUCAAGGAACUAUUUCAUUCCUCUCUUUCCGGAAAGCCAUCCAGGUGCAUUAUUUAGACACUUAAAGCAGCUGAUCUCAUAUUCUCACUUUUACGUAGAAAGCUUUGUCUUUUCUUCCAUCAUAUUUGACACACAAUUACCCUUCGACAGCAAUUAUCUGGGAAAUUCAUUUUCUUUGUGUUUGGCUUGGAUGGAGUAUAGUGUACGAAUUUGAUUUAGGUAUGUAUACUAGGCAAGAAAUGGAGGGAGAUGUAAUCUUUUUGUGCAUUGCUAUAUCUGAACUUAUCCUACCGUGUAAAACUGUUACACAAAUGUUUGAAACAAGGUAACUUUCCCAUCAAUUACUUAGGAGCUGCCUUGAGAACUGAAAGAUAUUGUUUCUUUGUGGCUCCACCCAAGAAUCCCUUUGAAUCAUAUUGUAUUGACUGAAAGGCACACUCUCUAUCAUAUUGUAUUGACUGAAAGGCACACUCUUUAUUUGUCAGGCUAGCACAACUGACAACUGCUACUCGUACAAGGCAAUAGGUGUUUAGCCACGAAUAGUAUUGUUUUUGGAAAAAAAAUGAAUUAAAAAGUUCAUUUCACUUUGUAACUAUAUGGUGGAAAUUUUCAGUACAUUAUUUUUAUGUACAUAUUUCUGACUUUGUUCAUUCUCUUGCAUCACCAGGCGUCCAAUUCCAUUUGAUGAGCUAAAGAGGCUCGGCAUUCCUCCUCCACCAGAAGGAAGAUAUAUGUCACGUUUUCAGGUAUUGUUUCUUUCAUCUUUUUUUUUUUUUCUCUUUUUUAGGAUUAUGAUAACCUAGAUUCCCGCACCGACCCGGACCAUGAGUCCUGCCCGGCCAAGCCCUAAACUAGGUGUCAGUCAGGUGCCCCAACUCCAUGAACUAUGAGACGGUGGAAUUUUUAAGUUCACUAGAAGGAUUGAACCUGAGACAUCAGUACAACCAAGCACUAUGUCUCAAGCCCACAACCAACUGGGCUGCCCCCUUGGAGUGUAUUGUUUCUUUCAUAUUACAGACCUUUUAGGGCACAAAAUACUGUUUCCAGGAAUUCUUUUUUCAUUUUGGUUCUUUAAUUUUCAUUGUAGGUCCCAUCACCCCCUAGAAGCAGAAGGUGCUCUAUAGAGAAGGAAGAAAACACUUGCAGUAGGAGCUUGAAGCACAGUGAAGAACGUACUCACAAAAGUAGCACCACGGAGAAGGAAGAGAAACACUAUAGAAGCUCUUUGGAGAAGGAAGAAUCACAUCGUAAAAGCUCUAUGGAGAAGGGGGUCGCAAAAGAAGCUUUGUGGACAGAGAAGAAAGCCAUUACAAAAGAAGCACUACAGAAGGGGAAGAGCGGUCACGGUCUCAUAAGAGGAGCUCUACAGACAAGGAAGAGAGCUCUCACCAAAGGAGGAGCUCCAAGGACAAGGAAAAGCACUCCCACCACUGCCAUAGUAAACGGUCUCGCAGACGUGAGAGAAGUUCAUAUGGUGAGGAUCACUAUACUGAUUACUGAGAUGCUGAAUGCUGGCCACUAUAGGGAAACGUUUGGUUUCAGUUAACUGCAGGUUUGAGUUGUGUAUGUAUAAACUGAUGAGUCCAUGCACUCACUCGGGUGAAAAAUAUGGAUAACUUGCUUAAAAUUGUAAAAUACCGAUUUCUGAAAAUCUGAAGCUAAUACUAUAUCGCUGUUGUUCAAGUGACAUAAUGGCUUCAGCACCUAAACGGAUUGUGGAUCAAUGUGAUUUCAGAUAUCCCAUAAAAGCUAUCUAUUUUGCCAAACACUGCUACCGCACUAAAUUCCAAAAUCCAGCGCCCCUAAAAACAGCAUAAUUAUGAAAUCUUUUAGCUAAUUCAUGGCCAAUUUAAACAUAGAGGUAAUUCAAAAAGGAAGAAUGAAAAAAAAAUCAAAUUCAAAGACCCAAGAUUAAAUGAGGGAAUUAUUCAAAUCUUCACUUGUUAGGAAGUUUGUUCUACUAUAGGUUGAGAUCAAGCUCUCUGCAAAUCCUUCCACUGUAUAAUCUGUUAAAUCAUCUUGAAAGCCAUCAAUUACAUAAUCUUUAUAUGUUCCAUCUUUUGGAUCAAAAAGUACAAAUUUCUCGUCUAAAACUGACAAAAUAAAAUGACUGGCCUUGAGGGAACACAAUGGCUGCAAUACAGGAACUGAAUUGGCUGAUGAAAUUUUCACACGUUCUGUCAAUGGGAUUAAACAAAGACAGUCUCCUAUGACUCAAAUUGAAUUGGAUGAAGAUAAAGAAUGAUCAUCAAAAUCAUUUUCAUUGGGCAAGGCUAAGAAUUUGAACUUGUCUUCUUACAAAUCGAACGCUGCAAUCAUCAUCAUGGAGCGAUGAUCAAAAGAGUGUCGGUGAGCGUGCAAAAACCAAAGUGGAUAUUUCCCUUGAGUGUGAUUGCCCAAGAAUUUUGUUAAAAAUAUUGAAAUUUGGUUUCAAAAAUUUUCCAAGUAUAGUCCUUUAAGAAAAGUCAUGCAUACCUACUAUAUUCUCUCUGUAAGAUUGAGAAAUUCCCAAAAGCUUGAAGUCAUCAAUUGACUGAGCAUAACCAGAGCCAUGUACUGUUGUAUUUAUUUUGUUGAAAAGGUUCAUAGUCUUUUGGUAUUAUUCUCUUGACCUCUGUGGUGCAACAAUUGUAUAUAUAUAUAAAGACAAAUUCUGCUUGAGUUUCAGCUUCAAUGGAUAAGCACAACAAACCAUUACAAGAACAGUGGGUCCAAACAGAAUCACAAGAGCCUUUUCCGAUUGGGAAAUUAAUAAGCCGAUCGGCCAUAAUAAUUUUGCUGUCCAGGUCUAUGCAGAGAAGAGAGUUUCUUACUAAACCGUUGUGAAUACCAGCAAGAACCAGCGUUUUUCUUUGUUGGUUUUGAGCUCGGUGCAACUUUGAGAAACCAAGUAUUGGUUAUCAAAGCCAUGAAUGACUCCGAUAAACAUUUGAAUCUGCAUAAAGACUUGGCAGUUUUGCAAAUAUGUCAACAAUGAUAUCCAGAGGAAGAGUCGCCUUUGCUUCUUCUGCAAGUUAAGCAAAUACUCUAGGUAUUAAUUUGUAUUCACAUAUUCGUAGCUUGCCAAGUUCAGACUUAAUGCUGGCUCAGUUCUCUACCCAGACCACACCCAUGUGAAUCUUCAAUUAAUGAACAUUGUAUUUUAAGAAUAAAUUUUUAUUAAAAUAAGAUGUCCAAAGUAUAUCUUAUGGUACAAAUUAAUGGCCUCGCCCAUCUUUAAAUAGCUUGAAGCUUCAAAGUCAAAGUAGAAGAAAGAAAACACAUUAUUUAUUUAUUAAUUACUAUCCUCGUGCUCAUUUGUAAAAGACAUUGAUAGUAUAAAACUAACUAAUAUUAUUCUUUCUUCAAAAUUAUGAGAUUGUUACGAGUAGCCACGCAAACAUGAGAUACUACACGUAGCCACCGAAAAGUUUGGAUCUGAAUAUUGCCCCGAGAAAAAACAUGCAGUUUGGAUCUGAAUGGCACCGACUUAUGAGGAAAAGUCAUUUCUGAAACUCAUGUCCUUGCCUUAUUCGCUUUAGAGGUGAUACAAAGCUGACCUUCACGAUUACUGCUUCAGUGAUUCAGUGACCAAAUCACAAUUUCCAUUGUGGUUUAAGACUCGAAAUGAACAGAAGAAAUACAAAUCUGAAUCACAAAGCUUUCGGUAAGUGUAAAACACAAACACACAUGAUUGAGAUAAACGCAUAAGAAAAUAAUGAGAUAGAAAUUAAUUAGUGUCGGACUUACAGAAGAAAAUAGGAUAUGAGGAAAGAAGGAAUGUUGAUUUGGUCUCUGCAAAUUCUCAUACUACUUGAUUCCAGUUGCUUUUCAUCGUAUCGGCCAACGCUUCCAAAAGUUCCACCCGUGCAGGCCUGAUCAAAUUUCGUAAAUCUGGUGCAGUCCACUUCACUAGUGGCAGCAAAUUUGAGAGUUUUGGGUUUGGUCCGGACGGGAUUUGCAUAUACUGGAGUCACCCCACAACACUUCAACUUGUAACGUUUGCUUUUAUGGUCAACCUCCAGACGAGAGCCAUCAUGGUCAAGAUAGUAAAGGGCGAACUCCAAUUUGACAGCAGUAUGGUGGUCGCCAUCAGGAAGCCCAAUACUCCAACAGGGAUCGAAUCCAAGCAUUAGAUGAUCUGAGUCAACAGUAUCAUACAUAACCAACCAGCAAUCGUGAUUAACAAGUUUUUUUUCCAAACGGUAUCUACACACGACUUGGAAAUAUUGGGAGCUACUGGCUUCAGGAUCUUUCUCAAAGACAAUAACAGCACAAAGAGCAAAUCCUACGAAGUCUUUAUUACAACGCUGUGGCAGUUGAAUAGUUAUCGAAGAUCCUGAACGUUGGUUGAUGAACCACUCUGGAAUUUUAUUUCCAGGUACAAUGAUGCUGCUUUCAAGUGGUGUAAAAAAUUCCUGUAAAUGUCAAAAUCAUGACUCCUAAUGUAAUAGAGAAGACAAAGAGCAAAGCCUGAGCAAGAGAAAAACAAAUGCGUACCAUGUCAUAGUAUGGUCUCUGAGAUACAGCUGUUUGCCAAACCCUUAGUUGUAAAUCUCUCAAAAUUUUGUUGCGUGCUCUAUUAUUAAGUUUCAGGCAAUUGCUAAACAGAUGUACUCUGAGCAGACAUGAUGGAAGCUCUGGCAAAGAUCGAAGCCGCUUGCAAUUCCUUGCAUCUAAUCUUUCUAGACGCAGUGGAAGCUCUGGUAUUGAUUGAAGCAUAUUGCAAUUUCUCAAGUAAAGACACUUCAGCUGUGAAAGUUGCUUGACACUUGCAGGUAAGCUCUCAAAUUUGUUUCCACUUAGAUCUAACACUUCCAUGGAUGAUAGAGAGCCAACUUCUUUAGGGAUUUCCGUUAUACCACAGUCUCUUAAAUCUAGAGAUCUUACAGAAGAUAGAACUGGUAAUAAUAGAGGUAAUACCAAAUUUUUGCAUCCUGAAAAUGCAACUGAUUUAAAUUCAUUUAAAUCUGCUGCGGAGGAUGGUAGUUGACUAAUGGCUGAUCCGAUUGCAUUGAGGUCCUUCAAAGAUUUUAAAUUACCAAAAGACUCUGGCAAACUAUCAAGCUUAGAGCAAUUCCACACCACUAAAGCCGUAAGCCUUCCAAGGCGUUCAAUUGAAGAUGGCAGCUCUUUAAUCGGUGUCCAGCUUAAAUUUAUAUAUUCUAAGCAUUCCAUUUCCUCCAAGAUCUCUGGGAAACUCUCAAGCUCUGGGCAGUGCUGAAGCUCAAGCCUACAAAGAGAUUUCAAUUUACAAAUGCUAGUUGAAAGUCUCUUCAGCCUUGUGCAAUGACUCACAUCUAACCCUUCAAGACUAGUUAGUCUCUCGAUUGACAAGGGAACUUCCCCUAUAGCUGUCUUACGUAAAUUUAGCUCUUUUAUAUUUCCCAAAAUCUGCGGAAACUCUGUGAGAUUAACACAAAAGGAGAAAUCAAUCUUUAUAGGAGAUGCAAAAUGAAUGUUGCUUGGGAAGCAUCUAAGACUUUCACAGCCACUUAGACACAAGGUACCAAGGUUGGAGAAAUUUUGGAUGUAUUGAGGAAUGUAAGCGAAGUUUGUACAAUUCCAAAGAUUUAUUUUCUCAAGAUUUGGGAUUUCUGAUGGUUCUGGGAUCCUAAUGAGCUUAUUAGAGUGAUGGAGGUCAAUAUAAUUCAGCUUAGAAGCUUCCUGUAGAAAAAAGAAUAAAAACAAUUAGUAGAAUGACUUAGAUUACUGAAUAAACAUAUUGAUAUUAGUAAUAGUAUACUACUGUUUACCUUUUUUCCGUCCCAGAUUUGCUUGACUUUACUAUAAGGCAAGUUGAGUGUAACAAGGUUCUCAGGUUCGAAAUCUGAUGGCAAUGAUUUUAAAGGAUAUUCAUACCAAUGGAGAUAUCUCAAUUCUUCAGGAAGAUAUUCGAGACCUUGGUCGAGAUACACUUUAGAGCUCAUAAUUGGAAUACCAUCAUGCUCGGGCAUAUAAAGUUUAAGCAAUCUGAGAUUUGACAUAUUUGCAAAUGCUCUAGGACCUAGAUGUAAGACUUUUAUUUUGGACAAAUCAAGGAAUAUGCCUUCAAUUGCAUCAGUUCCCUUAUCAACAAAAGCAAAAACUGAAUUAGCAUAACGUCCACAAAAAAAUAUUUAUUAAAAUCUAUAGAGAAGCUCCUUAAGCAAAGAGAAAAAUUAUUGGUGCAUAUUGUUGGUUUGACAUAUAACCGUGGCCACAAAAGCUAAGUAAAUUCUCACCUUAGUUUUUUUCAAUACAUUAUAAACAUCCUCAUAAUACCACAACCGACUACGCUUCCCUGGCUGCUCAAUGGAUUCUUGACGAACAAUUUCUCGUCCCAUUUCCUGCAAUAAAUCGUGCAUUUGCAGCUGAUUGCCACGUGAUACUGUCACAAGCGACUUAUCAACGAGGACAUUCAAUCCAUAAUGCGCAAAACUUGAAUCGCCUAUCAUCUUUAGCACAGAAUCUUUAUCCUGCCCAUUGAAAAAACAUGCAAUGUCUAGAAACAAACUCUUUUCUUCCGCCUUUAUUUCAUUAUAACUGAUUUUCAGCACAUCGUAGAUAUCAGGGUCGGAAAUCCGUUUUAAGUUAUCCAGGGCAUUUUCCCAAUCUAGCUUGCUCUUCUGACGAAGGAAAGAACCCAACACUCUCACUGCUAACGGAUUGCCAUUGGCAUAAUCUAGUAUACGCUUUGAGUGCACCAAGAGAUCUUCAGGGCAAUGGUUUUCUUUAAAGGCACAAUUACAGAAGAGCUCGAGAGCUUCACGAUAUUUCAAUCCAUUAACCUUAUAUAUAUUACCAACUCCAAAAUUAUCAAGAACUCGUCUAUCUCUAGUGGUUACUAUGAUUCGACUACCCGGACCAAAUCGUUCAAGCCCCCCAAUUAAAUAUUCCAACUGACCAACUUUAUUAACAUCAUCAAGAACUAAAAGCACCUUUGUCCGUUGGAGCCUUUCCCUCACAUAUUCAGGAAGAUUGGGGGUUCUUAUUCUGAGAUUUUCUUCAAAUACUUCAGAAAGAACUUGGUCUCGUAGAUGUAACAAUCCACCUCCUUUCUCUGAUUCUUCCCUCACAUUCGCCAAGAAGCACUUGCUUUCAAAUUCCUUAGAAAUUUGGUUGAAAAUAACGCCAGCAAUGGUUGUUUUACCUAUACCGCCCAUACCCCAAAUUCCUACAAUUUUGAAAUCCAAACGUCCGAGGAAUAACAAUGAUUUAAUUUUCUCAAUUUGUGAAUUUAAUCCAACUAGGCCAUUGGGGUAGGUAGAGACUGUAAUGUUUUCUACUUUCUUCAAAAUAUCUUUAACAACUACAUCUAGCAGGCGUGCCUCAGACCUAGCAAGUGCAAAUAUGAAGAGCAAUGACUCAAAUUGGACCAAGUUCGAAACGGAGAAAAUAAACAUCAACAUCAACAGUUCCUUCAUAUUUCCAAUUUCUUAUUAAUCUUAGAUACUAAAGGGUAAAUAAAGGCUACCUGAUUUCCUUGGAAGCCCAUCCCGAGAGAUUGGAUGCUUCUGUCAAUGCAUGCCUCCACUUCUGAACCUUUUCUGGCGUCUUCUUGAGGUGUUUCUCAUGCUUAGAGAAGGCAUCCCCGAAACUUCCAGUUUGCUUCCGUACGUCGGAUGGAUCUGCAUGGUAAAAAACAGGCACAACCAUUUGGCCAUUCAUUUGACGGCAUUCAAGAACUUUGACAAGUUCAUCCAAGCACCAUUUCGAAGAAGCGUAGUCCUUCGAGAAAAUGAUAACUGAAAUCUUUGAUGAUUCGAUUGCUCUCAAAAGGGCAGGCGAAAUCUCGUCUCCUCUCUUAAGUUGUUCAUCAUCAAUGAAGGCUUUAAUUUUCUUUCGAUACAAAGCAGCAUGAAGAUGGCUAGUAAAGUUAUCGCGGGUAUCCUCCCCUCUGAAACUGAGGAAGACAUCAUAAUUGCUAUGGGAAGUUAGACGAGAAGAAGAGGUGGAAGAAGAUGAAGCCAUAACGGAAGUUUUCUACUCUUUGGGACAGAAACAGAGUGCAAUAAAUAUGCAGCUGUGCAAGUGCAAGUGCAUGGAGCUUUCUUUUCUUAACUUGUUUUUAUUUUUUAUUUUUUUUAAACAUAUUGUUGACUUUCUGUCUCGGUUCCAGAAGGUUUCCUGUGACUUCUUGGAGCUUUCUUGGUACUCAUUGUGAAUACUUUUGGGUCGGCCUGCAAUACAUCGCUGUAUCUGGUACAGCCAAUUUUUAUUAUUUUUUUAAUUAAUUUUAUAACCGGCCACCGGUUAUCUCUUAUUUUAAUCGAUUAGUGUGAAAAAAUUAAAUGUAAAUAUCAUACAGCUACCGUUAUUUUAAGUAUAUAACAAGAUUAUCAAUUUAAAUUAUAAAACUACCAAAUACUCCCUCAACUUUACAUGAAAAUAUAUUUAAAAAAUGAAACUUAUAUUUUUUUUCCUCAAAAUAUGUGACAUUACUACUGCAAAUAUUAUUGAAAUAUAAAUAAAUAAAUAUAAUUGUAAAUUAUUAAAUAUUUUUAUUACAUUUAUAAAUUUAGUAAUUUUUUGCAUAAAAAAUUAUCAUAAUAUUUUAUUAAUUUUCUAUAGGUCAAUGCAAUCUAAAUAUUUAGAUCACUAAUUAAUCAGAUUUAUUUUCAAAUAAUUGAAAGAAAUCAAUCCGAUAAUACAUAUAAAGUGAUUCAAACCUCUACCCACUAAUAUGAGAAUAAUAUUUGUCUAACUUUUGGAUAAUUAUCAAACAAGUAUCUUGUUUUUUUUAAUUAAUUAUCUUGUUAAUUAUACCAAACAUUAUAAUUAUCAAUCAAAUAUUAUUGUUUUUUAUUAUUAAUUUAUUACUAGUGGCCAAUAUUUUUAUAUGAUAUAUAUAGGCAGAUUUAAUGUAUCUCAAUCUCUUAUGCAAAUUAAUUCAUACAAACCUAUGUGAAAUUAAUUUAUUCUUUUAUACUGCGUUAUUUUGAUGGUUAUAUUGAUUCACUAUUUUCAAAUGAUAAUAUUUUCUUAAAUACUUAUAAUAGACAUGUCUAUACAUUAAUGGUGUGUUUAUUUGAGUAUUUAGGAAAUGAGAAUGAAGGAAUGAGAAUGAAACUCAUAUUUACUUAGUAAAAUGUAAUUUGAGAAUAGAAAUAAAAUGUGUGGGUCCACACAAUUUUGUAUCCUUAUAAUUUUUUCAUAUUUUCUAAAUUAUCCUCGUUCAAAGCACAAUUAAUUUUAUUAUUUUAAAUGUCAUUAUUAUUAUUAUUAUUAAAUUUUAUUAACUUUAUUAUUAAUUAUUGUUAUUAUUAUUUUUUAUUAAUAUUAUCAUUAUUAACAUUUAUUAUUAUUAAUUUUAUUUUUUAAUUAAUAUCAUUUUUAUAAUAAUAUUUAUACAAAUACAGUAUAACUUCUAUAAAUUAAUACUCGAUAAAUUAAUAAUCUUUAUAAUAUAAUAAUUUUUUGCAGUCCCGACUUAGGCCCUGAAGCUAAAUUAAUAAUUUUGAUAAAUUAAUAAGAUAAUUUUUCUGAGAACUCCUAUAUAACUCUAUGGUCACAUUUAUAUCAUAAAUUAAUAAUUGUAGAAAUUACAAAUACUGUGAAAUUACAAAUGUAACUGACUAUGUCAAUUUAUUAAAAUAUGAGUCUAUUGUAACUUGUUUUUUCUUGAAGUUUAAAUCUAGUUGAAUCUCAUCUUUAAUUUUUAACAAGUUACUAUGAAAUAAAAGAAUACUUUGUGUUUGUUUAUAUAGACAAUAAUUUUAACUUAGUUCAUUGAAUACAUUUAAUUUCUAAUUUAGUUCAUUGGAUAUAUGACUUAGCUAAAUUAUGUAAAUACAUGAAUACUCUUUAAUUAAGUAGAUAAGUAGUCAAAUUCAAUUGAUACAAUUUAAUGAAAUUACAUUUAUUUUAGUUCAUUGAAUACACUUAGAUAAAUUUAUGUAAAUACAAGAAUGUAGUUAAUCAAGUAGAUAGGUACAUUAGAUGAAUUAGUUCAAAUUCAAUUAAUACAAUUUAAUAACUAACAUUUAGUUUAGUUCAUUGAAUACAUUUAGAUAAAUUUAUGUAAAUACAUGAAUUUAGUUAAUCAAGUAGAUAGGUACAUUAGAUUAGUUUUAAUUCAAUUUAUACAAUUUAAUAACUAACAUUUAGUUUAGUUCAUUGAAUACAUUUAGUAAAAUUCAUGAAUUUAUUUAAUCAAGUAUACAUUAUUUAUUUGAUGAAUUUAUUUAAAUUCUAUUGAUUAUAUUUGUAAAAUACAAUGAGUUUUUAGUUAAUUAAAUGUUAGUUCUUUGUACUGUGAACACACUCUAUAAAUUAAUAAUUUAUUAAUUUAUAGAUUAAUUAAUAUCUCUCUAAAUUAAUAAAUUUAUAAGGUCCCGACAUUAUUAAUUUAUAGAGGUUAUAUUGUAUUUAGUUAAUGAAAAUUACAUUAUUUAAUAUUAUGGGUAUUUUGGUAAAUUGAUUCUCAUUUCCAUUUCUUAUUCCCAUUUAUUUUGCCAAAUAAACAGAUCAGUGACAUUCUAGCACAUUCACAUUCUCAUUUAUUUUUACUAAGUAAAUAUUAGAAUCUCAUUCUUAUUCCUCAUUCCUAUUCCAGUCUAUUCUUAUUCUCGACCUAUUUUCAUUCCCAACUCAUUCCCAUUCCACCCAAUUUCCAUUCCAUGAAGUAAACGCACCAUAAAUGUAAUGCUAAUUUUUUAUCUAUUGAAUUUAGUAGUAUCAAAAUUAAUGAUUUAUAAUAAAGCUUAUUUUUUAUGUUGUUAGUAACCAUUAUUACUUUGUUAGCCAAUAUUUAAAUUGAUUAAAAUGAACUCAACUGAGAUACUUGUUACCAAUAUUAGACAUUUAUUAUUAAAAUGUGUAUAUAAUCUGUAGUCCAUAUAUAUGCUUUAAGAAAUUUGUUUUGCAUAUUAAAUUUUUUGGCAAAAUCUAUUUAUGCAUAUUAAAUUUUUUCAAUUUAAGUAAAUCAUAUUUAUAAGUUAAAGUUUAUAUUAAAAAAUAUAAAACAAAAUCAGUUUUUCAUUAAAAAAUUAAAAAAAAUAUAAAUAGCCCCACCCUUGAACCCUAAUUUCUAGUUUCUACCUAACAAUCAAUUUUUUCAUUGCCGCUGCCGCUUCCUUCUGAUCUGGUUGGCUAACAACUUUAGCACUCGGAUCUUUUGGCAUAAAUGUGAGCUGCUGCUUCCUUCUUUCUUUGCUAUCGCUGUUGUUGCCACUUCGUUCUAAUCUGGUUGGCUAACAACUUUAGCACUCUGCAAAUUUCACUGUAUAUUUAUGCACACUACCGUAUUGUCCUAAAGUUUCGCUUUAAUUUUGAUUUUUAAUUUAUUACCUUAUUUUUUGGCAUUUUUGAUAUUUUAUAGCUAUUGUUGGAUAUUUUAGGUUGCUUGCAUGUUUAGAAAUUUAAAUUUUUUUGGGUUAAUUUUAUGAUUUUGAGUUAGGUUUUGAAGUACUGUUUCGGUAGUGAGAGAUGAUAUUUUUCUUCUUACUGUCAAUAUAUAUAAUUACGUGACUAGAUAUUAGAUUAUUGCUGCUUCGUUUUUAUUGGCACCAAUUAGCUGCUGAUUUUUAAGAUCAAUUUUAAUGGAUUCUUCAGUUUUGUUAUUAAAAAAUAAAUAAGCCUUUCAAUGGAGUUGCAUGUCUUUUUGCUUUGAUCUUUUGCAUAUUGUAUUGAGACAAAAGCUUCAUGUGAUUCUUUGUGAUUUUUUUUACUUAGAAGUCUCCAAUUCUGCAAUAUAUAAAGGACGUAUAAUCUUCACUGGCAUUGAAAGUUUUUGGGGGUCUCUUUCCUUUAGGUUAUUGCAAAAUGUCCACGUAUUUGUGCUAGCGGAGCAAGUGGUUUGGUUGGUUCUUUUGGAUGCUCUUCAUUUCUUGCACUUUUUUUUUUUGGAACAAGAAUUUGGGUAUUAUGCAGUUCCAAAUUCGAGAAAUCUUUGAAUUUCAGCAUUUUUCCCCCCUUUAUCAUAGCCAGGUUCACCACAUCAUUUUAAGCUACUUGAUCUUGCUCAACUGAUUAUUAGAGAUUGUUGGUGCAUAUUCCUGAGGUAGCACUUUCGAAUUAAUUCCCUUUUCCUACUUCUCAGCGAUUUUCAAAUUUAGAAUUAUAGUUUAUCUUGGACAUUUACUAGGAGAAUGGUGAUUAUUACAUGAAAAGUGACAAGAAUAGACAAGCAGUAAAAAAUAUUUGGGACGUCUGAUUGGUACAUUUUCUUUUUCUUGGGAAUUUUGAUGUUAUGACAAGAUCUCUGCAUGUUAUGUUUUAAGAACAACUUGCUUUUUAUUUUUAACUAUUAAAGCUGUUAUGGCCUACAAAUGCUGUAAAACUUGACACUUCUAUUAUUAUAAACACGUUUCAUUACAAUUCUAUUGUAAUUAAACUUUCUUUUCUUCUCUUUUUGGCACUUUUGUAAUGGGGCUAGUUUGCAGAGCAGACAAAUGAAAAGCACAAUGACUGUCUUUGUUUCCUUCUGGCUUUAUGUCAGCAUAGCAGGCUUGCAACUCUCUACAGUAAGCAUGUUCUGUUUAUUUUUUUCACUAAAUCAAUAAAAUAUUUUUAUUAUAAGAUUAAUUUUAAGAAAAAAUAUGUUUUUGUGAUUGUAAUUGUGUGAUUGAUUAAAGAUUGUAUGUUUUGGAUUUGAUCUCAUGGAUUUAGAGUUGGAUUAUGUUUGGAAUUGGAAUAAUGUGUUCAUGCACAUAUGAUGUUUGAUGAAGUUCGCAUAAGAUUGAUUCAAUUAUUUAAGUUUUUGAUGCUGAAUUAAGUGGACCAAAAAAUUUUAUCAAUGGAUUGAUUUCUGUUAUGCAGUUGCUGUUUUUACUGCUAUUUUUGCAGAAACACAGCACCUCAAAGUUUUUAGGCGCUGCUUAGCAGCUGUUAUAUAGUAAAAACAACAUUUGGAACUUCCAGGUGUUGUUUUUGCUGCUGUUUAUGUAGAAACAAAGCUCCUGAAAGUAUUAGUGUUGCUUAAUUGUUGUUUGACUUCCAAGUGCUGUUUAACUACUGUUAUGCAAUAAAAACUUGACCUGGAAGUUUUUGGGUGCUGUUUUACUGUGGUUUAUGUAGGAAAACAGCACCUGGAAACUUUCAGGUGCAGUUUAGCCGCUGUUUAUGUAGAAAAACGGCACCUGGAAGUUUGUAGGUGACAUUUUACUACUGUUUAUAAAGAAAAACAGUACCUGAAAGUUUUCUAGUGCUGUUUAGCUGUUGUUAUAUGGCAAAAACAACACCUUGAACUUUUCAAGGGUUGUUCUACUACUGUUUUUGUAAUUGAAACUGCACUUGAAAAUUUUAGAUGCUGUUUUACUGUAAUUUUGCUGCUAAAAGUGCACCUGAAAAGUUCCAGGUGCUGUUCGGAUGCUGUUUUGAAUCUUCUUUAGUUCUUUUUUUUUAUGUCUAUACUUCAUCUUUUUUUUUUCUUUGGUAAUUGUUGAGUGUUAGAAAAUGCAUAUUUAUAAAGGAGAAAACCGUCAUUUUACAUUUCAAGUCUUACUAACAACCCUUACUUUUAUGUAUUUAACCUUCUUGUGAUUUAAUUACAUGUGUUUUAUUUUAAUUAAGUAUUUUAUGUAUUUUAGGGGCAUUAUAGUCAUUUCACAAUAAAGGAGAGAUCAGACGGCAAAACGGAUAUCACUUUUGAACUUAGGACGGUCGAAAACCUUAGGAUGAGCAUAAAAGGAAAAAUGGCACUAUUCAUAUGUACGGUACUAUUCACAUGUACGGUACUAACUACGUUACUGUUCACAACACUGUUCACAUAGACGGAUCGAUGACGUGGCAUUGACCGAUGAUGUGGCAUUGACUGAUGAGGUGUCACGAUCCUGUUGGGCUAAAAUUCUUAUGUACUGUUGAUGGUGACGUGGCAGCAUAUCAGUGGAUGAAAAAUCUCGCGUACGGUACAUGCAUCACACAGGAUUAUUUUCAACCAAACCGCGUUACUGUUCAUCCGAGGCAAACCGCGUUACUGUUCAUCCGAGUCAAACUGUGUUACUGUUCAUCCGCGUGGUCAAACCGUGGACUGUUGACUGAUGACGUGGCGCAAUCCUGAGCGUCCAAACUGUUUUUAAUCCGAUGGCCAUGAUUUACUCCAUGUAUCUAUAAAAAGGGGGCCUCCCCCCCUAAUUUGAUAUCUCUGAAUCCAUUUUAGGGAUCCAUUUUCUGUAAUUCCCUCUUCAUCUUGUAUUUUCUUCGUAUUUUAAUAAAUUCCCAUUUUACCCCUAGUUCAAUUAUGAGUGGCUAAUUUUCUUUCAAGCUUGGGUUGAAGGUGAAGUCUCAACAUGUGUCAUGGGCUUUAUUUGGUAAAUUUAUUUUCUUUUCCCCUCUAGUUUUUGUGGAUGAUUUGACUUAUCGUCGACAAAUAAUAAUAAUCUUGUCUAGAUACCGCCUUGGUUACACCGGCUCUCUAGUAUAAGGUUAUUAUUAUUUGGCACGAUAAGCCCUUAGCACCAUAUUGAUUAGAGCGUGGUUCAUGAGGUGUGGAUUCCCCCCUCAUGAUUUAAUUGGCAUUAAUACGGAUUAUUUAGCCCAUGAUGCAUGUUGAUACGGAUCCAGAUACCCAAGUACGUUAUUUCAAUAGAUUUCUCUUCAAUUUAUUAUCGCCAUUGCAAUUCCAAUUUUAGGAUAAUUUAAAUCACUUCCACCACAAUUCCAACCACCCAUUUACAAAAUUAAUUCUACAUAUAAUUAAAAUCCACCUCCUCGUGGGAUCGACACUCGUCACCAUUAGUCUAUACUACAAUAGAUUCGUGCGCUUGCGAGUACAUUAAAAUUUGCACAACAAGUUUUUGGCGCCGUUGCCGGGGAGGUAAGUAGUUUUAAUUCAUAGAAUUAAUUUUUGUGAAUAAUUUCUUUUAUUUGUUUUCUUGUAUUUUUUUUUUAUUAUUAAAAAAAAAAAGAAAAAAAAAGUGAAUCUACAUUUAAAGGUUAGUAUUUCUUUUCUUUUUCUCUUCUUUAAAAUUCUGUAAUUUAAUUUUCAAUUUAUUUUUUUCUUUGUAAUUUUUGUUUAUUUAUUAAUUUAAUUUUUAGUUAAUUUAUUUCACGUAUUUGUUUUUGUGUAUUUUUAUAGAAAAGUUGUAACAGUGCAAUAAGGUUAGUAUCGUAAUUUCUCCCUCUUCUUUAUUUUUAUUUGUUUUGUUCCCAUCUUUAUUUUUAUUUUAUUUGUUUUGCAUGCAUGGUCGUAGGUCAUUAUUACCUAAUCUUGAACCUAUAGACCUUGAACUUGAGAAAACACUUCGCACACACAAACAAAUUAAAAAUAAAAUGGAUUUGCAACCACAGGAGAGGCCAUUUAAGGACUACUUCAGUCCUUUAGCUAAUUUGAGCACAUCAUGCAUAAGAUACCCAAAUGUAGCUGCUAGGAGCUUUGAACUAAAACCUAGUGUGCUAAAUUGUCUCCCCACAUUUUAUGGCCUAGAAAAUGAGGACCCAUAUAAUCAUCUGAAUGAUUUUCAUGCUAUUUGUCAAACUUUUAAAUACGAGAAUUUUUCAGACGAUGAUGUUAAACUUAGAUUAUUCCCAUUUUCUUUAAAGGAUAGAGCUCGUUCAUGGUUAAAUACUUUACCUGCUAAUAGCAUCACAUCAUGGGAACAAAUGGUAACUAAAUUUUUGAAUAAAUAUUUCCCAGUGCAUAAAACCAAUUUUAUUCGCAGGGAAAUUUCAGAGUUUACACAAAGAGAGGACGAGCAGUUUUUCGAAACUUGGGAGCGAUUCAAUGGGCUACUCUUGAAGUGUCCACAUCAUGGGUACGAAAAAUGGCACCAAUGCCAAUACUUUUUGGAGGGAUUAUUGCCGAAUGUGCAAGAAUGGCUAAUGGCAACAAGUGGAGGAGAGUUAAUGUCAAAAAGUGCAUCAGAGAUUUGGGAAUUCUUCCAGCGACAAGCGGAUAAUUCCCAACAACGGAGUCGAUCACUCAGGAAUACUAGAAGAAUUAAAGGAGUGAAUGAGGUUCAAAUUGGCGAGUCAAAUUCAGAAAUCAAAGAAGUCAAAGCAAUAAUAGAAGGUCUCUCUCGACAAAUAGCAUCGUUAUCGACUGCUAAAUCAACAGAACCACAUGACCAUGACUCAUACUCGGAUCAAGCCAAUGCCAUAGGUGUAAUGAGAAAGCCAUCUAAUUACAACCCAUACUCCAACACAUAUAACCCUGGAUGGAGAGACCACCCCAAUUUUUCAUGGUCUCAAGGAUUCCAACAGAAUGGACCAGCAGCUCCAGCUCCACCAAUGCAACCAAUUCCGCAAAUUCCUCAAGCCUCUCAGCUCCCAUUUAGACCAUUCAAUAAGAACCAGAACUACUCUCAACCCAGACCAUGGGAGGAUUCAUUCCAGAAUCUAAAGAAUCUUACUCACUCCACGAUUGAGCAACAAAACCGCACCAUUGAUGGACUACGAAAUGAGUUGAGAGCGGGCUUCAACUCACAAGCCCAAUCAGUUUCAAGCCUCGAGAAGAUGGUAGGACAACUUGCUUCUUCAGUUCAAACCUUGGCAAUGACUGUUGAGAAAGGCAAAUUUCCAAGUCAACCAGUGCCUAAUCCUAAAGGAGUACAUGAAGCAAGUACUAGUUCACCACAGCAGCAUGGAGAGGUCAAAGCAAUUAUGACCUUGCGAAAAGGAAAGGAAGUCGACAACAAAGUGGAGAUGCCUGUGACAAAAGAAAAUCAAAUUGUACCUGUGAAUGUUGAAGACUCAUCACCGGAGGAGAAAGAAGAAACCAACCCACGAGAAUACGUUCCCAAAGCUCCAUUUCCUCAGAGGUUAGCUAAAGGAAAAAAGGGAAAAUCCACAGGUGAGAUUCUCGAAAUCUUCAAACAGGUAAGUGUUAACAUCCCUUUACUUGAUGCUAUAAAGCAAGUUCCAUCUUAUGCCAAGUUUCUUAAAGACCUUUGUACUAAAAAGAGAAAUAUGCAUGUUCAAAAGAAGGCAUUUUUAACAGAAAACGUUAGUUCUAUACUCCAACAUAAAAUUCCUUUAAAAUGCAAAGACCCAGGCUCCCCCACUAUUUCAUGUAGCAUAGGGAACCACACAAUUGAGAAUGCUUUGUUGGAUUUAGGAGCUAGUGUAAAUUUGUUGCCUUACUCUGUUUUCGUGAAACUUGGACUUGGAGAAUUACACCCAACUCCAGUGGUGUUACAACUUGCAGAUCGGUCCACAAAAAUACCUCGUGGUAUUGUGGAGGACGUGCUUAUCCAGGUAGACAAGUUUUAUUUUCCUGUUGAUUUCAUUGUAAUUGACACUCAACCAAUACAUGACUCAAGGAAGCACAUCCCCAUUAUUCUAGGCCGACCUUUCUUGGCAACUGCAGAUGCUCAUAUUCAAUGUAGGACCGGAAAUAUGCAAUUGUCCUUCGGCAACAUGACUAUGGAGCUAAAUAUUUUCAACAUUGCCAAACAACCUCACAGUGCAGAUGAUGGAAUUGUUGAUGUGGAUUUAAUAGAAACAAUAGUUGAUAAUACUUUUCUUUCAAACCUUAGUGAUGAUCCUUUACAAACAUGUUUAACUCACUUUGGUUUGGAUUUUGAUAUUGACAGAUCGGUUGAUGAGGUCAACGCUCUACUUGACUUAGCACCAUCCAUGGACACUAAUAAAUGGAAGUCAAGAGUUGAACAACUAGCACCAUCAGAGAAGAAACUCAUUCCAUUAUCAGAAUCACCACCGAAACUCGAGCUCAAACCAUUGCCCAACACAUUGGAAUAUGCAUUUUUAGGAGAAGAAAGUACUUUGCCGGUAAUCAUCUCAUCAUCUCUCAAUGACGAACAAAAAAGUAAGUUGUUGGAUGUUUUAAAAGAGCACAAAGGAGCAUUAGGAUGGACCAUAGCAGACAUAAAAGGUAUAAACCCAGUAGACUGCAUGCAUUACAUUCACCUUGAUGAAAGUGCUAAAUCUACUAGGGAAAUGCAACGUCGGUUAAAUCCUAAUAUGAAAGAAGUUGUUAGAACAGAAGUCCUUAAGCUAUUAGACGCAGGUAUCAUUUACCCAAUUUCUGAUAGUUCAUGGGUCAGUCCUGUACAAGUUGUCCCCAAAAAGUCAGGAGUCACAGUAGUUACCAAUGCUGAUAAUGAAUUGAUACCAACUAGAGUAACUACAGGAUGGCGUGUAUGCAUUGAUUAUAGAAAGUUGAAUUCUGUCACACGUAAAGACCAUUUUCCUUUACCAUUUAUUGAUCAAAUGCUUGAUAGAUUAGCAGGCCAUGAAUUUUAUUGCUUUCUAGAUGGCUACUCAGGAUAUAAUCAGAUUCCCAUAGCACCAAAAGAUCAGGAGAAAACUACUUUCACUUGCCCUUUUGGCACAUUUGCAUAUAGGAGAAUGCCAUUUGGAUUAUGUAAUGCACCUGCUACAUUUCAACGAUGCAUGUUGAGCAUUUUUUCUGAUAUGGUUGAACGAUUCCUUGAAGUCUUUAUGGAUGAUUUUUCUGUCUUUGGUGACUCGUUUGAUCAAUGUUUACAUCAUCUAACGCUAGUUCUGCAGAGAUGUAUCGAGAAGAACUUGGUCUUAAAUUGGGAGAAAUGUCAUUUUAUGGUAAAACAAGGUAUUGUUCUCGGUCACAUCAUUUCGAGCAAAGGUAUUGAGGUUGACAAAGCCAAGGUGGAUCUCAUUUCUAAUCUUCCUCCACCCAAAACAGUUAGAGAAGUAAGAUCUUUCCUUGGGCAUGCUGGUUUUUAUAGACGUUUCAUUAAAGAUUUUAGCAAAGUUUCUAGACCCUUAUGCAAUCUACUUGCUAAGGAUGUACCUUUUGUCUUUAAUGAUUCAUGUCUUGUUGCGUUUGAAAAAUUAAAGCAUUUGUUGACAUCAUCACCCAUCAUUCAGGCCCCGAACUGGAGCUUACCAUUUGAACUCAUGUGUGAUGCAUCUGAUUAUGCAGUAGGAGCAGUUUUAGGACAAAGAGUUGAUCGAAUUCCUCAUGUUAUUUACUAUGCUAGUAUGACAUUGAAUGAUGCACAGUUGAACUAUUCAACUACUGAAAAAGAAAUGCUAGCAGUAGUGUUUGCAUUGGAAAAAUUUCGAUCUUAUCUCAUUAGUUGUAAAAUAAUUAUAUUCACAGAUCAUGCUGCUCUUAAAUAUCUUCUCACAAAGAAAGAUGCAAAAGCUAGACUAAUUCGUUGGGUAUUACUUUUGCAGGAAUUUGACUUGGAAUUCAAGGAUAAGAAAGGCACAGAAAAUGUUGUGGCGGACCACCUCUCUCGUCUCCAUUUUGACACAAUUACAGAGCCAUUAAUAUUGAAUGAGUCAUUUCCAGAUGAACAAUUAAUGAAUGUGGAAGUAUUACCUUGGUGUCAACGAAUGGGGAGCAUUACACGAAGGAACAUGAUGCCAUUAAAUCCAAUUUUAGUGGUUGAAAUUUUUGACGUAUGGGGUAUCGACUUCAUGGGACCCUUUCCCCCAUCUUUUGGCCAUCAAUACAUAUUGGUUGCUGUUGACUACGUAUCAAAAUGGGUAGAAGCAAUUCCAUGUAGGACCAAUGAUCACAAGGUGGUGAUAGCAUUUUUGAAAAGUAACAUUGUUUCACGCUUUGGAUUCCCUCGAGCAAUAAUUAGUGAUGGUGGUGCCCACUUUUGCAACAAAGCAUUCAAAGCUCUUUUGACAAAGUAUUCAAUCACACACAAAGUGGCGACCCCGUAUCAUCCGCAAACCAGUGGCCAAGUUGAGAUCUCCAAUCGAGAAAUAAAGCACAUAUUAGAAAAGACGGUGAGGCCAGACAGAAAAGAUUGGUCAUUAAGACUUGAUGAUGCAUUAUGGGCAUAUAGAACGGCUUUCAAGACCCCGAUUGGGAUGUCACCCUAUAGGCUAGUGUAUGGAAAAGCUUGCCACCUACCUGUGGAACUCGAGCAUCGUGCAUAUUGGGCCAUCAAGAAAUUCAACUUUGACAUGCAGCAAGCCAGCUCAGAAAGAAGAUUACAACUGGCAGAACUUGAAGAAAUUCGCAAUGAUGCAUACGAAAAUGCCAAAAUUUACAAGCAACGAAUGAAAGUCUUUCAUGACAAGCACAUUAUGAGAAAAUCUUUCACUCCAGGUCAGAAAGUGCUUUUAUUCAAUUCUCGCUUGCACCUAUUCCCAGGUAAGUUACGCUCUCGAUGGUCUGGUCCCUUUAUUGUUUAUACUGUUUUUCCACAUGGGGCAAUUGAAAUUAAAGACCCAAAGAACGGUGUCACGUUUAAAGUUAAUGGUCAAAGAUUAAAGCCAUAUCUAGAGUACCAACCACAUGGAGAAGACACCGAAAUAAAUUUGAGUGACCCACCAGAUUUGAAUUGAUUUUUUUUCUUUCCGUUGAUUUGAUUUUGUUUUCUUUCUUUAUAUUAUUCUUUUGCUAAUUGAAAUUAUUUUUGCAUAAGUGUGUUUGUUUAACUAUUAAGUUUUCUCUUAUCAUUUUUAAUCAUGAGUACCUUACUUAGACCGUUCCUCCUGAACAUUCUUAAACCAUUUCAACGUGUCAAAACUCAUCUCAAAAAGCAGAUUCAAUUUUGUAAAACACAACGCAUUUGGGCUCUACAACCACCAGAGUUAGUAGCCUAUGUUGAGGGUUUAGAACGCCAACUCAGAGACAUUGAGAGAAGUGUUUACGACAUCCAGUUGGAGCUUGAGGUAAAUUCAAUAAGAGGACGAUUUUAAUUUUCUUUGUGUGUUUUAAUUUGUUUUUCUAUUUGUGUGCUUUAGUUUGUUACCCCGGUGAAGUGGCGGAUAACGGUACUCCGUGACAAUCAAGUCGGUUAACUUCAGUUUCCCAUAAUAACUGAUAUUCUGAGGCGAAGGUAUGCAUAGAAACGAGAUUUUAGCAAAGCUUCACAAGCGAUUCCCUUCACUUCCUCAGAAUGCCCUCUUUACAAUCUAUAAAGCCCGGUCUGAACGCAUGCGAUUGCUCAUGAGGAAUAACAUACCUGCAGACAUCCGUUGGUUAAUCGAGGCUAAAGUACGAUUGGCAGGUGAGUUACCUCUUAAAUUUAUUGCAUACAUGCCUGGUUGUGGUAAAGGAAAUUACGCAAGAAAACGACGAGCUCGAAGAAUUUCUGUUGCUUGUCAUAAGUGUGCCAGAAUGAGUUGCGAUGAAAACCCAUGUUCUUUAGGAAUGGUGUCUGAUAACAGGGAAGAUAAGAUUCAAUUCAUUAGGGAUGGCUUGAAUAAGGAGUCAUUGGAUGAUAUUCUUUUGUCUCUUGAAACGCAUCCCAGUGGAUAUGUGCAAGGAGCGAUUCUCCAGUUAUGGCCAUUAUUCCAGAAAGAGCAUACAUGAUAUAGUCUCGGGAAUCUGACUAUAAACGACCCUGUUUGCCAGUUUAUAAGAAAACUGGACGGGAAGCCUAUCCUCGACCCAUAGAGGGCGUUCAAGCCGUUUCUGGACGUAAAACCAGAGGAAGAUGUGAGCCACAGUCGCAACUACGCGUAAAUAUCCUUUUACUUUCUGUUAUUUUAUUUCACUAUUGUUUUAUCGUUUGCAUUAUUGCCUUUAAUAAUUUUAUUACUGUUUGCUUUGUCCUUUUUACUGUUUCCUUUUUGACUCGCGAGCCACGUGCUUUACGCGUUAUUUGACACUGACAUGCCACCCCAUACACAGUUGUGACCCACUGUCACCAAGAUUCUUAAAUGUGAUUUAUCUUUUGUCAAGCACUCACAAAUUGUUUUUGAGAAGUAUCACAAUGGCAGCUACUCCCAAUAGACAAUUCAAGAACAUUUGUGUGCUUUCUGGAUUUACCUAUGGCAAACAUAAAGAGUUCGUGGAGGCAGCCAUAGAUCUUGGUCGAAGUAUAGCAGCGAGAAAAUUACACUUGGUGUAUGGAGGAGGUAACCGAGGAUUAUCAAAAAUGGUCUCAGAAGCAGCUUUUAUCAGAGGAAGUCAAGUGUUAGGCAUCAUCCCAAGAGUCCUAAAACCAUUGGGCAGUUCGUCUGACUCAUCAACUAGAGAAGAGUUAGUCGUCUUAGGUAUGCAAGAAAGAAUAACUGAAAUGCUUAAUCAUGCUGAUGCUUUUAUUUUCCUUCCAGGAGAUCUUGCAACACUAGAGGCACUUAUCACACUAGCAUCUUGGGCCCAUCUGCACAUCCACCAGAAACCCAUCGGUUUGUUAAAUGUCAAUAACUUUUAUGAUGGCUUUAUCGCAUUUCUUAACCAUGCAAUAAAAAACUAUUUCAUUCCUUCUAAUGUGAAAAAACUCUUUAUUUGUGCUCACACUGCUAAUGAGCUACUUGAUAUGUUACAAGCUUAUAAACCGGAGCCAGACCCCUGGAGCUUUGUGUUGGAGCAUCCACAUAAUGAUGGUAACAGUAGCCGCAGUAAGAAGUACAAAUUAGAUUUAACUCUCUGCUUGUAAAUAUUGUUUUCUGUGUUGCACCACCCAGGUGAUGUCUUCUAAACUCUACUUCUUUCAUUUCAAACAUUGAGGACAAUGUUUCGUUCUGGUUGGGGGGAGGGAAUAGUCGACAAUUGUGGAAUCUUGGUUAAGUUUUUACUGAUUUUUUGUUGUAGAAACUAACUGUUGCUAACGUUUUGUGUUGAAGAUGGCUGAAUAUGGAGUGUAGUUACUCUAGAAACACAUCUUCAUCGUUUAAAAAAAAAAAUAAAUAAAAAAAAAAAAAACCGUUUUCUUCCUCUUUCUCCUUUAUAAAUAUACAUUUUCCAACUUUUGAGUCGAAGAUGGCUGAAUAUGGAGUGUAGUUCCUCUAGAAACGCAUCUUUUUUAAAAAAAAAAAAUCAUUUUCGUUUUCUAUCAUUUUACGUGUAACUUUUCUAAUUAGUUUUUAUGCAUCAUUUUCACAUUUCUGCAUGCAUAUUUUCCUUUCAUGUUUAGAAUAGGUUGGGGGGUAGAAUGUUGUUAAAAAAAAAAAAAAAAUUUUGUGAUUUGUUUUAACAUUGGAUGACAUGAUUAAUUUCAAAUUUUAGUAUUUGUAUUAUCUUUGGUCUUAAGUGAUGUUACGCUAUGUUUGCUACUUUACAUGUUGAUGUCGGAGACAAAUGUGAGUUGCUUGAAGGAAUGAACAUGUCAUAAUAAGUACCAAGUGAGUUUUUGAGCCUAUUAUUUUUCUUGGAGAAUAACCCUUUUGCCCACUCUUUAUACAGCUUAGCAGUUUAUUAUUUUACACACGAUCUCUAAAUUGCUUUUGAGUUAACCCUUAAAAAAAAUUGUAAAAUAAAAAAAGAAAAAAGAAAAAAGAGUGUGUUGCUACAUUUGGAGGCCCAUCUAACUAGUAGAUAUGGAAGAUUAUUUAGAGCCCUAAAAGACGAUGGAAAGGCCAUCUUUGAUCCGUUUGAGCCUUUCUAGCCAUCCCUUUUAUCAAAUAUCCAUAGUUAACCCUUUUGAGCUUUUAAAAAAAAAAAAAAAAAAACCUUUUUCUUUGUCAACUUAUCAUCUUGACCCACUCCGAUUUGGAGUAUUACCCAAUGUCUUAUAAGUUCCAUCACCUAUUUAUGUUUGAGAAAAUGUAAAUAAUUAUGUUGUUCAGUAAAGUUAUGCAAAAAAAAAAACAAAAAAAACAAAAAAAACAAAAAAAAAAAACAAAACAAAAGUUGUUGUUUCAAAUGAAAAAAAAAGUUGUUGUUUCAAAAGAAAAUAAAAAUAAAAAUAAUAGGUGAAAUCCACCUUGCAACUUCCAAAAAAAAAUAUUCUUUGCAUUUUUCUCAAACAUACAUUUUGUUUUCCUUAUUUUCCUUCUUCGUUAGCCAUGUCCCUAGCCUACGUUACGUCCUAAUAAAAGUCCUUCUUGAUUUUAGGGAACUAUAGUUUGAAGUAGAAGCUAGUUAUAUGGGCUGAAAAGAUGUAGUGAUGCAUAAUAAUAAAAAAAAAAAGAUAAAUAAAGUGGGUUGACUAGCAUUUUUGUUUGACUUGAGUUCGUAUUAUUUAUAAGCUGAGGGCAUAUUUAUUUCAUCUUGGUGAGAGCAUGUGAUAUCACUUAUUUAUUAUUUUCUCUCUCAAUUACCAUUCAUUGGAGUGACUAUUUUUAUUGGUUUUAAUUUCUUUGUGAGAGUGUCACUACUUCCAGUGAGAUUUUGGGGUUUGACAUGUCAUUCUUGAAAGUAGCUAUGACAAAGUAUACUUGGCUGAUUCAUGUGGAUGGUUGAUGUGGGUGUGAUGUUGCUUUAGACUGGAGAUAAUGCUUAUACUUUUAUUUGAUUGCUAUCAUUAAUCUGACGGAAUAAAUACGAGUGUUUCUAUUAAAAAUAUAUAUAUAUAUAUAUUUUAAAUUUGAAUUUUGUUUUCGCUUUAUUUGCUAGGGACUAGCAAUAAGCUGGUUGGGGAGUGUGUUGAGUGUUAGAAAAUGCAUAUUUAUAAAGGAGAAAACCGUCAUUUUACAUUUCAAGUCUUACUAACAACCCUUACUUUUAUGUAUUUAACCUUCUUGUGAUUUAAUUACAUGUGUUUUAUUUUAAUUAAGUAUUUUAUGUAUUUUAGGGGCAUUAUAGUCAUUUCACAAUAAAGGAGAGAUCAGACGGCAAAACAGACAUCACUUUUGAACUUAGGACGGUCGAAAACCUUAGGAUGAGCAUAAAAGGAAAAAUGGCACUAUUCAUAUGUACGGUACUAUUCACAUGUACGGUACUAACUACGUUACUGUUCACAACACUGUUCACAUAGACGGAUCGAUGACGUGGCAUUGACCGAUGAUGUGGCAUUGACUGAUGAGGUGUCACGAUCCUGUUGGGCUAAAAUUCUUAUGUACUGUUGAUGGUGACGUGGCAGCAUAUCAGUGGAUGAAAAAUCUCGCGUACAGUACAUGCAUCACACAGGAUUAUUUUCAACCAAACCGCGUUACUGUUCAUCCGAGGCAAACCGCGUUACUGUUCAUCCGAGUCAAACCGUAUUACUGUUCAUCCGCGUGGUCAAACCGUGGACUGUUGACUGAUGACGUGGCGCAAUCCUGAGCGUCCAAACUGUUUUUAAUCCGAUGGCCAUGAUUUACUCCAUGUAUCUAUAAAAAGGGGGCCUCCCCCCCCUAGUUUGAUAUCUCUGAAUCCAUUUUUGGGAUCCAUUUUCUGUAAUUCCCUCUUCAUCUUGUAUUUUCUUCGUAUUUUAAUAAAUUCUCAUUUUACCCCUAGUUCAAUUAUGAGUGGCUAAUUUUCUUUCAAGCUUGGGUUGAAGGUGAAGUCUCAACAUGUGUCAUGAGCUUUAUUUGGUAAAUUUAUUUUCUUUUCCCCUCUAGUUUUUGUGGAUGAUUUGACUUAUCGUCGACAAAUAAUAAUAAUCUUGUCUAGAUACCGCCUUGGUUACACCGGCUCUCUAGUAUAAGGUUAUUAUUAUUUGGCACGAUAAGCCCUUAGCACCAUAUUGAUUAGAGCGUGGUUCAUGAGGUGUGGAUUCCCCCCUCAUGAUUUAAUUGGCAUUAAUACGGAUUAUUUAGCCCAUGAUGCAUGUUGAUACGGAUCCAGAUACCCAAGUACGUUAUUUCAAUAGAUUUCUCUUCAAGUUAUUAUCGCCAUUGCAAUUCCAAUUUUAGGAUAAUUUAAAUCACUUCCACCACAAUUCCAACCACCCAUUUACAAAAUUAAUUCUACAUAUAAUUAAAAUCCACCUCCUAGUGGGAUCGACACUCGUCACCAUUAGUCUAUACUACAAUAGAUUCGUGCGCUUGCGAGUACAUUAAAAUUUGCACAACAGUAAUAUGCAGGUACAAUUUUUGCAAGGUAGUAUCCAAGCAUGCAGUUAUUUUUUUUUUAUUAAGAGGUAGUAAUUUAAACUUUAGGCCUCAUUUUUUUCAUUUUCGAGUGUAUGAUGGAUAGGUAUUGGAUGUCAUAUGAAUGAUGUAGCUAAAUGCUUUUUGGUUGUCUCUAUUUUGGAAAAUGUAGUGUCAUUUAUUAUGAAAUAGUUAUUUUAUAUUUUGAAACUGCCUAAUUAAUAUAUUCCUCACUUUAUUGUUUUAUGGAACAGAGAGUUACACCCAAGGAGCGAUAGAUUUGGUUAGACGCGAGUGGGCUAUGUGCACAUGGAAACUUGCAGUUACAUUGUUACCUGAUUGAUAAAUUUAAAAUUAGUCUAUAAAAUUAAUAGAGAUAUUCCUACUCUUUCAAAUGCAAUGGUAAUUAGUAAUCUAGUGAUUUAUUAGUGCUCUGGUUACCUGAACAGUGUAUUUGGAUGUAAUAAAUUAUGUCCAAAAUAAAUUAUAAAAGUUGUGGAAACUAUUAUAAACGAGUAAAGAAAUAGUAAAAUACAUCCAAAAUAAACAAGGUUUAGAUUUAGACUGUAUUUUACUUAUAAGAAUAAAUCUAUUUGCUGAUAAAUUUUUGCCAGUUAUUUUUAGGUGCUUAGUUUUACUCACGAAUGAAUCUAUAUGCUUACAAUUUUUGUCAGUUCUUUUUAGGUGCUUAGUUUCUUUUGCGUUUUUUGAUCUUUUCAUUAGGAUGCUAUUUCAUGAUGUAUAUUAUUCAUGCAAUCAUGAAUUUGUAUUGAAAUUUUAUUCUUAUUUAUUUCGAUGUAUUCUCUUCUAUCUUUAUCGCUGAGAUCAGUUUGUCGUUAAAUGAAAGUAGACAUAAAAGUUAUAAAGAAUGAGUACGCAAGUUGAGAAUAUUUUUUAUAUUCUAAAUAUUGCUGUUAAAAAAAAUUCAUCAAAAAAAUGUUAUAAUUAGAAUGUAGUUUUGUGUUUAUUUUAUAUUUAAGUUUCAAAUUUUCUGUUCAGAACAAUAUAUAUCUAAUCCUGCCUAAGAAUUUAGAUCAUGCAUUUGAAAUUUGAAUAUAUAUUUUUUUUUGGGGCCUUUUUUUCUAAUAUCAUUUGUUUUUUUCCCUUGUAUGCAGAGAUCCAUGAAAUCUAAAUCUCAAAUUAGUCACAUCUGAAGUUUAGCUUUUGGAAGCUAUAAAUUGAUUUAAUUUUGUAUUAGUUCUAUUGAUGUUAAAAAAUUUUCAAGAGCUAUUUUCUCGCAAACUUGUAAAAAGAAUUCUUAGCAGAAGUGGUUUUAGGCUCGUUUCCUUCUGCAAUUCUAACUUUUUAGUGGCCCUCACGUCAGUUCACUAUUGUCACAAAUUGUUUUAGUGAUAGAUGUUGUCAUUUGUGUAUUGGGAAUUUUUAUUUCAUUAAUUUUUAAGAGCAUCGGAUAAAUUAAUAGGACAUUAUAAUUUUAUUUGCAAAUAAAUGCCAACAAAUUUAAGAAUAAAAUACCAUUUGAUCUUGCUAAUUCUUGAUGUAUUGUUAUCUUUCUCUUCAUUCCAAAGAUCACUUGGUCGUUAAAUGAAAGUAGGCAUAAAAGUUGCAUCGAACAAUUAUGCAAGUAGAGAGUAAUUUUUAUAUUUUGAAUAUUGCUGUUAAUAAAUCCCUUAAAAAAUAUAUGUUAAAUGAAAAUAUAUUUUUGUGUUUAUUUUAGAUUAAAAGUCUGAAUUUUCUAUUGAAAACUAAAUUUAUUUGAUCCUAGCUAAGAAUUUGGAUCAUGCAUUUGAAAUUCUAAAUAUUGUUAUUUAUUUUACAGUUGCAUUGUGUUUUCUAAUGUCAUUUUUUUUCUUUUUUAUGUGUAGACACUUGAAAUCUAAAAUGAGCAGCAUCUGAAGUCUAGUUUGAGGAAGCUGUGCUGUAAAUUGAUUUAAUUUUAUGAAGCUAUUUGGUCACAAGCUUGUGAAAAAUUCUAAUUGUCUUAUUACAUCUGUUUAAAUGAAUGGAAAUUUUAGUUUACUUAAAUCUUUUGUGCAUCGCAAACAAUUAAUAGGGCAUUUAUUAUUUUAUUUGCAAAGGAAUGGCAACAAAUCAAGAAUACCUACCAUUCCAAUCAAGACAUGCUAAAUUCAUACCAAUAAAUGUUGUUAAAGUGUUAUAUUCUCUUAGUACCAAAUUAAGCUGUAAAAAACUUUUAAAAAUGAUUUUAGUCAAGUCAGAAAAAUUGAAGAACUGAUUCUGUAAUUGAAAACUUGACUUAAUAUAAUUUAUUUUUAAGAUAAAAAAGUAUACUUUGGUGUAACAUAUCGAAACAUCAAAAUUAAGUUCAAGAAAAAGAAAUCUAAUCAAGUUGAAAUGAUAGAAAAAAAUGAUAAGUGCAUAUUUUCCAUAUAUUUUGUUAUUAAUUUCUCCAUCUUUUUCUUGUUUUGAUAUUAAAUAUUCUAGUUAUUUUAGUUAAUUUUUAAUUGAAUAGGGAAUUAAUUAAUAUACAUAUUUUACCCUUUAUUAUAUAUUUGCUAGUUAUUUUUAUUUCUUAUUUUUAAUUAAUUGUACUAUUUUAUUGAAUAGGGAAUUAAUUGGAGAUUGUGGAUAAAAAGGGCAUGAAGAAGUUCAAAUUGAGAAGGAAUAAAGAUUAAAUUGAAAGACAAAAAUACAGUCAAGAAUUGAUAGAACCGAGUGGAAGAAAUCAAAGCAAUUAAUCCAAUUGAGAAAUGUUGAAUAAUUAAAAGAUUUAAUUUUUCCAAUUGGCAAUUGGAGUGCAAGUGCAUGGCAUUGCAAAAGUGGAAAGCAAUUUAAAUGGGCCCGCAAUUGACUUUCAAAAGUUGGAAUUAAUGGCUUUUGGUGGCGAUAAAUUGGAAAAGGAUUUCAAUUAGAAUUGAAAAAGGAUUUCUUUAGAAUUGUUGGAGAAGAAUUCGGUCAACUAGCAUUAUAAAAGGAGAGCCGCCAGAGAGCGAGAGAAAGGGAGGAGAAUCGGUAGCAAGAGGAUUUGAGGAACCAGCAGCCGCAAGAAGGAAAAGUAAGGGAGAAACCGAAAAAGAAUUGAAGAAAAAGGCAGCCGCUUGAAUUAAUCUCCAUGAUUGGUUUUGUCAAUUCUCUUAUUUCCAAUUCAAUUAUGUUAGGCUAGAUUUUUAUUUGGUUGAGGGUGAAUUCAAAACCCUAAACAUGCUAUGCAAUUAAUUUUUAAUUUCUAUCAUUCAAUUUAUUUAAUUGAGAUUGUUUAUGUUUUUCUAUAAUUAAUGUUUAUGAUUUUAUUCCCGUCUUGUUUGAGUGGCCAAUUAGAUAAGACUUGAAUAAAUUCUAUUACUAGAUUAAAAUUCUUGAUCCGUAAUUGUCUUGAGAUUUUAAUCAUAAGUAGCAAGUUGGAAUCAGUGAUUUCAAUUGGAGAACAUAACCUAGGUUAAAUAAUCCGAGCUUGUGUGUUUAUUGCCUAGAUCAACCUAAUAUCUUUCUCUGUUUAAUGCUUCCAUUAUCUUAAAUUUAAAGAGCUUGUUUUAAAUUAUUUAAUGGUUAGAGAUUAGGUAAAGAGCUUGUUUUGCCUAAUGACACACUAAGGAAAGAUUUAGACUAACAGAGCUUAUUGUUGUCUACGGUUGAUAGUUUCAAUAUAAAUUGAUGAUAGAAUUGAUAUAUUAUUUGCAUGUUUGGUGGUGGCGAAUGAUCAUUUAACCAAAGUUUUCAUCAUUAUUAUUUCUUUCUCCUUUAAUUAGAGUUUUUAUUAAAUUCUUGUUCGUAGUUUUAAUUUCUUUAUUUCUUACUAUUUAGUUAAAAAUUCAUACACCCCCUUUUUAUUUAUAAUUGUCAUUUUCUUUAGUUAGAUUAAUUUCUAUUAUUACUACUAUUAUUUUAUUUUAAAUCUUGCUUUAGAGUUGAUAAUAAAUAUAACUAGCAUAGUCUCUGUGGGAUCGAUCCUUACUCGCUCUGUACUAAUUAUUUAUAUUAGUGGUAAGGUUUUAAAUUUGGUGCACCUUAACGACACUACCAAAAAAUGAUGUUUUAAUACAAAUAAAUUAGCAUCAAUUUUAUUAAUUUAAAAUAUUUUGUAAGUUAUAACUUACGUUUGCCUUAACUUUUUAAAAGAUAAUUUUUUUUGAGAAGCAUAGCAAUUGGCUGCAUCCUUAUAUGGUAUUAUUGUUUAAGUUAUAACAAAUUAAGGAAAUUCUUUUAAAAGUAAAGAGAAAGAUGAAAAUAAAUUUAUAAGGUUAUUUUAAACGUAAAUAAUUAAAAUUAAUUAAAAUGGAGAACAGUGAUUCAAAAGAAUUAGAAUUUUUUAAUUUUUUAUUUUAAAUUAUCAUGAUCUAAAACUUGAAUUUAGACAUUUUUUAUUUGAAAUAGAAUUUUAUUUUUCAAAUUAUAAAUUUUUCAUAGCAAAAUGAGAAAUGAUAAAUGAACAAACGUUUGUGUAGAGGUCAAAAGGUCAAGUAUGGAUAAUCAAAUUAAUGAUUAAAAUAAUCUCUCAAAAUAAUGAAUAACGAUUUUUUUAAUCUUUUUUUCUCUUCCAAGUACAAACAAAACAUUUUUGCCAACCUUUAAAGCUUUGAUAUAACAUAUUAAUUUUCAUGGUUCACGGAAUAAUCGUAUAAUAAAUAUAUAAUUUAUUUGAUCAUAACAAUUUGAAAAAUAAAAUGUUUGAGGAGUAUAACAAUUGCAUGGAAAGUUGUUAAAAUGAAUUUUGGUUGAAGUCAAAGAAAUUAAUUAUUUGAAAAUAAAUAGAAUGACAACAAUUUUAAACGAACUGAUAAAAAAAUUAUUUUCCUAGAAGCUUGUAAAAAAUUCUUAUAUACAAAUGGAUGAAAAAUUUGAUUUGAUUAAUUUUUUAGUGCACUGGAUAACUUAACAGGGCAUGAUAAUUUCAUUUACAAUUGCAAUCAUUCUCAAUUGUUAUUUAUUUAUUUACAGUUGAAGUUAUGAAAAAUUAAAGCAUUUAGUUUGAGAAGUAAAGAGAAAGAUGGAAAUAAAUGCAUAAUUUAUUUUAAAUAUAACUAAAUACUAUUAAUUAAAAUGAUUAAAUGAUAAUAAAUAUGUAUAAAGAUUAAAAGCUUAAGCAUAUAUAAAUUCAAUUUCAGAAGAACUUAUGAAGUAACGAAGAUUAAAAAAAAAGGACUUAAAUUAAGGACCCAAAACGUUGAAAAUGAUAAAGGGUUGCAAUAAAAAAAAUUUCAGUAUUGUAUAGUAAAUUGAUAUUUGUUAAAAUAAUAAGGGGUUAUAGUGUUGGAAUAAUGAAAAUAAUAGGAACAUAAAACCAUUGUAAGGUGUGAAAGAGUAGGAAUAACUUAACCUAAAAGUGAGAAUAAUUUACUAAAAUGUUGAAAAAUUAUAACGGAAAGCAUGAAUUUAUGAAGUAAACUUGGAUCAUUAGCCAAAAUAUUGGAAUACACUUAAAAGAGUAAGAAUAUGUAACAAAAAAAUCUUGAAAAUAAAGUUGAAAUUGAUUAAAAGAAACUAGGAAUACAAAAAAUAAACUUGAAAUAUCUAAUCAAAAUAUUGGAAUUCAAUAUAAAGAGUGGGAAUAUAGAACCAAAAAAUGGUGGAAAAAGGAGUGGAAGAGCAGAACUUAAAAGUUGGAAUAACUUGAUAAGAGUUUGAUAAAUUCCAAUGAAAAGUAGAGAUCCGAAAGAUGAACUUGAAACAUUUAUCUAAAUGUUGGAAUUCAAUAAAAAGAGUAGGAAUAUAGUAUCGUGGAAAAAAGAGUUGAAGAGGUUAACACAAUAGUUGGAACAACUUACAAAGAAUUUGAUGAAUUCCAAUGAGAAGUAGAGAUCUUAAAAACGAACUUGAAAUAUUAACCCAGAAUAUUGGAAUUUAGUAAAAAAAAAAGUAGGAAUAUAUAACCAAAUCGUGGUGGUAAUAAUAGUUGAAGAACUUAACCCAAAAGUUGUAAGUAUCUACCAAUAAUCUGAUAAAUUCCAACCGUGUAUAGGGAUCUGAAAAAUAAACUUGAAACAUCCACAUAAAAUAUUAAAAUUCAAUUAAAAGAGUAGGAAUAUAAAACCAAUAUAUUGAGGAAAAUGAGUGGAAGUGCUUAACACAGAAAUUGAAACAACUUGACAAAAUUUUAAUAAAUUCUAAUGAAAAGUAGAGAACUAAAAAAUAAACUUGAAACAUUUACUCAAAUAUUGGAAUUCAAUAAAAUGAGUAGGAAUAUAAGACCAAAAUUUGGUAAGAAAAUAAGUUGAAAAUGUUGACCCAAAAGUUGGAACAACUUACAAAGAAUUUAAUAAAUUUUAAUGGAAAACAUAGAUAUGAAAACAGAACUUGAUAUAUUUAUCCAAAUGUUGGAAUUCAAUAAAAAGAACAGAAACAUAAAACCAAUAAAUGGUGAAAAAGAAGUGGAAAAGCAUAACCCAGAAGUUGGAACGACUUAACAAGAGUUUGAUAAAUUCCAAUAAAAAAUAGAGAUCUAAAAAAUAAACUUGAAACAUUCACCCAUAUGUUGGAAUUCAAUAAAAAGAGUGAAAAUAUCGAACCAAAAUUUGAUGGGAAUAAAAGUUGAAGAGGUUAACCCAAAGGUUGGAAGAAAUUACAAAAAAUUUGAUAAUUUUUAACGGAAAGUAGAGACCUAAAAAAUGAACUUGAUAUAUUUACCUAAAAUAUUGGAAUUCAAUAAAAAGAAUAGAAAUAUAAUACCAAAAAAUGGUGGAAAUAACAAUUGAAGAGUUUAACCCAAAAGUUGUAAGUACUUACCAAUAACUUGAUAAACUUCAACAAUAAAUAGAGAUUUAAAAAAUGAACUUGAAUCAUCUAUGUAAAAUAUUAGAAUUCAAUGAAAAGAGUAGGAAUAUAAAACCAAAAAGUGCUGGAAAAAAAUAGUUGAAGAGCUUAACCUAAAACUCGGAAAAAAUUACCAAAAAUAUGAUAAAUCCAACAACAAGUAGGGAUCAAAAAAUAAACUCAAAAUAUUCACAAAAAAUAUUAGAAUUAAGUAAAAAGAGUAGAAAUAUAGAACCAAAAAAUGGUGGAAACAAGAGUUGAAGAGCAUAACCUAAAAGUUUGAAGAACUUAACAAGAAUCUGAAAAUGUUUAACAAGUAGUCGAGAUCUAGAAAAUGAAUCUGAAAUAUCCAAGCAAAAUGUUAGAAUUCAAUGAAAAUAGUUGGAAUAUAGAACCAAAAAGUGGUGAAAAUAAGAGUGGAAGAAGUUAACCGAAAAAUUGAAAUAAAUUAACAAAAAUUUGAUAAAUUUAAACGCGAAGUAUGGAUCUAAAAAGUAAAUUUGAUACAUUUACCCAAAAUAUUAGAAUUGAAUAAAAAUAAUAGGAAUAUUGAACCAAAAGUAGUGGAAAAAUAAGUUGGAACCACUUAGCAAUAAUUAGAUAAAGUCUAAUUGAAUAUUGAGAUUAAAAAAUAAACUUGAAAUAUCAACCUGAAAACUAAAAAUUUAAUGAAAGAACUGAAAAUAUAGAACUAAUAACUGAUGGAAAAAUGAGUUGAAACAACUUACCAAGAAUUUGAUAAAUUCCAACGGAAAGUAGGGAUCUAGAAAUUGAACUUGAAAUAUCCAAACAAAAUUUUGGAGUUCAAUAAAAAGAGUAGGAAUAUAGAACUAAAAAGUGGUAGGAACAAAAGUUGAAAUAAUUUACCAAGAAUUUAAUAAAUUCUAAUGAGAAGUAAUGAUCUAAAAACUAAACUUGAUAUAUUUACCUAAAAUAUUGCAAUUCAAUAAAAAUAGUAGGAAUAUAGAACCAAAAAGUGGUAAAAAAAUAAAUCGGAACAAUUUACUAAAAAAUAGAUAAAGUUUAAUACAUUAUAGAGAUAUAAAAAUAACUUGAAAUAUACGCCUAAAAAGCUGAAAGUUAAUGAAAAGAGUGGAUGUAUGGAACCAAAAACUAGUGGAAAAACGAGUUGAAACAACGUACCAAAAUUUAGAUAAAUAACCACGAAAAAUAGGAAUUUAAAAAGUAAACUUGAAAUAUGCAUUAUAAAUAUUGGAAUGUGACAAAAUAAGUAGGAAUGUAACCAUUUUGUGACAUGUUUAUAUUUUUUAUAUUUUUUGUACUAUUUUUAAAUUUAAAAUUAUUACAAUCUUUUUUCUCAUUUAAUUACAAUUUUAUCCUUUUUUCCAAAUUUUUUCAUAAUUUUUUCACAUUAAAAACAAAUAAAAAUAUAAUUUUCAUUAUAUUAUCCGGUUAAAAACCGGUUGUACCGGUUGCAUGCAUGCGCUGUAUGAGAUACAGUGCUGCAUGGUAGGUUGGCAGCUCUGACUUUCUGUGGCCGAACAUCUAGAAACUAUAAAAGCAAUUUAUUAUAAAAUUAGAUGUUGAAGAUGCACCAAGAAUAAUGCAACUUCCUUUAAUUAAAAUUUAAGCCCUUGCAACCUUGCUAAAGAAUAAAUAUUUAGAAAAUUGAAGUUGAAAUCCUUUAAUAUUUUUUUUUUCUCUUUUGGUCCCCUUAAGAAUUUGGAGAAGACCGAAAAUAUCCUUCAAGACAUCAAAUUUUCCCAAUAAGGCAUGGAGAUGAGACAAAAAAACACGUGUUAAUUAUUUUAUUAUCUCACAGCCAUCGAAUAAAUUGUAUGAUUGAUGUACAACUUUGUAGGUGCACCUCUGUUAUGAACAACACAGUUUCUCAGGUGUAGAUGUAAAACCAAAUCAAUUUAUAUAUUUUCAACAUCAAUCCCUUAUUGGAUAGAUCUUGCAUUUUCAAGACCAGAUCAUAAGCAUUGUUGAAAGUGAAUCAGAAGCAGACUUAAAACGCAGCGUUUUGCUGUUGUUAGUUUACCAGUUUCAUCACUUAAGUCCCACGUGCAUCACUUAAAUUGACUAAGGUCACAAGCAAGGGGACAAGGCUACGUUGCAGACUCUGUAAGUAACAGCUCAGUGCAAACUGGCCUUGUAUCAGCUGAGUUCCAAUAGCUUUUCCUCUCUCCUGCAACGCGUGGAUGCUCCCCAUUUGCUAUGUUACAUACAGAGUCUGUAACAUAGCAAGCACCCAAGCAAGGCUGUCAAGCCGUUAUUUUUUACGGGAAGCGACAAAGAGCUCGGUUAGGCUGGUGGUUGUACCAUUUUCUGGAGAGAGACAAUUGGUGAGGGGUUUUUUUUCUUCAAGUUUGUACUCAGUGGUAUUAAAAACAAUUUUUGUGUCUUGCAUUAAAAAAAUCGGCAGAGAAAUUGACUUGUUUAUGGGAUGGGAUUAAGUCAUAUCGGGUGACUGAAUCAUCACAAAUUCUGUUUUGUCGAUUGUUCUGGUUUAAUCUGUUUUGCAAUGUCUCGAGUCUUUCAACUGUGUUCAUAUUCUUGAUCUUGAGGGGGGUUUCUUUUGCAGAGAUUAAGGAUAAUAAGAAAAAACCUUGAAUCAAAUGCUUCCCUGAUAAAAAUGUAAACUAGAUACGCUUAUAGCUGUGAACCAAGAAAAUGACUCAAGCAUACAGAAAGAACUAAUUUUUCCCCAGCAUAAAACAUUCUCUAUUAUUCAUUGACAUUUAUAGUACUAUGAGCAGAGAUGAAGUAUUUCUCUACAUCCAGCAUCGACAGCUGAUAGUUGAUCACACAUCAUUACAAAACUGACAGUUUGUCUUAUUGUUCAUGAAUCAGGAGUCAUCAAUCCUUCAGUCCUCAUCACCAAGGUGUCCUGAAUGUUCUUGCUCAACAAGCCAACCAGGGAACUUAUUGCUGACCCUUUGAUUCAUUAUUGAUCUCGAUUCUCUGAUUGCUCUAGAAUUCAAAUGUAAUGGUUCCCACCAAAAAUGCUUCACUGAGGCAUUCCGUCGAACAUAAUCUGAAAACCAACAAACACCUUCUCAUUUUAACUAUUCUACAAGAUGCUGCUCUGUUCAGCUCUGCCAGAAGAUCAUCCGUGUUUACAACUGCUCUCAUGGUAUAGAAAUACAAAUGCCAUAAAGAUAUUGUCAGUGUACAUGUAUCCCAAAAGCCCAGCCAUCUUGCAAGCAAAAAUAAAUACGCAUGUGGUCAUACUUAUCAAGCAUGAAUUAAAUUCCAUUAAAAAUUGUCCUCUUUUAUGCCUUGGAAGGCAUAGAACCAUAGGCAAUUGGAGGUUUCUAAUGGUCUCAUAAAGUGCACAAACCAAAAUUACAAAGAAAACUAUCUACAAAAGUUGAAUGACAACCAAAAAUAUAAAGUACAACCUAAAAACAAAUGCCAAUUUUCCAUAGUCUAUGAACGUGAUGCUACAUAGUUUCGCUAUAGUAUACUCAAAUAUGCAUCAGAAAGUUAAGGUAGUACUGGAUCAUGGAAAUAAACUGUGAACAUAAGGAAAGACUAGGCAUCUUUUGGUGUAAAAAAUUAGUGCAACAGUAACUUAUAACCCAAGAGAUUAUAAAGCAAUUUCGUUUAAGCUAUUUCUGGAAAAAAUAUGCAGAAAAUGCAAAAAAUAAAAAGUAGAUAAUUGAUUAAAAAUAAUCCCAUAAAAAAAUGAUAAAGAACCAGAAAUUGAUGGGAGCAUAGAACUUACAUAAGAAACCAUAAUAUGAGAAACCAACUCCUUUGUUAGUCAGGGUUGACUUGAUCUCUGCGGAUUCUCUUGGAACUCGGUUCCAAUUCCCCAUCUUCAGAUCUGCCAACACAUGUAGAAGGUUUACUUGUGCCAGCAGGCAUCUUAUUAUGACUGCAUUCUUCUUUAGUACUGGCAGCAAAUUCCAAAGUAUAAGUGUUGAGUUUUGUCUUAUUGGGACUCAAAUACACUGGAGACACACCACAAUUUCUCAACCGGUAAGGUGCCGGGAGUCUAGCUAUUUUAUCUACAAUGUCGAAGUGAAAUGAGACAAUUCCAGGGUGUUCACCAUCAGCAUCAGGUAGCCCAACAUUCCAACAGGGAAAAAAACCAAGUAUGACAUGAUCCGAGUCAGUGGAUACGUCAGGGCCAAAACGGGAUUGCAUAGCAAAAUGUUUGGUUUCAGAGUGUGUCCUUAUUUCAAAAGUGCAGUUACAUAGGACAUCUAAUUCGCCUGCCUGAAUGACAAUACCAAAAGCAAAUCCAAUGAAGUUUCUUUUUAUGUUAAAACAUUGAUGUGGCCCUUCAAGUGUUAUUGAAGAUCCUAAGCUUCGAUGAAUAAACCAAUCAGGAAUUUCACUUCCAGGUAAACAAAGGUUGACUUCAACUGGAUGAGCAAAUUCCUCAUCUGAAUUCCGAAAGGCUUGUUGACAUAGUUUCAGAGAUUGAACUAUCAUAUCCUGAAUUCUCUCUUUUGAAUCUGCCAAAAUUUUGAUGUUUCCGUUUUCAUUCAGUUUCGGGCAGUUGCUAAAAUUGAAGUUCAUAAAUAUCCUUGAACUUUGUUCGAAGGGCAUGGAGAGUGUUUCCAUUAUGGAUGUAUCUAGUUCUUGCGGACACAAAGGAAGCUCUGGCAAAGAUUGAAGCCUCUUGCAAUUGCUUGCUAUUAACAUCUCUAGAAACAAUGGAAGCUCUGAUAAUGACUGAAGCAUUUUGCAAUUUCCCAAGUGAAGAUAUCUCAGCUCUGGUAAUGACGGAACAUUUUCGACUGCAGUCUCCCGUAAGUCUAGUUUUAUUAGAUUUGGGAUUUCAGUUGGUUGUGGGAUCCUGGUGAGAAAUUGGGAGUUGCGUAGGUCGAUAAAUUUUAAAUUGAGAGCCUCCUGUUAAAAAAAAAGAUAAUUACUAUGUUAAAUUACUAUGUAUCAAUAAAAUUGUCAAUUAAUUAAAUAAAUGUAAAGAAAGAAAAAUAUAUAUUUUGGUAAUAGUAAUACACUAUACCUUUUCUCCUUCCCAAAUUUGCUUAACUUUGCUAUAAGGCAAAUUCAGUUCAAUAAGGUGCUCUGUCUCAAAAUAAAAUGGCAGUGUUUUCAAUGGAUAUCCAUGCCAGUGGAGAUAUCUCAAUUUUGCAGGAAGAUAUUUAAGAACUGGAUCAAGAUGCACUCUAAAGCUCACACUUGAAACAUCACAACGCUCUGGAACGUAGAAUUUAAGCCAUUUGAGAUUUGACAUAUUCUCAAAGGCUUCAAAACUCAAACGCAUCUCCUUUGUUUUGGACAAAUCAAGGAAUAUGCCCUCAAUUGCAUCGGUACCCUUUUAAACAAAGCAAAGAAUGACUGGGUAAGCAUAAAUUCUAAAAAAACUUCUGAAAAGUUGAUUAAGUGCUUCCUAAUCGAAGAAUAAAAUGCACACAAAAUCUACAAAUAUUAGAGUAUAGGUGAUUUUACUUGGUUCUUAGCGCCAAAACAUUUAAGCAUUAUAACUAGCCGGGGGAACUGAUAAAAUGAUAAAUAAAAUUAACACUUAAUAGAACCGUUAUAACAUCAAGGGGAUAAGAAUGAAAUUUUAAAAUAGGAUGGGAGUUUUGUUUGAUUAAUUAUUUGCUUUCUCUAUGUAGAAAGGGGUGAGCUCUUUUUGACCCUAUAAAACUAACAAGGUUUUUAAGUACGAAACGAAAUUAUAGUGAAUGGGAGCAUAGUACAUAUAAUUUAGGGGUUUAUGUUGUUUUGUCCGUACAAGUAAUUUGGACUAAGGAUGUAUAGAGAGAAAAAUUAUGUCAAAUAAGUUGAUUCAUACCUUAUUUUUUGUUAGCACGUCGUAGACAUCUUUGCGAUCCCAUAGCCUGCUACGAUUGCCUGGUUCUUCAGAUUCUUCGCGAACAAUUGUUUGACCCAUUUCUUGCAAUAAAUCAUGCAUUUGCAACCUCUUAUACGAUAUUGUAAUGAGUGACUUGUCAGCAAGGAAUUCCAGUUCAUAGCGCAGAGACGUAGGCUUGUCUUGUAUCCUUGUCACAUUGUCCACUUGUUCUCCUUUGAAGAAACAUGCAAUGUCAAGAAAUAUUUUCCUAUGUUUCGGACUUAGCUCAUCAUAACUGAUUUUCAGCACCUUAUAAAUUCUAGGUUCAGAAAUCAGUGUCAAGUCAUGCAAUUUAUUAUGCCACUGUUCUUCGCUCUUUCGUCUCAGGGAAGAACCCAAUACUUGAAGAGCUAACGGAUUGCCAUCAGCAUAACAUGCAACUUUCUUUGAGAGCUCCAGAAGUUCAUCUGAGUGGUUUUUCCGACUUAAAGCUUUUCUACAAAAGAGCUCACAAGCUUUAUUGUGAUCCAAUCCCUUGACCUCGUACACAAUACUAUUGACUCCAAGUACUCCUCUAUCUCUAGUGGUUAUAAUAAUUCUACUUCCAGGUCCAUAUAGACAUAGCUCUCCAACUAAACUUUCUAAUUCUUGGAUGAAGUUAUCAUCAACAUCAUCAAGAACGAUCAACACUUUACUCCGCUGAAGCCUUUUCCUGGUAUGUGGGUGUAUUGUAAGAGUUCCUAUUUUGAGAUUACUUUCUCCUAAUACUCGAGAAAUGACCUCAUCUCGAACAUUAAGUGCUCCCAUAUUUCUUGAUUCUUCUCUGACGUUUCUCAUGAAGCACUUACCGUCAAAGUGGUUUGAAUAUUCUCUAGAAGAAAUUUGGUGGAAAACAGCUUCAGCAAUGGCUGUUUUACCUAUACCGCCCAUGCCCCAGAUUCCUACGAUUCGAACACCAUCCAAUUCCAGACACAGCAGCGAUUUGAUUCUCUCAAUUUGUGAAUUGAAUCCGACGAAGCCAUCAAAAUUAGGUGGGUCUGCCAUGUCUUCCAAUUUCUUAGAAAUAUCUUCAGCAAUCUUUUCCACAAGUUCCGCAUCAUUCCUAGCAAGUGUUGUUCAAGAUAUAAAUACAAUGAUGAUGAGUCAAAAUAGAUCAAGCUAGGCUAUAGAGCAUUAAUGUUCUUUCGUUCAUUGACAAAAACAAAAGCAAGAGUUAAAGAGUUACCUGAAUAACCCGGAAUAAUGGAAUCCAGAUAUAUUUGAAGCUUGGGUCAAUGAAUCCCUCCAUUUCUGAACCUGGACCCUAUCCGGAAAGUUCCUUUCGUGGUGAACAAAAGCUUCUCCGAAACUCCUCCUCUGUUUUCGCACAUCGGAUGGAUCUACUUUGUAGAAAACCGGUACCACAAUUUGGCCAUUCCUAUUCUUGCAAUCAAGAAUCCUGACAAGUUCAUCGAGGCACCAUCUUGAAGACGCAUAGUUUUUUGAGAAGAUGAUUAUAGAAAUAUCUGAUGUUUCGAUUGCAUUCAAAAGGGCAGGCGAGAUCUCUUCUCCUCUCUGAAGUUCUUCAUCAUCUAUGAAGAACUGUAUUUGUUUCCGACGUAAAGCUUCAACUACAUGGCUGGUGAAGCCCGUACGGGUAUCCUCCCCGCAGAAACUGAGGAAGACAUCAAAUUUGCUUUGAGCAUUGAGGUUUGUAGAAGAUGAAGCCAUGGAUGAAGAAACAGAGCUUCAAAGUAGAUGAUGGACCGGGUCAAUAUGCUUUAUUAUUAUUAUUAUUCAGAGUAAGAAGACCAUAAAGAAAAGGCAAAGUCAGAAAUAAUGAGAGUGCAGUAGCCAGUAGCAUUGCUCUUUGUCACGCGUGUGUAAAUGUUAUAAUCAACACCCCAAAGCUUUUUCCAUUCGAAAGAGAUAACGAGAGUGAAUGGGCCUGGUGUUAUGUUUACUGGAGCGAGCUAGCAUUUCUCAUAGAGUUUACUAACUACAACCAAGAAAUAGAAGCAAAGCCAUCAAUUGGAUUAUGCAACCAUAUUUUAACUGAAUUAUAUAUAAGGCAGAGCCAUAAAUGUGGGAUAAAAGGUUUGAAUUUCUAAUCGCAUUCGUUCUGAUAGAGCUUGAAUAUCUCAAUUCAUCACAACUUUUUAUCUUCUAUUUCUAAUGAACAUAACUUUACGAUUCUUAGGAUUCAUUGAAUCAAAGAGAUCCAAACAUUACAAAGAAGAGUGUUUUUUCUUUUUUCCCUUUUUUUUUUUUUGUUGGCGGGGGGGAAUUACUGCCUCCCCCCACACCACCCCCCUUCUCCCUUUCCCCUUCGUCUUUUGUAACAAGCUUAUACACAGGUAAAAAACAGUAAUUUGCUGAGCUGCCAAAAUGACAGCUUGAUUCAAGCAUUUUCGCACACGAAGAAAAAGCCUUCAAUAGAUUGCUUCUGAAGCUCUUCUGUGACACCAUGAGCUCUCAUUGUGUAUAAACCCAAUGACAAAUGCUGUCAAGCCACCGGCAACGACAACACAGAACACCUUCAUUGAUUUAAAAUAAUCAAGGAAUGAGGGAAAAGAAAAAAAAAAAUAAUCUCCUGAUCUCUGACACUCAUACGAUAUGACCUGGAAGUGUAAAUGUGAGUCGAGAAGCUCCUCUCUUCGAUAUGAUCGACAUACAGCUCUACACGUGUACAUUAAGACUAAACACUACGUAGUGCCAUAGACAAAAAAAUUGUAACCAGAAUUAAUGAAAUAUCCUAGCGAUGAAUUAAAUAUUAAAUUUGGACAUAAAAUCAUUGAUUCCAAUAAUUAUCCAUAUAUGCUGCGUUUACUUUUUGGAUUGGACUGGGAAUCCUGAGGAGUGGGAAUCUUUGGAUUAGGAGUGUAGAGUGGGAGUGGGAGUAGGAUGUUUACUUAGACUAAAUGAAAAUAUGGAUUGUCAAUUAGAAUCCUAAUUAUUUGUUUACUUUGUCUUGGAUUGGGAGUAAAUUGUUUUAAAUUAUAAUUUUAUCCUUAUGUACAGAAUUAUAAUUUGUAAUUAAAAAAUUAAUAAAAAAUAUAUUUGGAAAAUAAAAUAAAUAUUUUAUUAUAUUUAUAAAUUAAUAAUAAUUACUAAUAUUCUUAAUUAUGUAAAUCAUAAUUUUUUAUUAAUUUUAAUUUAAAUUAUGUGAAUAAAAAUUAUUAAUAAUAGCAACACAAAUGAAAUAUUAUUAUUGAUAAUAUAGUACAAAAUUAAUAUUUUUUAGAAUAAAAUAUUUAUUAUUAUUAAUUAAAUAAAUAAAUAAUAUUUAUUAAAAUUAAUGUUUAAUAUUAUUAAUUUAAAUAUAAUAUUUAUUUAUUUUUAUUUUAUUAAAUUUAAUAAAAUAAAUAUGAUAUAAUUAUUAUUUUUAAUAAAUAUGAUAUUAUUUAUUUUAUGAAAUAUUAUUUAUUUAUUUUUUUAAAUAUUAUUUAUUUAUUUUAAUUUUAUAAGGAUAAAAUGGGAAGAGGGGGGAGUGGAUUCCCACUCCCACCUCCCCCAAUGGGAGUGGGAUUCCCACUCCCCACUCCAAAUUUGGGUGGGACCCACGGAUUUCCACUCUCACUCUCCUCAUUUUUAAGGUAAGUAAACACUGGAGUGGGAGGAAUCCACACUCCACACUCCCACUCCAGAAAAUAAACACUACCAUAAUGUAAUAAGCCGGAAAUGGUGAGGAGAAAACAAGAUAAAAUAGAAGAUAUCAGAGUGAUUCCUUAAAGCACAGAAGGGGAAUCUUCAUUUCCAAACAACAUUAAACUUAAUCUCCAUGAAAUAAAUUGCAGGUAUUAACUAAAUUCACAGAAAACUGAACUUCCCCAUUACUCCUUCUGUGACUAGAUCCAAAUUUCAAAUGUGGUAUAAGACUCGAAAUGAACAAAACUACAAAAAAAGAUACAAAUCCGAAUCACAAACUUUACAGUCAGUGUUAAAAAAUUAGAUUAAGACAAAAGCACAAGAAAAUAAUGAAAUUAAAAUGAAUUAGAGCAUUGACUUACAGAAGGAAUUCUGCAAAUUCACAUUUGAAUCAAGUCGAUUUCAUCAGGCAUAUCAAAUCCUGUAGAUGUUUCAGUUGUGAUUGCCUUACUUGCUUUCAAUUUUGCUUGCCUUAUCAUCCAAUUUCCCAAUUUCGGCAGCAAAUUUUAGAGUAAAAGUUUUGGGUUCGGUCUUGUUGGGAUCUGCAUAUACUGGACUCACCCCACAACAUAUCACCUUAGCAGGGAAGAAAUCAACCAAGACAGUUGUGUUGUGAUUACCACCACCCACAGGAAACCCACCUAUCCCGAAGGGAAUAAAUCCAAGUAUGACAUGAUCUGAAUCAAUGGCGUCGCGAAUACUAGCUAAAGAGCAAUUGAAAGACAAUUCUUCAGGUUUAUUCAUUUUAAUGUAGAUUCCACAGUUGAUGUAGAAAGAAUCCCAACUAUUAGAAGGAAGAUGCUUAAAAUCAAUAACAGCACAAAGUGCAAACCCAAUUAAGUUGAUUAAACAAUGCUCUGGCAGUUGAAGAGCUAUUAAAGGUCCAAUAUUUUGAAAUGUGAACCACUUAGGAAUUUCGCUCCCAGGUAACAGUAUGCUGGGACAAUAGAGUUGUUCCUGUAAAAUGAAAAUCAAGAUUUCAGAUGUAUCGAAAAGGGAGAGAGGAGAUAGAGAAAGAAAGAGAGAAAUGAAUACCUUUUCAUAAAAUAGUCUCAAUGAUGCAAUUGCCAUACGCUGAAUUCUUAGCUCUGAAUCUGCCAAAAUCUUGUCUUCAUUUAGUUCCCAGCAAUUCUGAAAUUCAAACUGCAUUAAAGAGCAAUCAUGCUUCAUAGGAAAUGUAGUUUUGGAUAACUUUUCGAGUAUGGAUAUAUCUAGUUCUUCUAGACAUGGUGAAAUCUCUGGCAAAGAUUCGAGCCGCUUGCAAUUACUUGCAUCUAAAUGACUUAGAAACAGUGGAAGUUCUGGUAAUGACUGAAGCAUAUUGCAAUUUCUCAAGUAAAGAUAUCUCAGCUGUGAAAAUUGCUUGAUGGUUGCAGGUAACCUCUCCAAGUUACUUCCACUUAGAUUUAUUCUCUCAAGAUUUGGGAUUUCUGAAAAUUCUGGCAACCUGGUGAGAUAUUGUGAAUUACAGAGGUUGAUAAAUUUUAACUUGAAAGCCUUCUGUAACAAAAGAGAAACAGUCACUAGAACGAAUUAGUAUAAUUUCGGGAUUCCACAAUUAGCUAUAUAACUUUAAAGAAAGAAAAAUGUAUAGUAAUGUAUUUGUAUAUUGUACCUUUUCUCCUAUCCAGAUCUGUUCAACUUUACUGUAAGGCAAGUUGAGCUCAAUUAGGCACUUGGGUUUGAAAGAAAAUGGCAGUGUUUUCAAAGGAUAUUCAUGCCAAUGGAGAUAUCUCAAUUUCUUGGAAAGAUAUUCAAGAUCUUGGUCAAGACGUAAUUUGGAGCUCAUAACUGGAACACCAUAACACUCUGGCAUAUAGAACUUAAGCAAUGUGAGAUUUGACAUAUUUGCAAAGGCGUGAGAAUGCAGAUGAAGGUAGUUUAUUUUGGACAAAUCAAAGAAUAUGCCCUCAAUUGCAUCAGUCCCCUUCAAAAAAAAAAAUUAAAAAAAGAAUGAGCAAGCAUAAAAUCUACAAGAAAAAAAAAACUUUUGAUAAAUAGAUUAAGUGUUUCCGAUAUAAUUGAAGUAUUUUUUUUUAAUUAAUACAACAUCCAUGUAUUAAAAAAAAAAUGUGUGCGGUUAUUCUAGUGAUCAUCCUCUGCUCUUCUCCGUUACAGUUUUUUUCAUUUUACUUUUCUCUAAAAGUUAAAAGUUGAGAAGAUAACAGUUAAACAAAUUUCAUCAUUGAUUAAUCUAACAUUUGGCGAUUGUAUAUAGAAGCCAAAAUGUUUAUUUGCUAAAAAAACUACCCAAGGUUUUAAAUGAAAUGAUAUUAUAGUGAAUGGGUGUUAAAAAAAGAUAAAAAGUUUUGUCCCUAUAGUGACAUCCACUAACCAGUAAAGAUAUUUUUAGUAAUUAAAAAAAAAUUAAUGUUGCAUGUAGCCUCACAUACAAAAUGUCAAAUAAAUAGAUUCUUACCUUAUUUUUCUUUAGCACUUGAUAGACAUCAUUGUGAUCCCAUAAUUUGCUACGUUUGCUUGGUUCUUUGAAAGAUUCUUGACGAAUAAUUGUCUUACCUAUUUCUUGCAACAUAUCAUGCAUUUGCAGCCGGUUGUCAGAAAUUGUAAUGAGUGACUUCUCAACAAGAAUGUUCAGUCCAUUUCGCAUUGAUGUAGGAUCAUCUUGUACCCUUGUCACAAAGUCUACAUCUUCUCCUUUGAAGAAACAUGCGACAUCAAGAAAUAUUUCCUUCGCUUCCCAAUUUAGUCCAUCAUAACUGAUUUUCAACGCCUUAUAAGUAUUAGGAUCAGUAAUCAAUUUCAACUUAUGCAAUUUAUCUUUCCACUGUUCUAUGCUCUUUUGAUAAAGAGAAGAACCCAAAACUUGAAGAGCUAAUGGAUUGCCAUUGGCAUAAUGCGCUACCUCCUCUGAGAGCUCCAGGAGAUCAGGAGAGCGAUUGUUUUGUCUAAAGGCUUUUCUACAAAAGAGCUCAAGUGCAGAAUUGUGUUUCAAUCCCUUAACCUCAUAUACGUUUUCUACUCCACGUUUAUCGAGUAGCCGUUUAUCUCUAGUAGUUAUAAUAAAUCUACUUCCAGGGCUAAAUAGAUCUAACCCCCCGGCAAAACUUUCUAAUACUGGGAUGAAGUUAUCAUCAACAUCAUCAAGAACGAUCAGCACUUUCCUCUGUUGGAGCCUUUUCUUGAUAUUUGGGGUUAUAGUGGGAGUUCCUAUUUUGAUAUUUUCUCCCAUUACUUGAGAAAUAACCUCAUCUCGAACCUGUAUUACUCCCAUUUUGUUUGAUUCUUCUCCGACGUUUUUCAUGAAGCACUUGCCUUGAAAGUGUCCAGAAAUUCGGUGGAAAAUAACACUGGCAAUGGUUGUUUUACCGAUUCCGCCCAUGCCCCAAAUUCCGACAAUUCGAACAUCAUCCAAUUUGAGACAUAGAAGUGAUUUAAUUUCCUCGAUUCGCGAAUUUAAUCCAACGAAGCCACUUAAAUCAGUUGAAUCUGACAUAUCUUCCACUUUCUUGGAAAUAUCUUGAGCAAUCUUUUCCACAUGUCCCGCCUCAUUCCUAGCAAGUGUUGUUCAAGAUAUAAAUACAAUGAUGAUGGGUCAAAACAGACCAAGCUAGGCUAUAAAGCAUCAAUGUUCUUUUCAUUUUCGAACUAAGCCCGUAAAUGAUUAUUGAUCCAAAAAAAAAAAAGCAAUUUUUUUUUUUUUAAUUUGACUGUGUUCAGUUAACAGUUACCUGGAAUCCAUGACAACAAAUCCAGAAAUAAUUGAUGCCUUGGUCAGUGCCUCUCUCCAUUUCUGAACCUUUUUUGGGAAGUUCCUUUCAUGGCGGACAAAAGCUUUUCUAAAUCUGCUCUUCUGUUUGCGCAAGUCAGAUGGAUCUACUCGUUAGAAAACUGGUACCACAAUUUUGUCAUUAUUCUUUUCCAAGUAAUCAAGAAUCUUGACAAGCUCAUCGAGGCACCGUGUUGAAUAAGCAUAGUUUUUUGAGAAGAUAAUUACGGAAACAGCUGAUGUUUCGAUCGCAUUCGAAACGGCGGGCGAAAUCUCAUCUCCCUUCUGAAGUUCUUCUUCAUCAUCAAUGAACAAUUCUAUUUGUUUACGACGUAAAGCUGCAGCUAGAUGGCUCGUAAUGCCCGUACCAGUAUCCUUGCCUCGGAAACUGAGGAAGACAUCAUACUUGCAUUUAGCAGUAAAGCUAGAAGAUAAACAAGAAGACGAAGCCAUGGACCAAGGGAAUUUUUCAGAUUUUAGAAAACGAAAGAGAGAUUCUUUUCUUGAGUACAAGAUGUAAUAAUCAAAAUAGUUUUGAAGUAAAUAAAUAUACUAAUAUCAAUUAGAUACUUUUUUUUUUUGGGGGGGUGGUUAGAGGAGAUGAUUAUUGAGUCCAAUUUUCAUAGACGACAUAAACUUGGAACAAUUAUUAAUUAUAUAGUUGGAUUAUUGACAUGACGUUGUUGAUAUAGUCCUCUGGCUUAUCACAAAUGACACGAAAAUAACACAGAGGAUUAAUUACUAUCAAGAUUUAUCCUUUUAAUAUCUCAUUUUGUACUUGAUACUACAAAUUCAAAUAAUAACACCUAAUUGAAAGAUAAAUCUGUUUCGGUAAAGAAAUUUUCAAAUCUUACUUAAUGUUUUAAUUAUAAAAAAAUCAACUUAAACGAUACAUAAUUAAAAGAGGAUCUGACAAGAUGAGCGUCGUCAUCGCUCUCCACGCAACUCCCACGCGAGCCCCGUAGCUCUUUGUAGGCAGAGCGGCGGUACUCGUUUAACCAAAUUUUCAUAUUUAAAUACUCAAACCUUAUUAUUGAAGUUGCAAGAUUUUUUCAUUUUAGUACAAUCAAAAACAUCUUUUUUAAUGUACACAACUAAGUUAUCACUUAAAGUGUGUUUAAAUUUUUUUAAUAAUAGCAAAAAUAUUCAUAUAAUGCAACACGAAGAGCAAAUAUGAAUACAUGAUGAAUUUGAAAUUUUGAAACUACAAAAAAAAAUUUUAAAAAUUAUAAAUUAGAAUUAGCAGACUUAUAAUUUAGGGAUUAAUAUUGAAAAACUAUAUAAUUGAAGGAAAGUGCUUUUGAUUUAUGGGAACUGUGAUGAAAUCCAUGCACUGAUGCACACGCACUACUCUAAUCGGCUAUUGCACUACCACCAUGCAGUACCACAUAAAUUAAGUGCCAGUUUGGUAAUGCUAUAUCUUUUAAAAUAAUUAAUGUUAGUUGUACUGUAGAAAUAAUAAAUUAUGAACUGAAUUAGUAAAAUUUAUUUUUAAAAGUGUUGUAAAUAUUAAAUUGUUGUAAGAAUAUAAAUGACUAAAUUAGACAUAAUCUUGAAUAAAAUUUAUUUACACAUUUACAAACAUGUAUAUAAAAUAUUUAUAAUCGUGUGUAAUACUAUAUAUAAUAAUUGAUAAUUAAAAUAAAUAUUUUAUAUUAUUAAUUUUAUUUUUUAUUUUGUUAUCUCAAUAUAAUUAUUAAUAAUAAUAACCUCUUUAAAGUUAAUAAUUUUAUUUCCUGAUUAAUAACGAUAAUAUUAGAUUUUUUAAAUAUAUACGAGGAUAUAUAUAGAAUUAUAUUAAGUAUAAAAGUGAUUUUAAAAAUCAGAUUUUGCAAAGCUACUUUUUUCCUACUUUACAAAUUUUGUUGUAAGAUAGGCGAUUUUGCUAAAAGUGAUUUCUAAAAGAAUUUCUCAUAUACCAAAAUUAUAUUUUAACUUUUUAAAAUUACUUUUUAAUCUCCUAAAAGUAACCCCAAACAUGCCCUAUGUGCUUUUCUUCAAAGUAUUAGAAAGAGAUAAAAACAAAAAACAAAAAGAAAAGAAAUAAGUGAAUCUCUUUUGUUUUUAAUUGGGUCUUUAUUUUUAUUUUAAUAUCUAUUUUUUUUUUUGUUUUUAUUUAAGUUUCAUAGUAUUUUAAUAAUUAAUCAAACUAUUUAAAAUUAAACAUUUAAACUUAGGGCAACAUGCAAUCUUUUAAAGCUAACAAGGGACUUUCAUAAUUUUAUAUUUCAACUAGCGCACUUUCUUAAAUAAUAAAUAAAAUACAUUUCUUUUUAACAACCAUCAAAAAAAUUUCAAAAGCUAGUUGGGGAAAAGUCAUCUGGGCCCGUCCCCCAGCCAGUCCUAUGCUGAUAUAUUCAUAAUAUUAAUAUUAGGAACCUAAUUUCACAAAGCAUUUGUUUAGUUGAGUAAUUUUUCGUCCUAUUCUUGAGGUUAAGGGGUUUCAUUUUUUUUCGUAGUGAAAAUUGACUUUCUUCUAAGUGUUUGGAAAUAAAACCAAUCGAUUCUAAGAUAUAAAACUAAAAUGUUCUGGGUAAUUAAAAAGAAAAAAUCACAUUCAAUAUUUUCACAAAAAGCUGAGACACUUGGCAGGCACUUUCUAAUAAGCAUAGGGUGAGGAAGAGUCUGACAGUUCAUAAAUUUUCAGCCAAGAGUCUAUACUUGUUUAAUUCACUUUAUAUACACUUUCUAUUAUUCUUUACAUUUUCAGCCAUGACAGUUCAUAAAUCACUUUCUAUUAUUCUUUUUACAGUGGUUUAAUUCAUUAAAGUAUCGUUACAUAUACACACACACACACACACACACACAGAACAAUCAACUUACUUCAUUAGAGAAAUCUAAAUCAUCACCUUUCUUUCUUUUUAUGAUUUUCAAAAUUAAUUAAAAAAGUGAAGCAUAUAGAACAGGUAUAUAUACUUAUAUAUAGGUGGUAGGUCGGUCCCUGGUGCUGCCCAACCCAUCAUCACUUGUUUUAUAUGCAUACUGAGAGAGAAAGAGAGAGAGAGAGAGAAAUUCGUCAAAGCUAUAUCAUUCGAUCCACGAGUAGUUGAAUAAUUUCUUGACGAUCAGUUCAAAGUAAAUGAUAUUACUUUUAAGCUGUGUCCGGAGUGCCACUGAUUUGAUCUCUCUUUAACGAAAUGUUAAUGCUGUUGUUCAAACACGACUUAUUAGUCUUAAUGUAGAGUCUCUUUAUUUUGUGAUAAAAAUCAGACUUUUCCACCCGCUGAUUUCUUUUACAUCUUCUGAUCUUGAUCAUUUUAAUCCAAUAACCUUUUUCUCAUGAGAUGACUGUCAAUGUAGAAAAAGGAAACAGAGCAUAACUGGUUUAUCAAUAGUUAUAUAAAGGGGUUAGAAUAUGAAAAGAGUGCCCAUUGGAUUCUGCUGUAGGGAUUUAUUAAGUGCCCGCAAUAAAAUAUUCAGUCAUACAAAUCAUGGCAGAGGAAAAAAAAUGACCUGAAUCCAUAAUUGCUGGGUCUAAAAAUUUGAAGAUACACACACAACUUUUGAAAUAAAUAUGAAAACCAAUGAAGAGAAAAGAAAAGAUACUAUAAACUUGACCAAUUCAUCUAAAAUCAUGAUUAUUCGUGAUUAUAUACAAACGGCAAUUCAUUGGAUCAAUAAUAGGGAUACAAGAUCACCAGGUAAAGCAAAACUAACAGUCACAUGAACGUUACAAUGAACCCAAACAAAACAAAAGGAGGCGAUACAACUAAAGACAAGCGACACUAAGGAACACCGAACCACAGGGGAACUUGCUUGAGUGUGACAGAUAAAAACAGAAAGAAACAAACACGUUCAAUUUUGAGAUAAUUGAUGAUCACCCUCAACUUCUGGUUCUUUUGAAAAAGAUGAGAAUUAUGUAAGACAAAGAAGAAUUUAGCAAUUUGUUACUCCUCCUGAUGGCUAUUUAUAACCAGCCAAUCGAGAAUUUAGCAUAAAAGAUGUAGCCAUUCACCAAAAAAGUCCAAAAUUUCAUCUGCUUUAGCUGUUGGACCUCAAGAGAUCUAGCUAGAAUCAAAUUGUCUGACUAGCUUUUCAUAAUGAAUUGGCAAGCUUAAAAUCCUAAAAGCUUUAUUAAAAUUCUCUACCUCUUAUUUUUGUUGUAAUCAACGUGUGGUUAUCUUCAAUUUCGAUGAGCUACUUGCAGUUAAUGGUCAAGAUUUGCACUCCACUGUUUGGCAUAUUUGUAGUUAAAAUAAUAAUAAUAAUAAUUAGAAGAACAACAUGUAAUGUCAGAACUUGAUCAUCAUAUAACAAAUUAAACCAUUAAAAAUGCAAACAAUCAUAGGAGUUUCUAGGCCUUAAAAAAUCCACAGCCGCAGUUCUCAAUUCUCAAUACACUCCCAGCAAAUAUAACCGUCUGACCAAUUCUAAAAUGCAAAGUGAUAACAUCUAAAAUUGUUUCUGAAUUUCAGUAUUCAAGUAACAACAAAGACGGUGCGGUCAAAGAUAUUCCAAAUACUAGCCUAUGGUACUAAAGUGAGGUGCAUACCGUAUGAAAUCAUUACUUUGAGAAAAAGUUUUACUGAUGCAAGUGUGCCUUACCCUUCAUAGAGAAGCACCCCCAUAAGUUCUUCCUUUGUGAUGUCUAGUUUAUUAAGAAAAAUCAGAAAUGUGAUGCGAAAUACUCCAGAUUUCAACCUAAGUUCAUUCAUGACUAGUGAAUCCAGUAACCGUUUAAACUAGUGUCUUUAUUUUUAUUUAUUAUUAUUUUUAGUACUCCUGCAUUUAAUCACAAUUAUUAAGGAUAAUCAAUUAAGGCAGAUAAUCAAACACUUUCUUUUCUAAUUUAUAUUUUAUUAUUUUGUAUUGAAGAGAAAUAGAAGUAAUUUAAUUAUUAUUUAUUUUUUAAAAAAUAAUUAUUUGAUUAAAAUAAUAUUAAUAAGAAAUUUUUUAAAAAAUAUAUUUUUUCACUCUUCUAUUUGACACAUAAGUAAAUAAAUAAAUAUUUAAAAAAUAAAAUUAAUAAUACUUUUUAAUGCUGCUCUAAGUAUAUGUAUUAUUAGGGGGUUGUUUGUUAUCAGGUCUCCACAUUUAUUAAUUCAAUUAUUUUGUAAAUCACUUCUUGAAGAAGAGGGCAUUCUUGUAUUGUUUAUGUACAUUUGAGGGUUUAAUUUUAAAGUAAGAGAAUAAUAGCAGCAUAGCACUACUAGUUGGGAGGUUAUUGAGGAGUAGGGAUGACAAUUUUUCUCGAUGGGAUGUGAUCUCGCAGGAUCCCAUCCUAUUUGGGACGGGAUUGAGACAUAUUUUUGUUCUAUAAAAAAAUUUAGAGAUGGGAGUGGAAUAUUUUUUUAUCUCAAUUACAUAUGCGGGACGGGAGUGGGAUUGACAAAUUCUGUCUCAUCUUGUCUCAUUAUCGAUUAAGAAUGGAAAUUUUUUCAAUUGGGAUGAGAUCCCGCAGGUUCCCAUCUUUUUUUGGACGGGAUUGUGACAUAUUUUUGUCCAAAAAAAAAUAUAUGGACGAGACUGGGAUCUUUUUUCAUCUCAUUUGUAUAUACAAGAAAAUCUCAGUCUCAUCUCGUCCCAUUGCCAACCUUAUUGAGGAGGUUUAUAAAAAGAAAAGGGGUUUGAUGAGGAUGAUAGAGGGGCGCCCAUAGCACCACUCUAUAAACGUUUGUAAUGUGUUUCAAACGCAAAUUUCUUGGGUGCGCUCAAAUCCACGUAUUGAAAGUUGAACUCCAUUAUGGUUUCGUUUUAAGGAUGUAAUUAUGUAGCAUAAAUAAAUUGAUUGAUAUAGUUUUAAAUAUUUCUGAUAUCAAUCUCUAAAUGUUUAUGUAUAUCUUUUUUUAAUAAUAAAAACAUUUUUAAUGUAUUAUAUAUUACUUAGCUAUCUCAGAGAAUUUCUCAUUUGGGUGUGGACUUUUAAUGGUCAUAAAAAUGUCAAUAAUGAAAAUGAAAAGCAAUAAUCUUAAAACUAGUAGAACCGAGUACUCGGCAAGAAGGAGUUAGCCAAUGAUAUGUUUACAUUUAAUUUCCACCAAUAUUUCAAAAUUACUGAAUAAGGCCACUUAAUAAAAAGUUGAGAAAAUAAAUAUUUAUUGAUUUAUUUCAUACAUUGCAUUGCAUGUGUUAGGAGCAGUAAAAUGUGAAAUUUUGUGAAAGAAAUAUCUCAUCAACUUUUUGCUUCACAGUUUUUAACUUUAACAUGUGACUAAAAUAAAAUUUAUAAACAAAAAUAUAAAUUAUUUGUGUUCAUGUUUAAUCGUAUCUACAUAAAGAAUAACUUUCGAACGACUAGUCCGUUGUUGUUAUUAUUAUUAUUAUUGUUAUUAAAAAAAGAACAUUAUACUAAAAUUAGAAAAACACGCAAUGUAGUGGUUAGCCACUAGGUUUUAACUUAGUGGUUAGAACUCAAACUUUACAAUUGUGAGGUUAAGGGUUUGAGAUCCCACAAUAUAUUGUGGGGGUUUAAUAAUAGAGAGGGUAAAAUUUUAAUUUUACUUUAAUUCUCAAUAAUAGUUUGAUUAGAAGUCUCAUUAAAUAUUAGAGAGGGUAAAAAUUUAAACGGUGCUGCUUAAGAGCCUAAGUAAUAGUUAAUUUUUAAAAUGUGAGUAAAGUAAACGUUCUCUUAAAUAUUAAAGAGGGUAAAAAUCUAAGCGGUACUUCAUAAGAGUCUCAGUAAUAGUUUGAUUUAUAAAUAAUUUUAUAUAAUUUAAAUUAUGCUCUUAAACAAUAAUCUCAUUUAAUUUUUUUUAAAAAAAAAAAAAACACGCACGCUGAUGCAAUGUGUUUUUUCAGAAGCAUUGGAUUAUUUCACCUUUUUAUCUGAAUUGUGAAAAGGGCAAAAACAUCUGUUCACUUGAAAUUCCCCGUGACAGGCACGUGUCCUGGAUGAGGCCGAAAAUACAAUUGCUUUUUAUCUUGCUUUCCUCCUUGAGUCGGCAUUGGCCAGUUUUUGUGAACUUUGUCUUGUAAUUUCAUUUCUGGAUUUGCUUAGUGCGAAAGCCACUGGGUUCGAAGAAAACAAGGUGUUCGGUCAAUUGUCUAAAAGAAGUUUAUAACGCUGCCCAUUACCACCUGCCCACGUUCACAAUGAGUGGGAACAACAUAAACUCGGUGUUCUACGCCGAGUUGUAUCAUCCGAUUCAAGCUGGCAGCAUUGACGGCACCGAUAUUCACCCCCACGAUAACGCCAUUUGUCGUGCUCUGCUCUGCUCCUCCGCUGGACUCUGUAUGUGCUUCUAUUUUCUUUAUUCCUUUCCACCCCCCCCCCCCGCCGGCGGCGCAAAACAACUUUUGAGUAUUCCCAGUUCUUACUCAUUUUAUAUCUUAAUCAUCUUGCAGAUGACCCCAUCGGUGACCCCAAGGCCUUUGGUGACCCUUAUUGCACUGUCUUUGUGGGUCGGCUCUCUCAUUUUACUUCCGAAGACACUCUUCGCAAGGUUAGCGGUUUUUUUUUAAUUUAAAUUUCCGUUAAUUUUCUUCAUAUUCUGCAGUGUUGCAAAAUUGUAUCCAUUUUGGAUUGAAUUAAUGAGUUGAAAAAAUUAUUGGCUUGUGGGUGUUUUAGGCUAUGAGCAAGUAUGGUAGGGUCAAGAACUUACGGUUAGUGAGGGACAUUGGUAAAGUUGCCGUUCUGUAAAUUGUGUUAUGUUGUCACUAGUUAUGUUUGGAAUGUAACACCUAACUUGUUCUGGUGCUUAUUGAUUUGUAUGAUGUGCAGUUACGGGUGCAUCGCGUGGUUAUGCUUUUGUUGAAUAUGAAACUGAAAGAGAGAUGCGCCGUGCAUAUGAGGUAUGAGGCUGAUAAUUUGAUUCUUUCUUGCUUUGGCACUUUGUGACUGUUAUGCAAUUUGUGUUUUGCUCUGAAAUGUGAUUCAUUUCAGAUUCUGUAAUGCACCAUAAAUAUCCACACUUUGAUUAUUUGACCGCACUUGUGACUGUUGAGUCUAUAUUGGAUAUUUGCUUGAUAAAUGAGGAAUUAAUAUAAUAUGUUAUGUCUGUAUUAAAACUGGAGUUAUGUCUAUAUUAGUGAGAAAUCAGAAUAAGGAUGUUUGGAAGCUAAGAAAGUAAAAGAAAAUUUAAGAAUUAGAAACUUCUAGCUCACACGAUUUUAUUCAUUAAAACCAAAAUCUAUAAAACUGUACACAGAGAUUGUUUAUAUACACAGCUGAUGCUCGGCUCAAUUAGUUAACUAAUUACAAAACUAAUUCUAACCAGCUAUAACAACUUCAACUAAUCAUCACGUGAACAAGUGAUUACAUAACCACCAGGUGCCAGCUGGCAUGCCAUGUCAUCAACUCUUAAUUGUAAGCUGGAGCUGCUGCUAUCCUCUGCUUUACAGUCUAGGCUACUGAUGUGAGCUUCCUUAACAAUAUUAGAAUGGGAUUUUUUACCUUCUAGUUGAGGUUUAUGCACAUCCACAAUUUCAAAAUUAAACGAACUCAAACACAUUGCUCAUCCUGGCUGCAUGCAUGCAUUCAGUGUCCCCACUGAUAGAAAGUAAAGUGAUGGUUUUUUUUUCAUGUCUGCCAUGCAGGAUGCUCACCACUCCAUUAUUGAUGAUCAUCAAAUUUUAGUUGAUUAUAACAGGCAACAGUUGAUGACUGGGUGGAUUCCAAGCCCCCCAAUUAAAUAUUCCAACUGACCAACUUUAUUAACAUCAUCAAGAACUAUAAGCACCUUUGUCCGUUGGAGCCUUUCGCUAACAUAUUCAGGAAGAUUGGGAGUUCUUAUUCUGAAAUUUUCUUCAAAUACUUCAGAAAGAACUUGGUCUCGUAGAUGUAACAAUCCACCUCCUUUCUCUGAUUCUUCCCUCACAUUCACCAAGAAGCACUUGCUUUCAAAUUCCUUAGAAAUUUGGUUGAAAAUAACGCCAGCAAUGGUUGUUUUACCUAUACCGCCCAUACCCCAAAUUCCUACAAUUUUGAAAUCCAAACGUCCGAGGCAUAACAAUGAUUUAAUUUUCUCAAUUUGUGAAUUUAAUCCAACUAGGCCAUUGGGGUAGGUAGAGACUGUAAUCUUUUCUACUUUCUUCAAAAUAUCUGUAACAACUACAUCUAGCAGGUGUGCCUCAGACCUAGCAAGUGCAAAUAUGAAGAGCAGUGACUCAAAUUGGACCAAGUUCGAAACGGAGAAAAUAAACAUAAACAUCAACAGUUCCUUCAUAUUUCCAAUUUCUUAUUAAUCUUAGAUACUAAAGGGUAAAUAAAGGCUACCUGAUUUCCUUGGAAGCCCAUCCCGAGAGAUUGGAUGCUUCUGUCAACGCAUGCCUCCACUUCUGAACCUUUUCUGGCGUCUUCUUGAGCUGUCGUUUGUCAUGCUUAGAGAAGGCAUCCCUGAAACUUCCGGUUUGCUUCCGCACAUCAGAUGGAUCUACAUGGUAAAAAACAGGCACAACCAUUUGGCCAUUCAUUUUACGGCAUUCAAGAACCUUGACACGUUCAUCCAAGCACCAUUUCGAAGAGGCGUAGUCCUUCGAGAAAAUGAUAACUGAAAUCUUUGAUGCUUCGUUUGCUCUCAAAAGGGCAGGCGAAAUCUCGUCUCCUCUCUUAAGUUGUUCAUCAUCAAUGAAGGCUUUAAUUUUCUCUCGAUACAAAGCAGCAUGAAGAUGGCUAGUAAAGUUAUCGCGGGUAUCCUCCCCUCUGAAACUGAGGAAGACAUCAUAAUUGCUAUGAGAAGUUAGACGAGAAGAAGAGGUAGAAGAAGAUGAAGCCAUAACGGAAGUUUUCUACUCUUUGGGACAGAAACAGAGUGCAAUAAAUAUGCAGCUGUGCAUAUUUAUUGAGAAUGUAUUAACAAAGUGCAGUAAAUAUGCAGCUGUGCAUGUGCAUGUGCAUGGAGCUUUCUUUUCUUAACUUGUUUUUAUUUUUUAUUUUUUUUAAACAUAUUGUUGACUUUCUGUCUCGGUUCGAGAAGGUUUCCUGUGACUUCUUGGAGCUUUCUUGGUACUCAUUAUGAUUACUUUUUAGUUUAAGGAGGAUCCUUCAAUCUAGCAGCUCUGACUUUCUGUGGCCGAACAUCUAGAAACUAUAAAAGCAAUUUAUUAUAAAAUUAGAUGUUGAAGAUGCACCAAGAAUAAUGCAACUUCCUUUAAUUAAAACUUAAGCCCUUGCAACCUUGCUAAAGAAUAAAUAUUUAGAAAAUUGAAGUUGAAAUCCAUUAAUAUUUUUUUUCUCUUUUGGUCCCCUUAACAAUUUGGAGAAGACCGAAAAUAUCCUUCAAGACAUCAAAUUUUCCCAAUGAGGCAUGGAGAUGAAGGUGAACCCAUGAGACAGAUCUUUAAUCUUGUGAUAAGUUCUAAUGUCAUGUUUAUACUUUAAAAGUUCGUAUGUCAAAUGAUGUGCAUUACUACAAACAAACACGUGUUAAUUAUUUUAUUAUCUCACAGCCAUCGAAUAAAUUGUAUGAUUGAUGUACAACUUUGUAGGUGCACCUCUGUUAUGAACAACACGGUUUCUCAGGUGUAGAUGUAAAACCAAAUCAAUUUAUAUAUUUUCAACAUCAAUCCCUUAUUGGAUGGAUCUUGCAUUUUCAAGACCAGAUCAUAAGCAUUGUUGAAAGUGAAUCAGAAGCAGACUUAAAACGCAGCGUUUUGCUGUUGUUAGUUUACCAGUUUCAUCACUUAAGUCCCACGUGCAUCACUUAAAUUGACUAAGGUCACAAGCCAGGGGACAAGGCUACGUUGCAGACUCUGUAUGUAACAGCUCAGUGCAAACUGGCCUUGUAUCAGCUGAGUUCCAACAGCUUUUCCUCUCUCCUGCAACGCGUGGAUGCUCCCCAUUUGCUAUGUUACACACGGAGUCUGUAACAUAGCAAGCACCCAAGCAAGGCUGUCAAGCCGUUAUUUUUUACGGGAAGCGACAAAGAGCUCGGUUAGGCUGGCGGCUGCACCAUUUUCUGGAGAGAGACAAUUGGUGGGGGGUUUUUUUCUUCAAGUUUGUACUCAGUGGUAUUAAACACAAUUUUUGUGCCUUGCAUUAAAAAAAUCGGCAGAGAAAUUGACUUGUUUAUGGGAUGGGAUUAAGUCAUAUCGGGUGACUGAAUCAUCACAAAUUCUGUUUUGUCGAUUGUUCUGGUUUAAUCUGUUUUGCAAUGUCUUUGAGUCUUUCAACUGUGUUCAUAUUCUUGAUCUUGAGGGGGGUUUCUUUUGCAGAGAUUAAGGAUAAUAAGAAAAAACCUUGAAUGAAAUGCUUCCCUGAUAAAAAUGUAAACUAGAUUCGCUUAUAGCUGUGAACCAAGAAAAUGACUCAAGCAUACAGAAAGAACUAAUUUUUCCCCGGCAUAAAACAUUCUCUAUUAUUCAUUGACAUUGAUAGUACAAUGAGCAGAGAUGAAGUAUUUUUCUACAUCCAGCAUCGACAGCUGGUAGUUGAUCAAAUAUCAUUACAAAACUGACAGUUUGUCUUAUUGUUCAUGAAUCAGGAGUCAUCAAUCCUUCAGUCCUCAUCACCGAGGUGUCCUGAAUGUUCUUGCUCAACAAGCCAACCAGGGAACUUAUUGCUGACCCUUUGAUUCAUUAUUGAUCUCGAUUCUCUGAUUGCUCUAGAAUUCAAAUGUGAUGUAUCCCAAAAUGCUUCACUGAGCAUUCCGUCGAACAUAAUCUGAAAACCAACAAACACCUUCUCAUUUUAACUAUUCUACAAGAUGCUGCUCUGUUCAGCUCUGCCAGAAGAUCAUCCGUGUUUACAACUGCUCUCAUGGUAUAGAAAUACAAAUGCCAUAAAGAUAUCGUCAGUGUACAUAUGUCCUAAAAGCCCAGCCAUCUUGCAAGCCAAAAAAAAGGGGUAAUGUGGUCAUACUUAUCAAGCAUGAAUUAAAUUCCAUUCAAAAUUGUCCUAUUUUAUGCCUUGGAAGGCACAGAACCAUAAGCAUUUGGAGGUUUCUAAUGGUCUCAUAAAGUACACAAACCAAAAUUACAAAGAAAACUAUCUACAAAAAUUGAAUGACAACCAAAAAUAUAAAGAAAACCCUAUAAACAAAUGCCAAUUUUCCAUAGUCCAUGAACGUGAUGCUACAUAGUUUCACUACAGUAUACUCAAAUAUGCAUCAGAAAGUUAAGGUAGUACUGGAUCAUGGAAAUAAACUGUGAACAUAAGGAAAGACUAGGCAUCUUUUGGUGAAAAAAAUUAGUGCAGCAGCAACUUAUAACCCAAGACAUUAUAAAGCAGUUUGGUUUAAGCUAUUUCUGGAAAAAAUUUGCAGAAAUGCAAAAAAUAAAAAUUAGAUAAUCGAUUAAAAGUAAUCCCAUAAAAUAAUGAUAAAGAAACAGAAAUUGAUGGGAGCAUAGAACUUACACAAGAAACCAUAAUAUGAGAAACUAACUCUUUUGUUAAUCAGCAUUGACUUGAUCUCUGCGAAUUCUCUUGGAACUUGGUUCCGGUUCCCCUUCGUCAGAUCUGCCAACACAUGUAGAAGGUUUACUUGUGCCAGCAGGCAUCUUAUCAUGACUGCAUUCUUCUUUAGUAGUGGCAGCAAAUUUCAAAGUACAAGUGUUGGGUUUUGUCUUAUUGGGACUCAAAUAUACUGGACACACACCACAACUUUUCAAGCUGUACCGUCCGUAUGGUAAUCCAUCAUUUUUAUCUACAAUGUCGAAAUCAAAUGAGACAACUCCAGGGCGUUGACCAUCAGCAUCAUGUAGCCCAAGAUUCCAACAGGGGUAAAAACCAAGUAUGACGUGAUCCGAGUCAAUGGAGACGUCAGGGCCAAAACGCAAUUGAUGUUCGGUUUCAGAGCGUGUCCUUAUUUUAAAUCUGUAGCGACAUAGGACUUCCAUUUCACCUUCCCCAAUGACAACACAAAAAGCAAAUCCGAUGAAGUUUCUUUCUAUGUUAGAACAUUGCUGUGGCCAUCCAAGUGCUAUUGAAGAUCCUAAACUUCGAUGAAUAAACCAAUCAGGAAUUUCACUUCCAGGUAAACAAAGGGUGACUUCAACUGCAUGAGCAAAUUCCUCAUCUGAAUCCCAAAGGACUUGUUGACAUAGUUUCAGAGAUUGAACUAUCAUAUCCUGCAUUCUCUCCUUUGAAUCUGCCAGAAUUUUGAUGUUUCUGUUUUCAUUCAGUUUGAGGCAGUUGCUAAAAUUGAAGUUCGUAGAUACCCUUGAACUUUGUUUUAAGGGCACGGGGAGUAUUUCCAUUAUGGAUCUAUCUAAUUCUUGUGGCCAUGAAGGAAGCUUUGGCAAAGAUUGAAGCCUCUUGCAAUUGCUUGCUGUUAACAUCUCUAGAAACAAUGGAAGCUCUGAUAAUGACUGAAGCAUUUUGCAAUUUCCCAAGUGAAGGUAUCUCAGCUCUGGUAAUGACGGAACAUUUUCUAUUGCAGUCUCCCGUAAGUCUAGUUUUCUUAGAUUUGGGAUUUCAGAUGGUUGUGGGAUCCUGGUGAGAAAUUGGGAGUUGCGUAGGUCGACAAAUUUUAAAUUGAGAGCCUCCUGUUAAAAAAAGGUAAUUACUAUGUUAAAUUACUAUGCAUCAAUAAAAUUGUCAAUUAAUUAAAUAAAUGUAAAGAAAGAAAAAUUUGGUAAUAGUAAUACAACAUACCUUUUCUCCUUCCCAAAUUUGCUGAACUUUGCUAUAAGGCAAAUUCAGUUCAAUAAGAUACUCUGGCUCAAAAUAAAAUGGCAGUGUUUUUAAAGGAUAUCCAUGCCAAUGGAGAUAUCUCAAUUUCGCAGGAAGAUAUUUAAGAACUUGAUCAAGAAGCACUCUAAAACUCAUAGUUGAAAGAUCACAAUGCUCUGGAAUGUAGAAUUUAAGCCAUUUGAGAUUUGACAUAUUUUCAAAGGCUUCAAAACCCAAACGUAUCUCCUUUGUUUUGGACAAAUCAAGGAAUAUGCCCUCAAUUGCAUCAGUACCCUUUUAAACAAAGCAAAGAAUGACUGAAUGAGUAAGCAUAAAUUCUACAAAAACUUCUGAAAAGUUGAUUAAGUGCUUCCUAAUUGAAGAAUAAAAUGCACAUAAAAUCUACAAUUAUUAGAGUAUAGGUCAUUUUACUUGGUUCUUAGUGCCAAAACAUUUAAGCAUUAUGACCAGCCGGUGGAAAUAAUAAAGUGAUAAAUAAAAUUAACACUUAACAGAACCGUUAUAACAUCAAUGGGAUUAGAAUGAAAUUUUAAAAUAGGAUGGGGGUUUUGUUCGAUUAGUUAUUUGCUUUCUCUAUGUAGAAAGGGGUGAGCUCUUUUUGACCCUAAAAAACUGACCAAGGCUUUUAAGUAAAAGUUUCAAACAAAAUGAGAGGAUAGCGAAUGGGAUUAUAUUUUAUAUUAUUUAGGGGUUUACGUUGUUUUGUUCGUACAAAUAACUUAGACUAAGGAUGUAUAGAGAGAAAAAUUAUGUCAAAUAAGUUGAUCCGUACCUUAUUUUUUGUUAGCACGUCAUAGACAUCUUCGUGAUCCCAUAGCCUGCUCCGUUCGCCUGGUUCUUCAGAUUCUUCGCGAACAAUCGUUUGACCCAUUUCUUGCAAUAAAUCAUGCAUUUGCAACCUGUUAUACGAUAUUGUAAUGAGUGACUUGUCAACAAGGAAUUCCAGUUCAUAGAACAGAGACGUAGGCUUGUCUUGUAUCCUUGUCACAUUGUCCACUUGUUCUCCUUUGAAGAAACAUGCAAUGUCAAGAAAUAUUUUCCUAUGUUUCGGACUUAGCUCAUCAUAACUGAUUUUCAGCACUUUAUAAAUUCUAGGUUCAGAAAUCAGUGUCAAGUCAUGCAAUUUAUUGUACCAUUGUUCUUUGCUCUUUUGUCUCAGGGAAGAACCCAAUACUUCAAGAGCUAACGGAUUGCCAUCAGCAUAACAUGCUACUUUCUUUGAGAGCUCCAGAAGAUCAUCAGAGCGGUUUUUUCGACUUAAAGCUUUUCUACAAAAGAGCUCACAAGCUUUAUCGUGUUCCAAUCCCUUGACCUCGUACACAAUACUAUUGACUCCAAGUACUCCUCUAUUUCUAGUGGUUAUAAUAAUUCUACUUCCAGGUCCAUAUAGAUUUAGCUGUCCAACUAAACUUUCUAAUUCUUGGAUGAAGUUGUCAUCAACGUCAUCAAGAACGAUCAACACUUUACUCCGCCGAAGCCUUUUCCAUAUAUAUGAGUUGAUAGUAAGAGUUCCUAUUUUGAGAUUACUUUCUCCUAAUACUCGAGAAAUGGCCUCAUCUCUAACAUAAAGUGCUCCCAUUUUUCUUGAUUCUUCUCUGACGUUUCUCAUGAAGCACUUGCCGUCAAAGUGGUUUGAAUAUUCUCUAGAAGAAAUUUGGUGGAAAACAGCUUCAGCAAUGGCUGUUUUGCCAAUACCGCCCAUGCCCCAGAUUCCUACGAUUCGAACAUCAUCCAAUUCCAGACACAGCAGCGAUUUGAUUCUCUCAAUUUGUGAAUUGAAUCCGACGAAGCCAUCAAAAUUAGGUGGGUCUGCCAUGUCUUCCAAUUUCUUAGAAAUAUCUUCAGCAAUCUUUUCCACAAGUUCCGCAUCAUUCCUAGCAAGUGUUGUUCAAGAUAUAAAUACAAUGAUGAUGAAUCAAAACAGACCAAGCUAGGCCUAUAAAGCAUUAAUGUUCUUUCUUUCAUUGAUAAAACAAAAGGAAGAGUUAAAAGAGUUACCUGAAUGACCUGGAAUCAUGAAAUCCAGAUAUAUUUGAAGCUUGGAUCAAUGAAUCCCUCCAUUUCUGAACCCGGACCUCACAUGGAAAGUUCCUUUCGAGGUGAACAAAAGCUUCUCCAAAACUCCUCAUCAGCUUUCGCACAUCAGAUGGAUCUACUUUGUAGAAAACCGGUACCACAAUUUGGCCAUUCCUCUUCUUGCAAUCAAGAAUCCUGACAAGUUCAUCGAGGCACCAUGUUGAAGAAGCAUAGUUUUCUGAGAAGAUGAUUAUCGAAAUGUCUGAUGUUUCGAUUGCAUUCAAAAGGGCAGGCGAGAUCUCUUCUCCUCUCUGAAGUUCUUUAUCAUCUAUGAAGAACUGUAUUUGUUUCCGACGUAAAGCUUCAACUACAUGGCUGGUGAAGCCCGUACGAGUAUCCUCCCCGCAGAAACUGAGGAAGACAUCAAAUUUGCUUUGAGCAUUGAGGUUAGUAGAAGAUGAAGCCAUGGAUGAAGAAACAGAGCUUCAAGGUAGAUGAUGGAUCGGGUCAGUAUGCUUUAUUAUUAUUAUUCAGAGUAAGAAGACCAUAAAGAAAAAGCGAAGUCAGAAAUAAUGAGCGUGCAGUAGCCAGUAGCAUUGCUCUUUGUCGCGCGUGUAAAUAUAAUAAUCAACGCCCCAAAGAUUUUUCCAUUCGAAAGAGAUAAUGAGAGUGAAUCGGCCUGGUCUUAUAUUUACUGGCGCGAGUCAGCAUUUCUCAUAGCAAAGCCAUCAAUUGGACUAUGCAACCAUAUUUUAACUGAAUUAUAUAUAAGGCAGAGCUAUAAAUGUGGGAUAAAAGGUUUGAGUUUCUAAUCGCAUUUGUUCUGAUAGAGCUUGAAUAUCUCAAUUCAUCACAACUUUUCAUCUUCUAUUUGUAAUGAACAUAACUUUACGAUUCUCCGGAUUCAUUGAAUCAAAGAGAUACAACCAUUACAAAGCAGAGUUUUUUUUCUUUUGUGUGUGUGUGGGGGGGGGGGGGGGGGGGGGUUGAAUUACUGCCUCCCCCUACACCACACACCCCCCCCCCCCCCUCCCUUUCCCCUUCGUCUUUCUUAACAAGCUUAUGCACAGGUAAAAAACAGUAAUUUGCUGAGCUGCCAAAAUGACAGCUUGAUUCAACCAUUUUCGCACGGUAAGAAAAAGCCUUCAAUAGAUUGCUUCUGAAGCUCUUCUGCGCCACCAAGGGCUGUCAUUGCGUAUAAACCCAAUGACAAAUGCUGUCAAGCCACCGGCAAUCAGAUUCUUGGUUGAAUAAAAGAAGUUGAAUUCAAAAUCAGGACAGAAUGGCACUGCUUUAUCGGAAACAAAGAGGGAAUAUGAGAAGACGUAAUAUCCCCGACAACAUAUAUCCAAAAAUUAUAAGGAAACAAGAAUUGUUAAUGCAGUAACUUCACAGAUAUGUAAAUGCAAAUAACACUUUUCUGCAGUUUUAUAUCUGCAUAUCUCUCAAAAGCCCAAAAAGCAAGAAAUAUGUUUUCGAAUCUGUAGCACCAAGUGAGGGAUUAUUCUUUGUUCACUCUUUAUAAUGAAAACAAUAACAGAAGAUCAAAGUAAACUGAGUCAAAAUAAAACAACAUUCAAACACAAAACUCGACACAUACAGAUGCACAAAACUCCCAAGUAAUUAAAGAGAACAAUAAAGACAUUACUGCUGGCAAAUAUAGCCACAACUUAUUCAAUUUUAAGUUUAGUCACAACACCGAACAUCUUCAUUGAUUUGGAAAAAUCAAGGAAUGAGGGAGAAGAAGGAAAAAAAUAAUCUCCUGAGUUCUGACGCUCAUACGAUAUGACCUGGAAGUGUAAAUGUGAGUCGAGAAGCUCCUCUCUUCAACAUGAUGGACAUGGGCUUGUAGGCGGGUUCAUUCUACUAUACGUGUACAAAAGACAAAAAAAUUGUAACCAGAAUAAAUGAAAAUAGGGGGGAGAGAGGGGGAGAGAGAGAGAGCGAGGGGAAAAAAAAAGAAUAUAGCGAUGAAAUAAAUAUUAUAUUUGGACAUAAAAUCAUUGAUUCCAAUAAUUAUACAUAUAAUAUAAUAAGCCGGAAAUAGUGAGGAGAAAACAAAUAAAAUAGAUGUUAUCAGAGUGAUUCCUUAAAGUACAGAAGGGGUAUCUUCAUCUCCAUGAAAUAAGUUGCAGGUAUUAACUAAAUUGACAGAAAGCUGAACUUCCCCAUUACUCCUGUGACUAAAUCCAGAUUUCAAAUGUGGUUUAAGACUCGAAAUGAACAAAACUACAAAAGAGACACAAAUCCGAAUCACAAUAUUUACAGUCAGUGUUAAAAAAAUUAGAUUAAGGCAAAAGCACAAGAAAAUAAUGAAAUAGAAAUGAAUUAGAGCAUGGACUUACCGAAGGUGAAAUUUUGCUUGCCUUAUCAUCCAAUUUCCCAAUUUCGGUAGCAAAUUUUAGAGUAAAAGUUUUGGGUUCGGUCUUGUUGGGAUCUGCAUAUACUGGACUCACCCCACAACAUUUCACCUUAGCAGGGAAGAAAUCAACCAAGACAGUUGUGUUGUGAUUACCACCACCCACGGGAAACCCACCUAUCCCCAAGGGACUAAAUCCAAGUAUGACAUGAUCUGAAUCAAUGGCGUCGCGAAUACUAGCCAAAAAGCAAUUGAAUGACAAAUCUUCGGGUUUAUUCAUUUUAAUGUAGAUUCCACAGUUGAUGUUGAAAGAAUCCCAACUAUUAGAAGGAAGAUGCUUAAAAUCAAUAACAGCACAAAGGGCAAACCCAAUUAAGUUUAUUAAACAAUGCUCCGGCAGUUGAAGAGCUAUUAAAGGUCCAAUAUUUUGAAAUGCGAACCACUUAGGAAUUUCGCUCCCAGGUAACAGUAUGCUGGGACAAUAGAGUUGUUCCUGUAAAAUGAGAAUCACGAUUUCAGAUGUAUCGAAAAGGGAGAGAGGAGAUUCAGAAAGAAAGAGAGAAAUGAAUAAUGAAUACCUUUUCAUAAAAUAGUCUCAAUGAUGCAAUUGCCAUAUGCUGAAUUCUUAGCUCUGAAUCUUCCAAAAUCUUGUUCUCUUUUAGUUCCCAGCAAUUCUGAAAUUCAAACUGCAUUAAAGAGCAACCAUGCUUAAUAGGAAAUGUAGUUUUGGAUAACUUUUCGAGUAUGGAUAUAUCUAGUUCUUCUAGACAUGAUGAAAUCUCUGGCAAAGAUUGGAGCCGCUUGCAAUGACUUGCAUCUAAAUGACUUAGUAACAGUGGAAGCUCUGGUAAUGACUGAAGCAUAUUGCAAUUUCUCAAGUAAAGAUAUCUCAGCUGUGAAAAUUGCUUGAUGGUUGCAGGUAACCUCUCCAACUCACUUCCACUUAGAUUUAUUCUCUCAAGAUUUGGGAUUUCUGAAAAUUCUGGCAAUCUGGUGAGAUAUCGUGAAUUAUAGAGGUUGAUAAAUUUUAACUUGAAAGCCUUCUGUAACAAAAGAUAAACAGUCACUAGAACGAAUUAGUAUAAUUUAAGGAUUCCACAAUUAACCAUAUAACUUUAAAGAAAGAAAAAUAAAUAGUUAUGUAUUUGUAUAUCAGACCUUUUCUCCUAUCCAGAUUUGUUCAACUUUACUGUAAGGCAAGUUGAGCUCAAUUAGGUAAUUGGGUUCGAAAGAAAAUGGCAGUGUUUUCAAAGGAUAUUCAUGCCAAUGGAGAUAUCUCAAUUUCUUGGGAAGAUAUUCAAGAUCUUGGUUAAGAUGUAAUUUAGAGCUCAUAAUUGGAACACCAUUACACUCUGGCAUAUAGAACUUAAGCAAUGUGAGACUUGACAUAUUUGCAAAUGCUUGAGGACUUAGAUGAAGGUAGUUUAUUUUGGACAAAUCAAAGAAUAUGCCCUCAAUUGCAUCCGUCCCCUACAAAAAAAGAAAUAAUAAUAAAAUAAUUAAAAAAAAUGAGCAAGCAUAAAAUCUACAAAAAAAAAUCUUUUGAAAAAUAGAUUAAGUGUUUCCUAUAUAAUUGAAUAUAUACAACGUGCAUUUUUUUUUAAUUAAUACAACAUCUAUAUAUUAAAAAAAAAAAAGUGUGCGGUUAUUCUAGUGAUCAUCCUCUCUUCUCCAUUACAGUCUUUUUCAUUUUACUUUCCCCUAAAAGUUAAAAGUUGAGAAGAUAACAGUUAAACAAAUUCCAUCAUUAAAUAAUCUAACAUUUGGUGAUUGCAAUGAUGCUCUCAUUUAAUAGUGUAUAUAGAAGCCAAAAUGUUUAUUUGCUGAAAAAACUACCCAAGGUUUUAAAUGAAAUGAUAUUAUAGUGAAUGGGUGUGAAAAAAAAAUGUUUUGCCCCUAUAGUAAAACAUCCACUAACAUUAAAAAAAAAUUAAUGUUGCAUAUAGCCUCACGUACAAAAUGUCAAAUAAAUAGAUUCUUACCUUAUUUUUCUUUAGCACUUGAUAGACAUCCUUGUGAUCCCAUAAUUUGCUACGUUUGCCUUGUUCUUUGAAAGAUUCUUGAAGAAUAAUUGUCUUACCUAAUUCUUGCAAUAUAUCAUGCAUUUGCAGCCGGUUGGCAGAAAUUGUAAUGAGUGACAUCUCAACCAGAGUGUUCAGUCCAUUGUGCAUUGAUGUAGGAUCAUCUUGUACCCUUGUCACAAAGUCUACAUCCUCUCCUUUGAAGAAACAUGCGACAUCAAGAAAUAUUUCCUUCUCUUCCCAAUUUAGUCCAUCAUAACUGAUUUUCAGCACCUUAUAAAUAUUAGGAUCUGUAAUCAAUUUCAACUUACGCAAUUUAUCUUUCCACUGUUCUUUGCUCUUUUGAUAAAGAGAAGAACCCAAAACUUGAAGAGCUAAUGGAUUGCCAUUGGCAUAAUGCGCUACCUCCUCUGAGAGCUCCAGGAGAUCAGGAGAGCGAUUGUUUUGUCUAAAGGCUUUUCUACAAAAGAGCUCAAGUGCAGAAUUGUGUUUCAAUCCCUUAACUUCAUAUACGUUUUCUACUCUACGUUUAUCGAGUAGCCGUUUAUCUCUAGUAGUUAUAAUGAUUCUACUUCCAGGGCUAAAUAGCUCUAACCCCCCAGCAAAAUUUUUAGAGUUAUCAUCGACAUCAUCAAGAACGAUCAGCACUUUCCUCUGUUGGAGCCUUUUCUUGAUAUUUGGGGUUAUAGUGGGAGUUCCUAUUUUUAUAUUUUCUCCCAUUACUUGAGAAAUAACCUCAUCUCGAACAUGCAUUACUCCCAUUUUGCUUGAUUCUUCUCCGACGUUUUUCAUGAAGCACUUGCCUUGAAAAUCCCCAGAAAUUUGGUGGAAAAUAACACUAGCAAUGGUUGUUUUACCGAUUCCGCCCAUGCCCCAAAUUCCUACAAUUCGAACAUCACCCAAUUCGAGACAUAGAAGUGAUUUAAUUUUCUCGAUUCGCGAAUUUAAUCCAACGAAGCCACUUAAAUCAGUUGAAUCUGACAUAUCUUCCACUUUCUUGGAAAUAUCUUGAGCAAUCUUUUCCACAUGUCCCGCCUCAUUCCUAGCAAGUGUUGUUCAAGAUAUCAAUACAAUGAUGAUGGGUCAAAACAAACCAAGCUAGGCUAUAAAGCAUCAAUUUUCUUUUCAUUUUCUACCUAAGACUGUAAAUGACUAUUGAUUUAAAAAAAAAAAAAAAUUAUUUCACUGUGUUCAGUUAAGGGUUACCUGGAUUCCGUGACAACAAAUGCAGAAAUCGUUGAUGCUUUGAUCAGUGCAUCCCUCCAUUUCUGAACCUUAUCUGGGAAGUUCCUUUCAUGGCGAACAAAAGCUUCUGCAAAACUGCCCUUCUGUUCGAGCACAUCAAAUGGAUCUACUCGGUAGAAAACUGGUACCACAAUUUGACCAUUAUUCUUUUCCAAGCAAUCAAGAAUCUUGACAAGCUCAUCGAGGCACCAUUUGGAAGAAGCAUAGUCUUCUGAGAAGAUAAUUAUCAAAAUUAAUGAUGUUUCGAUUGCAUCCGAAACAGCAGGCGAAAUCUCAUUUCCUUUUUCAACUUCCUUUUCAUCAGCAAUGAACAAUUCUAUUUGUUUACGACGUAAAGCUGCAGCUAGAUGGCUCCUAAUGCCAGUACGAGUAUCCUCCCCUCCAAAACUGAGGAACGCAUCAUACUUGCAUUUAGCAGUAAAGCUAGAAGAUAAACAAGAAGAUGAAGCCAUGGACGAAGGGAAAUUAGGUGGGUCUGCCAUGUCUUCCAAUUUCUUAGAAAUAUCUUCGGCAAUCUUUUCCACAAGUUCCGCAUCAUUCCUAGCAAGUGUUGCUCAAGAUAUAAAUACAACGAUGAUGAGUCGAAACAGAACAAGCUAGGCCUAUAAAGCAUUAAUGUUCUUUCUUCCAUUGAUGAAAACAAAAUGAAGAGCUAAAGAGUUACCUGAAUGACCUGGAAUCAUGGAAUCCAGAUAUAUUUGAAGCUUGGGUCAAUGAAUCCCUCCAUUUCUGAACCCGGACCUUAUCCGAAAAGUUCCUUUCAUGGUGAACGAAAGCUUUUCUGAAACUCCCCCUCUGUUUUCGCACAUCAGAUGGAUCUACUUUGUAGAAAACCGGUACCACGGUUUGACCAUUCCGUUUCUUGCAAUCAAGAAUCCUGACAAGUUCAUCGAGGCACCAUGUUGAAUAAGCAUAGUUUUUUGAGAAGAUAAUUACGGAAACAACUGAUGCUUCGAUUGCCUUCGAAACGGCAGGCGAAAUCUCAUCUCCUUUCUGAAGUUCUUCUUCAUCAUCAAUGAACAAUUUUAUUUGUUUACGACGCAAAGCUGCGGCUAGAUGGUCCCUAAUGCCCGUACCAGUAUCCUUGCCUCGGAAACUGAGGAAGACAUCAUACUUGCUUUUACCAGUAAAGCCAGAAGAUAAAGAAGAAGCUGAAGCCAUGGACCAAGGAAAAUCUUCAGAUUUUAGAAAACGAAACAGAGAUUCUUUUUUUGGAUACAAGAUGUAAUAAUCAAAAUAGUUUUGAAGUAAAUAUAAUAAUAUCAAUUAGAUACUUGUAACUCACUACUUUUUUUUUUGUGGGUGUGGUUGGAGGAGAUGAGUAUUGAGUCCAAUUUUCAUAGACGACAUAAACUUGGAAUAAUUAUUAAUUAUAUAGUUGGAUUAUUGACAUGAUGUUGAUAUAUAAUCCUCUGGCUUAUCACAAAUGACAGGAAAAUAACACAGUGGAUUACUAUCAAGAUUUAUCCUUUUAAUAUCUCAUUUUGUACUUGAUACUACAAAUUCAAAUAAUAACACAUAAUUGAAAGAUAAAUCUGUUUCGGUAAAGAAAUUUUCAAAUCUUACUUAUGUUUUAAUUUUUUUUUUUAAAAAAUCAACUUCAACGAUACAUAUAAUUAAAGAGAAUUUGAUAAGAUGAGCGUCAUCGCUCCUCACACAACUCCCACGCGAGCCCCGUAGCCUUUCGUAGGCAGAGCGGCGGUACUCAUUUAAUCAAAUUUUCAUAUUUAAAUACUCAAACCUUUUAUGUAAAAAACAUUAAGAUGAAGAGACAUCCACACUUAAUAUUUAAGAGCGGCAUCUGCAAAUUAGUACUUUUUCUAAACAUAAUUAAAAUCCUUGAGUUGUAUUUUCCAACAAAAGGUAGAAGUCAAGUCCAUAAACAUAAGUAAAUUAAGCAAUAAAAUCCAACUGGAGAAAACCUUGUGGCACGGUUAUUGGUGACCUGUCAUGUAACUGAAUGGUAGAGUUCUCGUAACUUUUUUAAUAUUAAAUUUAAUGGAAGCCGGUUCGGCAACGUUGUCGGGUGCGCUACUGCGCGCGGCAAAUACUCAUUUGAUGAGCUAUGACGUGCCCGCAAAUGGAAGUAUGCUAUGCUGGCAACCGUGCUUCGUAAGGCGCACGACUGCGUAACACCUUAUUUAAAAUAUAAUGUGAUUUUGAAAAUUUUAAUAUUCAUCAAUAAUAAAUUUAUUUACUUAUUACACUUGUUGUCAAAGACUCCUUAAUACCGUUUCAUGUGUUGAAGUUGCAAGAUAGUUUCAUUAUUAAUACAAUCGAAAACAUCUUUUUUAAUGGACACAAUUAAGUUAUCACUUAAUUUGUGCUUAAAUUUUUUUAAUAAUAACAAAAAUAUUCACAUAAUGCAAUAGGGAGAACAAAUAUGAAUACAUGAUGAAUUUGGAAUUUUGAAAUAACAAAAAAAAAAUCUUUGAAAAAUUAUAAAUUAGAAUUAGCAAACUUACAAUUUAGGGAUCAAUAUUGAAAAACUAUAUAAUUGAAGGAAAGUGCUUUUGAUUUAUGGGAACUCUGAUAAAAUCCACGCACUGAUGCACACGCACUACUUUAAUCCACUAUUGCACUACCAGCAUGCACCCAUGCAGUACCACAUAAAUUAAGUGCAAGUUUGGUAAUGCUAUACCUUUAAAAAUAAUUGAUGUUAGCUCUAUUGUAGAAAUGAUAAAUUGUGAAGUGAAUUGGUUAAACAUUUAGCAAAUUUUAUUUUUAAAAGUGUUGUAAAUAUUAAACUGUUGUAAGAAUAUAAAUGUCGUAAGGAUAUAAAUGACUAAAUUAGACAUAAUAUCGAAUAAAAUUUAUUUACACAUUUACAAACAUGUAUAUAAAAUACUUAUAAUUUUGUGUAUAUAUAAUAAUUGAUAAUUAAAAUAAAUAUUUUAUAUUAUUAAUUUUAUUUUUUUAUUUUGUUAUCUCAAUAUAAUUGGUGAUAAUAAUAACCUCUUUAAAGUUAAUAAUUUUAUUUCCUGAUUAAUAUAAAAGUGAUUUUAAAAAUUAGAUUUUGAAAAGUUACUUUUUUCCUACUUUACAAAUUUUGUUGUAAAAUAGGUGAUUUUGCUAAAAGUGAUUUAUAAAAGAAUUUCUCAUAUACCAAAAUUAUUUUUUAAUCUCCUAAAAGCAACCCCAAACAUGCCCUAAGUGCUUUUCUUCAAAGUAUUAGAAAGAGAUAAGAAAGAAAAAAAAAAAGUGAAUCCCUUUUGUUUUUAAUUGGGUCUUUAUUCUUCUCAAAAAAAAAAUUGGGUCUUUAUUUUUAUUUUAAUAUCUAUUUUUUUGUUUUUAUUUAAGUUUCAUAGUAUUUUAAUAAUUAAUCAAACUAUUUAAAAUUAAACAUUUAAACUUAGGGCAACAUGCAAUCUUUUAAAGCUAACAAGGACUUUCAUAAUUUUAUAUUUCAACCAGCGCACUUUCUUAAAUAAUAAAUCAAAUACAUUUCUUUUUAACAACCAUCAAAAAAUUUUUGAAAAGUUAGUUGGAGAAAAGUCGUCUGGGCCCGUCCCCCAGCCAGUCCUAUGCUGAUACGUCCACCGGUAGCGUUGUCCCCAUCGCCCAAGUCAAUCUUAAGAGACAAUUAGAGUUUAAAAAAGAAAUCAAUUUGAUUUUCUCCUCUAUAAACUCUAUUUCACUUUAAAAAUUAAAAAAAGAAAGAAAAAAGAAAAAGAAUUGUUCCACAAUAAGCGCCCAAGUCCAAUCGAGCACACGCAUAAAGUUCGGAGAUUUGAGUUUUUCUCCUUGUCUUUCAUGAUCUAGUAACAAUCAUUGGUUAGAUAGAAAAAAAUAAAUACAAAAUUUAGUCUUAACCAUUCUUUAAAUAAAAGAGCAAUAAAAAAAAAAAAAAAAAGAGGAAUAAAAAGAGAGAGGGGGAAAAAAAACUAAGGAAAGGAUCCUUGUCCAAAGCUAGGACAAGAAAACACAAAAAUGUGAUGGAAUCAAAAGAAAUGAAAGCAGUAAUACGCAUGGGUCCUUAUUGAGUGAAGCAGAUAAAUGAUGAAAGCCAUUUCAAUAUUUUUAUGUUCCAGAGUAGCAACAAAAUUUGCAUGUUCUUUAACACUAUUCAGGCUUGUGAGGAAAAAGGUUUUCAACUUUUGCGCCAACUUCUCUGGCAGAUGAUGAACAAGAACUGCAGGGUCUCGAUCCAAUGAAUAAUUUCUUCAAGAACGCGAAAAAUAAACGCAACAAAAGAAUUUAACAUGAAACACGUAUUUAGAUUUGAUCUCUCUUUAACCAAAUGUUAAUGCUGUUGUUCAAACAUGACUUAUUGGUCUUAAUGCAGAGUCUCUUUAUUUUGUGAUAAAAAUCAGACUUUACCACCCGCUGAUUUCUUUUACAUCUUCAGAUCUUGAUCAUUUUAAUCCAGUAACCUUUUUCUCAUGAGAUGACUGUCAAUAUAGAAAAAUGAAACAGAGCAUAACUGGUUUAUCAAUAGUUAUAUAAAGGGGUUAGAAUAUGAAAAGAGUGCCCAUUGGAUUCUGCUGUAGGGAUUUAUUAAGUGCCGGCAAUAAAAUAUUCCGUCAUACAAAUCAUGGCAGAGGAAAAAAAAUGACCUGAAUCCAUAAUUGCUGAGACUAAAAAUUUGAAGAUACACACACAACUUUUGAAACAAAUAUGAAAACCAAUGAAGAGAAAAGAAAAGAUACUAUAAACUUGACCAGUUCAUCUAAAAUCAUGAUUAUUCGUGAUUAUAUACAAACGGCAAUUCAUUGGAUCAAUAAUAGGGAUACAACUAAAGACAAGCGACACUAAGGAACACCGAACCACAGGGGAACUUGCUUGAGUGUGACAGAUAAAAACAGAAAGAAACAAACACGUUCAAUUUUGAGAAAUUUGAUGAUCACUCUCAACUUCUGGUUCUUUUGAAAAAGAUGAGAAUUAUGUAAGACAAAGAAGACUAGAUUUAUAUCUGCGAAGUGGACCAGAUAUUUGGAAAUCACCCAUAAUACCUUGGUCUAAAUCAAGGGUGAGUAUUUGUUACUCCUCCUGAUGGCUAUUUAUAACCAGCCAAUCGAGAAUUUAGCAUAAAAGAUGUAGCCAUUCACCAAAAAAAGUCCAAAAUCUCAUCUGCUUUAGCUGUUGGACCUCAAGAGAUCUAGCUAGAAUCAAAUUGUCUGACUAGCUUUUCAUACUGAAUUGGCAAGCUUAAAAUCCUAAAAGCUUUAUGAAAAUUCUCUACCUCUUAUUUUUUGUUGUAAUCAACGAGUGGUUAUCUUAAAUUUCGAUGAGCUACUUGCAGUUAAUGGUCAAGAUUUGCACUCCACUGUUUGGCACAUUUGUAGUGGAAAAAUCAGAAAUGUGAUGCGAAAUACUCCAGAUUUCAACCUAAGUUCAUUCAUGACUAGCGAAUCCAGUAACCGUUUAAACUAGUGUCUUUGUUUUAAUUUGUUAUUAUUUUUAAUACUCCUGGUUUUCCCAUAAUAAGUAUUUUCAUCCAUUUAAUCACAAUUCUUAAGGAUAAUCAGUUAAGGCAGAUAAUCAAACACUUGCUUUUCCCAGUUGUGGACAAACACUACAGUACAAUAAACAAAGCAGGUGUUUGGGAGAAAAAGGGGAGAGGUAGUAAAGCACCGUGUAUCGACGAACGGAAUAACUCCAGCACAAUCUAAGGUACCCAACAUAAUUAGAGCCUUAGAGGUACCCCACACAGAUUGAGGUAUGCCGUACAAUCUGAGGUACCCGGCACGAUUCAAGGUACCCCGCACAAAUAGAGAUACCCGACAUGAUACGAGGUACCCCGCACAAUUAGAAGUAACCCACAUAGAUUGAGGUACCUCAUGUAACUGGAGGUACCUGGUAGAUCAUAUGCAAGAGAACCCUCCGAAAAAGUCCGCCAUGAGAAACGUCUCCACCUCUUAAAAGAUAUUAUUCGAUUUUGUCAGAAUUAAGAAUAAAACACGUCGUGCUAAAAGGGGGGGACAGCCGCCUGCCACCUCUGCCAAAAGUGGAGGACACUGUCCUAAGGACAGUGGUCCUCAGCCGCCUACCUGACAGCUACUGCAGAGGUACCCUGGACCACUCUCCAGCGCGCACCACGUCUCCAAAGGAUGAGAUACGCCGCAAACAUGCACAUAAUGACCCAAAAAUCAUAAAAAGGUAAAAAAGACGUUAGCAAAAAAUGGUACGCCAUGUGGCAGCUGAGGUACUCCAUAUAUAAAGGUACCUAAGUUUCAUUCUCCAUCAUACUCUAAUUCACCAACAACACUCACACUCCAUAAAAUAGGUUUUCUUCAACCUUAAAACUUAAUUUACAGAGGGCUGGCAAGCUUUCUUGGCCAUAAAAAGCUUGAGUUUGCUAACUUGAACGUCGGAGUGUGAACGCCGAGGUACCCCGGCUUCACCUCUAACCUCUAUUUCACUGUUUUGCAGGCGUGAAACUCAUUUGGAAGGACUUUUUUCUUGGUUAAGACCUUUCUCCAUUGUUGCCACUCCCUCUUUCCUUCUCACCUCCCCGAAUUUCGGAUACACCGCACACAACAAACCAGUGAGAUACCCCGUCUCCCCAAAAAUACAAAUUCAUUAUCCUAGAUAUGUUUGACUUUUCCUACCCCAAAAUCUAUCGAAAACAAUUGGUGCCGUCUGUGGGAAGGCGCACAAAAAGCCUUCUCUACGGUUACCAAAUUAGUUAUUGUGUGUACUCCAAUACAUGGCACCCGACGUACUUCCCGAAGGUUUAAUGGCGGAUCCUACAAGGAUAGGAGAUGACAGUAGCGGUGAAGGUAGUGAUCCCGCAAGAAGGGUAGCCUGUCUGAGCAAGGGUAAGGGUAUCAAGCAAUCGACGGGUAUUCGCCAAGAUGAGGAACCUAUUUAUCACAAGCGUUUCGAGGAUCUUGCCAACGCAAUACAUAGGACGGUUUGAUCUUGAGCACUCGAAAGUUCACUUCCACCAGUGACGCUAGAUGCUCCACUACCUCAAACAGACGACCAAGCUAUGGUCAGGAAAGAAGUACCUGAGGCCAGCAAGCCAAAACAUAGGCCAUCGGGUACCCAUUCUAAGUUUCAAACCGUGGGCUCCCGAGAAGAGCAUUCCACCGCCUCUUGCAAUUAUCCGCAGCAGCCAUGGCACGAGGCGUGCAAAGCGUAACCAUGAGGAUCUCCAUGAAAAAUUAAACGUCAAAAAGACUUCCUAAAUGGCGGCGACAUCAUCAGGUACCCCUAGGGUACCCUUUGAACUUGUGGGAAAAAUAAAGAAUCUGGAAGCCCAAGUGAAGCUCUUCUCCGAGAAGCAAAACAUCACAAGUGCUCCAACACCAAUGACCUACCAAUUGCCAUUCACUAUGGAGAUUCGGACGACAGCUCUCCCCGAGGCGUUCGCCAUGCCUCAGAUACCCCAAUACUCGGGUACCACUGAUCCCUCGGAGCAUGCUGAGCUAUACUACAACCAAAUGCUUAUCAAGGGUGUAGAUGAGAAUGCCAUGUGUAGGAUGUUUACACACACACACUCACAGACCCUGUAAAGUCAUGGUUUCGGCCUUUGAAGGCGGGUAGCGUAUCUUCUAUACACCAAUUGUUAUCCGAAUUUACUAAAGAAUUUUCUUAUGCUUCUACUCAGGAUAGGGUAGCCUCCAAACUUGCCUUUAUCAAGCACAGGGAAACCGAACUUUUGGGGGAGUAUGUGAGUCGUUUCCACCAGGAGGUGUUGCGAACCGGAGCAUUUGGGAACCAACACAUACUAACCCAUUUUGAGAAAAAUUUACGAAUGUGUAAAUUAUUUCGUUCUUUCUAAAAAAAGUGCCCACUUUCGUAUGAGAAACCCUGUUCUCGGGCAUUGCAGCAGGUGGAGAUUGAUGAGAAAUGUCAUUUGAAGUGCCACAAAGAUAAGGCCGAGAUUACAAAGAACAAGGAGAAGCCCAAGAGGACGGAAGCACCAAUAUCGAGGGUACCCUAACCUCUACGAGCUGCCCCGCGAGGACGAGGGUAUAACACUUAGGGUAUCUCACGGGUACCCCAACCUCCAAGAUCGCCACCUCCGAGACCUCAGUACGAAUCUUACCACCCACUGAAUCGUUCUUCAGAGCAGAUCUUUUACCAUAUUUGGGAUAAUGGCUUUCUCCGUCCACCCAAGCCAAUGAAGAAGUACCCCAACAUGAAGCGUAACCUAAAGUAUUGUGAGUUCCACGAGAACUUUAGUCACAACACAGCCGAGUGUUUUACCUUGCGUGAGGAAAUUGAAUCUCUGAUUCUUAGCGGGUACCUCAAAGAAUUUGUUGCCGGCAUGAAGGAAGCUCGGAAAUCCAUAGAGCAUGAUAAGGGCAAGCGGGUAGCUGAUAGCUGUCCUGAACGAUAGGUACUCCCGAGACAUAAGAAAGGCGUGUAUGUUCGGAUGAUCAUGGGCCGACCGACUCAGCGGGCCAAUCCCGGAGGGCUAUCAAAGGCUAUAGUUGAUCGUUAUCAACAAACCACCAAUAUUGGCAGAGAAGUCAACUUUAAUGGAUGGGGUACACCGAAGGUACCCCACCAUCCCCCGCUUAUCCUUUUUACAUAAAAAGAUGCUGAGGGUAUCUCGUACCCCCAUGACGACGCCUUAGUAAUUACAUUGAAGGUUACUAUUGGUAAGGUAGCAAGAACUCUUGUAGAUACUAGCAGCUUCGUUGAUAUCAUUUUCAAAAGCACAUUGGAUCAACUAUUGAUUGAGUCACCGAAGAUCACCCCAUAUGCUACACCUUUUAUUGGGUUCGCCGAAGAUAUGGUUAUACCAAAAGGCAUCAUUACACUGCCUGUUACAUUUGGUAAGGUACCUCACCGUGUGUUCAUAUGAUUGAUUUUCUUAUUGUGGAUCACCCGGGUGCCUACAAUAUUAUAUUGGGUAGGCCGUUCUUAGUAGCAACUAAAGCGGUGGUAUCCAUGCACUACCUCACCAUGAAAGUCUCAGCCACCCAAAAAGUUAUCACUAUUAAAGGGUAUCAGCAAUCGGCUUAUGGAUGUUAUUUCGUGGCCUCCAAAGUCACUUACCAAAUAACUUCUGAUCCACCAGUGAAAAGGUACCCCAGUGAUAGUCAGCCCAUACCUUAUCCCUCAAAGCGAGCACUUGUUAGACAGGGGAGAGCAGUGCUAAAAAAAUCUCCUCAGGUAGCCCACCCACCAAAACAGUUGGAAGCCUCACCAAUGGGCGUAGAAGCAGUUGCUCAGGAUAGCUCAGGGGCACCCCAUGAGGAUCAUGUGGAGCCCAGAUGUGAAGUUGAAGUACCUUUGGAUCCCUUAAUAUUGAAAGAGAAAAAAUGGGGUACCCAAUUGAAGACCUUGUUUCAGUCUCGAUUUGUGCCACCGACCCAACAAAGAUCGUGAAAUUAGGCUCCAAUCUUUCGGAGGAACAAUAAGAGAGGCUUAUCAACUUCUUACCGAGCACCACGACGUAUUCGCUUAGUCUCACUCGGAUAUACCGGGCAUCCUACCUUCCCUAUUUUGUCAUAAACUCGAUGUCAGCCUACAUUAUAAACCGGUCAAACAGAAGCGUCACACCUUCAACUAAGAGAGGUACGACGUACUUGAACAAGAGGCAGACCGCCUAUUAGCAGCGGGAUUUAUUCGAGAAGCAGUGUAACCCGAUUGGGUAUCAAACGUAGUUCUAGUCAAGAAAUCAAAUAGAAAGCGGCGUAUAUGUGUGGACUUCAUCGAUUUGAAUAAGUCCUGCCCUAAGGAUAGCUUCCCGCUUUCCUAGGUGGACCAGCUGGUUGAUGCAACAACGGGACAUGAGAUGCUUAGUUUUAUGGACGCCUUCUUCAAUUACAACCAAAUCCCAAUGCCGGGGCUACCUAUCAGCGGCUAGUGAACAAAAUUUUCAAGGAACAAAUCGGGCGUACCAUGGAGGUUUACAUAGACGACAUGAUCACCAAAUCAGUGCUUGCAAGGGAACACCUGAGGCACCUCAGAGAUACAUUUACAGUUUUAAGAAGACACCAAAUGCGGCUCAACCUUAAAAAAUGUGCAUUCGGGGUUACCUCGGGAAAAUUUCUUGGGUUCAUGGUACAACAACGGGGGAUUGAGGCCAACCUUGAUAAAAUUCGCGCAGUUCUUGAAAUGAAGUUGCCACACACCAUCAAGGAGGUUCAAAGCUUAGCAUGCCGGGUAGCUGCCCUGAGCCGCUUUUUCUCCAAGGCCACGGACCGGUGUAAGCCUUUUUUCAAAGCUUUGAAGGCCGGCAAGAAGCUCCAAUGGACACCCGAUUGCGAAGAAGCUUUCCGAGAAAUGAAGGGGUACCUCGUGAAUGCUCUACCACUUACCAAACCUGAACCGAAUGAGGUGCUUCUGUUGUAUCUCGCCGUAUCCGAGCAUGCCGCCAGCUUUGUGUUACUCUGAGAAGAUAAUAAUGGGGUACAACGGCCUAUUUACUACACUAGUAAGGCUAUGGUCGAUGCCGAAAAGAGGUACCCCACCUCUGAGAAGAUCGUUUUGGCACUAGUUGUCUCCGCAAAGAAGCACAGACCAUUUUUUCAAGCUCACACCAUUGCAAUCAUCACCAAUCUUCCCCUCCGGCAAAUCCUCCAGAAGUUAGAUGUGUCCGGAAGGCUUCUCCGAUGGUCCCUCGAAUUAAGCAAGUUCGACAUCAUUUUCAAGCCUCGUUCGGUAAUUAAAGCUCAAGCUAUCGCUGAUUUCAUUACGGAAUUCACCAAUGACUCAUGUGGUGAAGGUAAUCUAAGGUACCUGUCAGAUACCCCAUCCACUGAUGAAGGGGGCAGGUCUAGGAAAUAUAUGUAGAUGACUCAUCUAACUCACACGAAAGUGGUGCGAGAGUUAUUAUAAUCGAACCGAACAAAGUGAAAAUAUGCUAUGCUUUGCAAUUUGGAUUCAAGGCUUCAAAUAACGAAGCCGAACACGAGGCCAUCAUAGCGGGGUUGAGGAUGUCAAAGGCUUUGGGAGCAAAAAGGGUACGCGUUAAGAGCGACUCCUGGUUGGUGGUAAGUUAGAUUACCGCACAAUAUCAAGCGAAAGAGGAAAACAUGAAGGGGUACCUCAGAAAAACUAGAGAGUUGAUGUCCCAAUUUUGUGAGGUUAAAGUGGAAAGGAUAUCCCGACUGGAGAACAUCGAAGCCGACACUCUGGCAAAAAUGGCGUCCCUUGGUGUAGUUCAGUCAGCUGGCCCCAUCACGACAGAACACAUACAUGCCCCCAGUAUUGAUCUCCUAGAGCCAUUGGAAGUAGAAUCACUGUCCAACGGGGUACUUUGGAUGGUGCCUAUCAUAAGUACCUCAAGGACGGAGAACUCCCCUCAGAUAAAAGUGAAGUAAGAAGACUAAAGUAUAAAACUGAGCUGUAUUGCCUGAUCCAGGAUACCCUAUACAAAAUAGGGUUCACUCUUCAUUACCUUAAAUACUUGGGAAGUGACGAGGUCGAGUAUGUCAUGAAGGAGAUACAUGAGGGGAUUUGUGGCAAUUAUUAUGGAGCACAAUCACUGGCGCAAAAAGCUCUCCGUCAGGGGUACUACUGGCCUACCAUACGGGAAGAUGCUAAUAAUAUGGUAUGAAGUUUUGACAAAUGCCAAAGGUUCGCUAGGGUACCCCACCUACCCUCAGAGAAGCUAACAAUUAUAUCUUCCCCUUGACCCUUCACUAUAUGGGGAGUGGACCUCAUUGGCCCGUUACCUACCGGGAGGGGACAAGCAAAACAUGCAAUCGUAGCGGUAGAUUAUUUCACAAAGUGGGCAGAAGUGGAGCCACUAACAAGCAUAACAGAACAAAAAAUAACGGAAUUCAUUUGGAAGAACCUCAUUUGUAGAUUUGGGAUCCCUUGUGCAAUUGUUAGUCAUAACGGCAAGUAAUUCGAUAAUAAAAAAUUUUGAAAUUUUUGUUCGGAGCUUAGGAUAGCCAACCGGUUUGCUACACCUGCCCACCUCCAAACUAAUGGGCAAGUUAAAGCCGUUAACAAGAUUGUCAAAGGUAUCUUGAAGAAGAAGCUAGAAGAAUGAAAGAGAGCAUGGGUAGAGCUACCUAAGGUUCUGUGGGCCUACCAGACUACUCAGAACACCUCCACCCAAGAGACCCCGUUUUCCCUCGCAUUCGAUGUUGAUACAGUGAUUCCAACGGAAAUCGGGGUACCCUCUCACAAGGUUGAAUACUUUGAUGAUGUUAAGAACACCUCAUUGAUUGCUUCAAAUCUUGAUUUGGUGGCUGAGAAAAGGGUUAGAGCAUAAUUGAGGACAUUCAUAUACCAGCAUCGCAUUUCGGGUCUAUAUGAAAAAAUGGUAUGCCUUCGAUCCUUCAAGAAAUGAGACUUGGUCUUGAGAAGGGUAACUCAGAGCACUAGGGUACCCUGCGAAGGCACUUUUGGGGCAAAUUGAAAAUGACCUUACCACAUCGAUAAACCCGUUAGGUCAAGUGCAUACAGGCUACUCCACAUGGAUGGGACAAUCGUGAGGCAUCCCUGGAAUGCUGCAAUGCUACGGAAAUAUUACUAAAGGACAGUGUCUUAACCUUUAGUCUUUUGCUGUUAUUUGCUUUCUUUAAUGUUUUUGUGUGGUAGGCUAAAUGAGGUACCCCAAAUACCCUAUGUUGGUUAGUUGCAACUUUAGAAUUUCUUUAAUUCCCAAAUGAAAAGAAUAUGAGGUCUUACGGUCUCCCGUUCUCCUUAGGGUAACAAAGUUAAGUCAUGUAUUGAUCAAUGCUUUCGUUAUCUAUAAAUGUAAUUUCUUUCUCGACAAAUAUGAUGUGUGUUCUUAAUUUUUUCGCCACUUCGAUCAUGAAAUGCGAAUUAUAUUCAUUUAUCGCCAUUAAUAUACCCUCGCAUCUGGUUAUAUGCAAUUAUCGCCAUACGCCUGUCAAUUAUGACUAACCUAUUACAGGACCAGCCAGGGUACUUAGCAUGUAUAGAUUGUGACGAUCUAUGUAAAGCCAAGAUUGGCAACGGAGUGAAUAGCCCAGGGGUAGUUUUUCUGCGGAAGCAUGACAAAGCUACUUAAAUAAAGAGUGGGAGGGUUAAAGAGGACUUGAGGGUGAAGUAAAGCCGGCAUACCCUAGCGCCACGAGGUUCUGCUUAGGUAUAAGUACACCCACACCUCUGUCCUCUUACUUGAGCAAAGUAGGGGGUAGGCCAUUAAAAAAUUCAUAGAAAACUUCGAAAGAGCAAAAAAAAUUAAUUGGUUGGGCCAAUUGCGUGCUCUCAUUUUCAAUCAGGAUGUCGCGAUGGUAUUUUGAUUACCUAUUUGUGGAAGAUCCGCCAUAAUUUUCAAAAAGGACAUGCACUAAGGGCGUCAAUCUACAUAAACCAGCAGACGCCGGAUGUCGAAUAUUUAUUAAGUACCUGGGGUACUCCAUUUUAAAAAAAAAUUUAUCGCAUAUAAUGGGGAGUACCCUAAAGAUUUGCAAGAUAACAGUUUGGACUAGCAUUCAUUUGCAGAAUAACACGGAUACAAAAUACAAGUUCAAAAUAUGGAGGGCUCGGUAGUAUGGUAUCAUAACAAAAGAGAGAUCUUAACGAUGCAAGAUAUCCCAAGAAAUCAAAAAAUAAAAAUAAACAAGUUCCAAAUAGUAAAAUGUGGAUAGAUCCAUAAAAACAAGAGCACUAUAAAAUGUCUACACCGAGGGCGGAACACCGUCCCCACCAUUCGUCUCCAGAGGGCGAUCAGCAGAGGACUCUGAGGUACCCGGAAUAUGAGCAGCCGAAGCAGGGGCAUCUGAGGCAGGCAAUGGCUGAAGCACGCGGGGUACCCUAGGCGACCCAAGAGGGGUACCCGACCGUGCAUGGGAAGACUUAUUCCUCUCUUCAAUCGUCUUCAGAAUCGUGGCCUUGUUGACAAAUUUCUGCACACAGGGUACCUCCAGUUCUGGAUCCACGCUCCACACCUCCGUCAUGAUAAGGGAUAAUGCCUCAUUCGCCAUCUUCUUCUGUCGGGACAAUAGAUCCUCAUUUGUGGCCCUCAGCUCAUCGCAAUUCCUCUCUACUCGAGUUUUCUGCCCAGAUAGGUCAGGAAUGCGUUCUUGCAAAAUUUUGACUUCUCGAGCAAGCUUGUCCUCGCAAGACUGUCGACUUUGGAGCUCACCCCUUAAUUUGUCAACCUCCGAUUGGGCGGCAACAAGAGAGUUGAGAUCUGGAAGGCAGUGGCUGAGGAGAAAGGAUGCCUACAGGUCGUUAAAGACAUGUUAUAUAUAUGUGUAUGGCAAUAGGAACAAAUAAGUAAAGAAUGGAGGGUACACCCGAGGUACCCCAAUAAAGGCUACCUCUUGGGUAGCCCUGAGUGCCUGACCAUAGCGCUCGCUCAAACUCAUCUUGUCCGUCUCUUCAACGACCUCGAAAGUAACAUUUUUAGCAGAAUAAUAGAAACAGCGAGUCAAGUGUGAAACUUUCUUGUUGGAGGUCGGGUCUAUGUCACCUUCGCACAAUUCGUCAGGGAAAGCAGAAACCAACUCGAAUUUUUUCUUUUUAGAAUGAGGGGUACCCUUCAACCUGCUGUGGGAGGUACCCUAGGAUUUCCCCUUCAGUCCGAGAGCUCGAGGUGGCCGGGUAUUUUUUUGAGGUAACGCCAAAUCCUGAGAUCCAGAAGCUCCACUCACUACUACUUGGAAGAAAGCAUCAAAAGCAUCACUCGCUGACUCUAUAACUGCACUCAAUGCACAAAAGUGAUGUUAGUCGGACAGGCGCUAAGUACUACAAACGCAAAAAUGGCAAACAAAAAACAGAAAAACCAAAUAAAGAACGCGGAGAUAACGGGGUACCCCAGUCCUGUAGAUAAUAACAGGGUACCCCCAACAUCCAAAUCAUACAUGAGUCACCACCGGAAGCAGGUGGAAAACUUCGGUCAAUCAACCCCGCUCCCCCUAACCUGCUCUCUUCUAACACAUCACUACCCCUCUGUGCACCUCGAAACCUCUCCACAAACUUCUUCACAUCUUUUCCCACCUCCUGAACUGGGCAUGAUCCUUUAGCCCAUGUCACACCUACAAAAUCACGGAGAACCCAAGGUUAGUGAGACAUUUAUGCGAAGGAUUACAGUAAAGAACAGUAAACAAGGGAGAUACUUGCAGUCUACACUGAAGGAACUUAGAACCUCCAAAGGGUUGCCCUUAUCACCUAAAGUCUCUAUCCCCUACUUACCUUCAGCGACAAACUACUCAUUUUUAUAACCCUUCUUCAAGGCGGAGUCCCUUUUAACAAUAUUGACAUGAUCACUCCAAGCAGAGAAGUAAACAAUAGCAGAACUCUUGGGCUUUUUGAAUUGGUAAAGGCCCUUCAACUCCCGAAUAAAAAUAUCACGCCUCAAUACCUCCAACCAUAACACCUGCAAGCCCGUACGUAUCCUCCACCCUAGAAGGGACAGCUGCGCAGGAACUACCCCUAAAUAGCUAAAUAUCCUCAUAUAGAAAGGUGGGAAGGGCAUGCGGAGUCCAAAAUCAAAGAGGUUAAUGUGAAGAGCAAUCCCGUCAGACUUUGGACACUCAGGUCGUUCAUCCACAUAGAGUAUUCUAAGCUGGACAGAGGGAUGAAUAUUGUAUUUGGCUCUAAUUUGUUCUAAGUCCCUCAAAGUAGCCCUCCUAGCGCCUAGUGAAUGAGUGUUACCAUAUUUUUAAAGUGUGCCAGAGGGAGACUUGGGAGGCUGGUCUGAGGAAUGAGCUGGAACUUGGGCUUGGAUGACUUACCCUUUCUUCGAGUAUGGUGGGCUGGUCGUUUACUAGAAAAGCGUUGGCUGACACGAGAAGCAUUCCUAGAGGGAGGGAGCUCAAAAUGUGAGUUACAACUCGUAGAGGUACUAGGAAGAGACCUAUCACCCUCACUAAUGGAAAUGUGGGAAAGAGAUCCUGUAGGAGGGCUGUCAACACUACUAGCCUCAACUGCACGAUGCUUCCUCACUGGUCCCACUUUUUUCUUACCCAUUGACUUCUUGCCACACACCACCAGGCCACAAGUCCCCCAACAACAUAUCCACCAUGCCACAAGCCCCUAACAACAUAUCCACACCAUACACCACCCACCACACAUCAACCAUCAAAUACAAACACCAACCACAAAAAAAUAGAAAUAAAAAAUAAAUUUUUCUCAGAGUAUGCAAAAUAGUGCCAUUGUAAAUGCGCCAAAAGAGGAAGAACGAGGAAGGAUACCUGUAAUUCACCAACUUGGCAAAUCAGGACUUGUGGUCGUGGGGUGACAAAGCUGCAGGUAACCAAAAAUAGUAGGUAAGAAUAUGCAAGUAUAAAAAUAAAAAAUAAGCUUAAAUAUAUGUAGUUAUUUAUUUAAAAAAAAAGGAUGAUAAAAUGAAAAACGAAGAAGACAGCAGGGGAAAAGCAUUACGGUGACCAGAAUACCGCUAGCCACCAUCCGAAUUUGACGUCGGUAGCCGUAGUUGUAGCCAUCGAGAACCACCGUGGGAAUGAAGAACGAGGAAAUAAAAAAAAAUAAAGAAUGAAGAAGACAACGCGGGAGGCGGAAGCUGCAGCCACCGAACCAAUGCCGGCUGCCGCGGCCACAGCCACCGAACCGACGCCGGCUGCAGCCGCCGAGAACCAAAGCCGAAGAUCAUGAAGAAGAACGUCGGCAAAAAAAAAAAGAGUAAAGAAGAAAUUUGUACCUGUGAGCAAUAUUGAUGCAGUCAUGAGAAAAGACAAAAGUUUGAAGGAAGAAGCCACUUGAUCGGUUUUAUGGGAGAUUGUUUUGGAAUUUUCAAAAAUAAUAAUAAGAGAUUGAUAUUUACGUCAGGGGUUUUUAAUUAAACCUGACAGAGCACACUGAACAAAAAGAAAGUCAGGGAUGUUUGCAUGAGAUUGAUACUUUUAAAAUUCAAAUUGCAUGUCAGACGGCUGCCACUUCCCAAGAAAAAUGAGAGAGAGACAUUAAGACAACUGUUUGUUCUCAUCGUAAAAAAAAAAAAAAGGGCGGGAAAAGGAAAAGACAAAGAGAAGAUUUUUUUAGCUCGACAAUACACAAAGUUUAAUCAAUGGAAGAAACUGAGCAAGGUACCCCUGGUCCAGCCAUUCACCAAGCCGAACCCCGCAUCGCCACGUGUCACUCAUACAUCAUAUAAUAAGUUUUUUUUGCCUCUAAUACUUCUCUCUAAAAGAAACUAGGGGGAUGUUGUUUGGAAGAAAAAUAGGAGAGGUAGUAAAGCGCCACGUGUCAACGAACAGAAUAACUCCAACACAAUCUAAGGUACCCGGCAUGAAUUCAGGUACUUCGCAUAAUUAGAGGUACUCCACACAAAUUGAGGUACCCCGCACAAUUCGAGGUACCCUACACAAUCUGAGGUACCCGACAUGAUUCAAGGUACCCCGCACAAAUAGAGGUACCCGACGUGAUAUGAGAUGCCCCGCACAAUUAGAGGUACUCCACAUACAUUGAGGUACCCCAUGUAACUGGAGGUACCGACAGAUUGGAUGCAAGAGAACCCUCUGAAAAAGUCCACCAUGAGAAACGUCUCUACCUUUUAAAAGAUAUUAUUCGAUUUUGUCAAAAUUAUCAAUAAAAAAACGUCGUGCUAAAAGGGGGGGACAGCCGCCUGCCACCUCUGCCAAAAGUGAAGGACAUUGUCCCAAGGACAGUGGUCCUCAACCGCCUACCUGACAGCUACUGUAGAGGUACCUUAGACUAUUCUCCAGUGCGCGCCACGUCUCCAAAGGAUGAGAUAUGCCGUGAACAUGCACAAAACGGCCUAAAAAUCAUAAAAAGGUAAAAAGACAUUAGCAAAAAAUGGUACGCCACGUGGCAGCUGAUGUACUCCAUAUAUAAAGGUACCUAGGUUUCAUUCUCCAUCAUACUCUAAUUCACCAACAACACUCACACUCCAUAAAAUAGGUUUUCUUCAACCUUAAAACUUAAUUUAUAGAGGGCUAGCAAGCUCUCUUGGCCAUAAAAAGCUUGAGUUUGCUAACUUGAGCGUCAGAGUGUGAACGUCGGAGUACCCCGGCUUCACCUCUAACCUCUAUUUCACUAUUUUGCAAGCGUGAAGCUCAUUUGGAAUGACUUUUUUCUUGGUUCAGACCUUUCUCCAUUGUUGCCACUCCCUCUUCCCUUCUCACCUCCCCGAAUUUCAGAUACACCGCACACAACAAACCAGUGAGGUAACCCGUCUCCCCCAAAAAUACAAAUUCAUUGUUCUAGCUAGGUUUGACUUUUCCUACCCCAAAAUCUAUCGAAAACAGUAGGCAUGGUGGUUUGAUGGGAAUUGAGAGCAUAUCGAGCAUUUUCAUUAAAGCUCUUGUAGAUUUUAUGACUAAAUCUGUAUAUAGUAUUUCAACAUCUACAUUUUUUUCUUAUAUCUUGAGACCAAAAGGACAUCACCAAUGUCAACAUUAUGGAAAAAACAUUAAAAACAAAAAGACAAACCAAAAACCUAUAUACAUGAACUCAUCCAACUCACCAUUAAUGUUCGAAUUAAUUUACACCAGUAGUCUUACAGCAUGAGUCAUAUAAUCACCCAAUGAAAGGCUCAUCUAGCACUUUCUUCUUGAAUCACAACUUUACUAAUAGCUUUGUUUAGUGCAUUUCUUCUUUUAGCUUAUCUGAUGAAUGUGUUUGGGGUGUAUAGCACCCUGAUUAGAGGCAACCCACCAGGAUUCCCGUGCUCAUAGGCGAGGAGCUACAAAAUGUAUCCCAGUAGGAUUCACGUGCUCAUAGGUGAGGAGCUACAUGAUAUACUCAUGUAGGAUUCACGUGCUCAUAGGCGAGGAGCAAUCUUGUACAUCUGAUAGACGAAGUACGAGAGGGUUCAAAAAAGAAUCCAGGUGCUAAAGGACCCAGUCAAUGGUAGUUAUCGACACGUACUCUCGUUUCACAUCGAAAGACCCGACGUAGUAAUGAACGUGGGGGAGUGGGAAUUGAGCGCCCAAGUAAUAAGCUAUAAAAGGGACUUUCGGGUUAGACAUUGAGGGGGAUUCUUUUUCCUCUCACUCGGCGAGAUUAAAUCCAUAGGAUCAUUUUCCCUCUCUAACCACUGAGAAAUUUCUCUUUCUCUCAUGACUUCUUUAUCUUUAAAAUUGAUUAUUUUGAAUUCUUUUCCUUUAAAUUUACUUAAAAGCUUUUUGUUUAAAACAAUCAUAAUUAAGCCACAUGAAUUGUGGUAUGGGUUUUUUCAAAUAGACCCAAAUCGCUGACUUGAGCGUCGGAGGGUUCUCGCCGGAAAAACUUUCGGCACCUGCUGACUGUUGGCUGUGCUCACAGGCUCACAGGUUAUCUGGUCAAGGAUCGUCUGCUCAUGGAUCGUCCGCUCAUGGGUGGUCUGCUCAUGGGUGGUCUGCUCAUGGGUGGUCUGCUCAUGGAUCGUCUGUUCAUGGAUCGUUUGCUCAUGGAUCGUUUGCUCAUGGAUCGUUUCCUCAUGGAUUGUCUGCUCAUGGGUGGUCUGCUCAUGGAUUGUCUGCUCAUGGCUCGUUUGCUCAUGGAUUGUCUGCUCAUGGGUGGUCUGCUCAUGAAUUGUUUGCUCAUGGGUGGUCUGCUGAUGGAUUGUCUGCUCAUGGAUCGUCUGCUCGUGGGUUGUCUACUCAUGGAUCAUUUGCUCAUAGAAAAUAUGCUCAUUGUGCUAACUAAUCAGCGGCUUCCCACCAAACAAAUUUAAUGAUGAUGCAGGAAUCUGAGAUCUGACCAACUCAUCCGAAUUUCGACAUCAACAGAAUGUACUCUGCCACUAUCACAUGGAACUUGGGAGCGAGCUUACUUGAAGAGGAAACAUUCAGCCCUGCUUUCUUCAAGGCCCUAUUAACAUGUUUCUGAGCCUUUUGGAAGUGGACCGAGCAGAGAGCAGGCGAAGUGGAUUUAAUUAUCGGCUUUCCACAUGUUAUGGGACCUUGCACAGCGCUAUAUGCGUACAAACAAGAAGAAAAAUUAUCAAUUUCAAGUCAUUUCUAAUCGUUUGGCAUUUUUGGUUAAACUUAUGGAUGCAUGUCACUUAUUUCAAAAUUUUGUGAACUCAGUUUGUAGUUGGUCAAAUAUUAAGGGAUCUGAAUUCUGAGAUCAGCCAGCAAAAGUUACCUAAUUUAUCUGAUUAUAUGUUUUUAUCAUUGCAUUUGAUCAAUGACAAAUGUUGAGGAUUUAGUAGAAAAUAUUUUCUUCAACUUUUAUAAAGAAAUUGCUAAUAAGAAGAAGCGUAAACUCAAAUGAUAUAAAACAAUGAAAAUUUUGAUAGAGCCAGCAAAUUGUUUCUGUUUUAACCAUUCAUGGCCUCUAUUUACACUUUCAAUUUCGACUGCUGUAUCAUGGCUCGGCAUACAGCAUAUUAUACUUAUGUUUUAAUUGGGUAAAUUGGCUGUUUCGUACAGGUGUUAUUAAAAAAAAAACAUUUAAUCUGUUUAAAUCCAAUUAAAUGAGGUUAAAAUACAAUAUCUACCAGGACAAGGCCGUUUUGAAUUCUUAAUUACGUUCAUUUCUCGUCUAUAAUGAGCCCUCUUUGAGAUAAAACACAUACAAUCAAGCAAUCUGGCAGGCAUCAAGAUUAUUCAAUCGUUCAAGAUGAAUGCUCGUUUGCUUGUUAGCAGUAGUAGUACUGGGCAUCCUCUCCUCAUUGGUGCCUCCUACAGCAGCAGUUUCCUGGAGCAAUGUGCAUCAAAAUUAACACCAAACUAUGGCCAGGAGAUUGAAGCAGGCAUGUACAAAGAUGGAAAGGAGAAGAACAAAGUACUUUCUGCUAAUUGCUGCGAUCAACUUAUAGCUGCAGGAUGGGAUAUUGGGAUUGUCAUGAAAAAUUUGUGGAGGUAACUCCACCUUUUCACAAUCAAACUGAAGCUGUGGCUAAUCAAAUUUGGCAAGGUUGCGUAUAUAGAUAUGAUUAUUGACCUAUUUGGUACUAAUAUCUCUCAAUGGGAUGUAAUCUCACACUUUUAAGAAAUAAUAAGAAUAAUUAUUAUUAAUUAGUCUUGUACAUGCAAUCAAUGUUGAAACUGAACAAUGUACCAUUGAACUCCAACAAUCAUAACAAAUGCCAAUGCAUUAGCAUGGAGUCUGAAUGUAAUAAACAGGGCAAUAACACAAAUAAUACCUUGGAAGUAGGCACCACCGUGCAAAUGGUAAAGUCUCAACCUGAAGAGGAAACAGCUUCCUGACAACUCUCUGCUUUGGAAACAUUUGCUUCGUCUUCAUGAAAACUGGGAGCUUUAGGAGUGAGUCCAAGAACCUUGAACAUGAGUUGAUCAGCAACGAAAUUGUUGUUCAGAGUUGUCAAAAGUUUCUCGCCAGUAAAGAUGGAAUUAGCACCGGCAAGAAAACACAGUGCCUGCUCUGGCAUGGAAGAACGAAUUCUUCCAGCUGAUAAUAUGACCAUUGCUUUUGGCAUGACUAUACGUGCUGUAGCAAUCAUCCGAAUCAUCUCCCAUAUUUCAACUGGCUGAACAUGGAAUUAGGAAAUCGACUUUGGUUAUUUCCAAGCAUAGAGUAACUUUUCAUGGACAUGGAAAGCUUUUUAGAUGCUCUUUAACAAUGAUGGCUGCCUUUUACAACAACACAGUGAGGGUAAAUAUGCUGAAGUAUAUCAUUCUUCCAAGCAAACACUACUCUAGAAACUUUUAUUAUUGGCAAUUUGUAUCAGACUACGUGGGUUUCACCAACAAUUUAUAUUAAAGAGCAAUAAAUGAUAAGAGAGAAACAACAUCAAUGACAGAAUAUGCUUGCAGUAAAAUAUAAUAUAUGCUUGCAGUAAGAUAUGAUAUAUAUAUAUUUAUAUAUAUUCCACCAAAACAUUAAAUGGUAUUGUGUUAAACAGGAAUAAAAUCACCUUCUGAUCUUGAAGAGGGGUGCCUUUCACUGCAAGCAGCGCAUUGAUGGGAACACUCUCUGGAUGAGUAGGGAGUGUUGCUAGUGUAUGCAACAAACCAACUCUGUCCUCCUCUGCUUCUCCAAGCCCUAUUAUACCACCUAUGAACAGAAAAUCAAAUACUCAUUGUCAAGAUCUGUUUAUCUUUGCAUUGAAAGACGAAAAAAGAAAGAUCUAUCAUCUAUUUGACAAUGAGGUUGAAGAAUGUUUGGUGAAUUUUAACAAUGGCACCUUGAAGUUAGAACAGAGAAUUGCAUGACUACCAAACUAAAAUGAAACACUUAUGCAAAUAUCAUUGAUUUCAGUUCAUUUGAUGAUUUUGAGGCUUGAAAAAGGCAUUGCUUUGAAGGUUAGGAUUCCCAACUGAGACACAUGUUAAUUUCAAGUGAUGUUUGCAAAGACAAUCUAACUCCACAGACAAUAUCCUACCAAGCUUUAUUUAAACAAACAAAAAAAACAAAGUAGCCAUCAUCAUAGCCACCUCUUGAAUAAACAGAUUAAUUGUUUCCUUUCUAGAAUCUUAACACGUUUGGAAGGUUAUACCAGGAAUCUUGAAUCAACUCAGCAGUGUUAAUUUUAUUUUAUUUUUUAAAUUCUAACAUGUUUACCAAUGUAUUCUUUAUACAAACAAUCAACCUAGUAAAAGAGAAUAAACCCUUUAACGAAAUUUCAAACUCUCUGUUCAGCGAAACUGAAAUUCAACUGAACCCAGGAACUUAAAACUCUGGUAUCUGUUGCCAAUGAUGGAGAUAAGUGAUAUUUGUGCUCACUUAAGAGACUUUUAGUAGAUUUAGUAACUAAUUACAUCUCAAUCCUAACCCUGGCCUCUUUGACAUGACUAAUACUUAAAAAGCUGCAAAGGACAAAAACCACCAACAGCAUAUGGAAUUGUAUCAUAUGGUUUGGCACCAAUAUGAACCCUAGGUGAUGAGCUUGUCUACCUUUCAGAAGGGGUACAUAUCAUCUUAAAAGUGGAUAUGAUCUUUCUCUGGAGGUUAAAGAAAGCCAUACAACAUAAAAAUUCUUCCUUCCCUUUUCUACUGUUUUUCACCAUUUAAUUUCUCAAUUCGCCCAUUCAACCAAUAGAAGGUGGCAAGAUAAAAGUCCACACAGAAAAAAUGCUCAAUAAGAUAGCAUAAUCAACACUAUAGUACAAAAUUACCUGAACAGACAUUAAUCCCAGCUUCACGGACAUGCUUAAGGGUUUCCAAAUGUUCAUCAUAACUACUUGUAGUAAUGAUUUUGGGGUAAUAUUCUCUUGAGGUAUCAAGGUUAUGGUUGUGCGCUGUAAGGCCUGCUUUCUUGAGUUCUAUAGCCUGCUGCUUCUCCAGCAUGCCCAAGGUGCAGCAAACCUCCAUUCCCAUGUCCCUCAUACAUGACAGAUUAAAACCCAGCUCAACAUUUGGCGGAUAAGCAAGAAAAUCUAAGACAAAGUUAGUCAAAUUUUCAAAAGCUAUGGCAAACAAUUAAUAGGACAAGUAGCUCAUGAAGCAUUGUAGAAGUUCUAUUACUUUUGAAACGUACGGAAACCCAAGAAAAGAAUUGAUGUUAAAAUUAUGAAUUGGAAAGCAUCAUAACAUAAGACAGAAGCUGUAUUCCAUGUAAUUCUUUUGUUGAAAAGAAAUAUUCGCUGGCUGUGUGUUGUUGCAUAUAACUUGAUAGUAAAAUACAAAAGCAUAUUCAAAUUUCUUGCAUUUAACAAAAUAAAAUUUUCAUCAACCCAGAGUUGACAUUACAUUACAGUCAACAUCUACAGUACUUACAUUGUCCAAGUAUCACAACUGAAUUCAUAGGGGGGAAAAUAAAAAGUAAAGAGAACUGAUAUAAGAAAUAUACAACCCUGUUAAUUAUGGUUCUAAAUAAGUUCCCUUAAUUGUGGAAUUCCCACAUUAUAAUAAUGUAGCAGGCUCAUUAUCUACAACACAAUCAUCCAAUCAAAAGCACGAUUAAAAAUUCACCUCCUUCUUUAACAAUGAGGACUUUCAUCAUGAAUUGCUUUAUUACCUUAUAUCUUUUACGUAUUCAAGUAUUUGGUUGAAAUUGGUUUUCCUCCCUAUUGUGUCUCUCCAUGCAGCACCCAUUCAAAAUCAUGUACUUCCGGCCUCCUUUGCCUGCAAAAGUAUAAUUAUAUUGAUAACAAGCUACUAAGAAACUAGCAUUGUAUCAUGUGAAACACAAAGCUCGUCAAACAAGUUUGAUAGAUAUUUGAAGAAGUUUUCACCAAUAUGGAAAACUGUAAUGGGUAGAUCUCAAUCCAUUCAUAAAGAUAGGCAUUCAAACAAGUUGUCGAUAUAUAAAAUUGAACUCAAAUGUAUAUUAAUAUGAUAUUGCAGUAAUUAGCCUCACAUUCAAAUCCAUAAUUGACUUGGAAAUCCCUCAUAGUAACUGAGUGUAACCAAAAAAAUUAAUCAACACUGCAUUUUUUCUAGUGCUAUGUCCGCAUCAGGAUAAACUAAAUCAGAUUAUUGCCCCUUAAAUGAGCGCAUGGAUAAGAAAAUAGCUUAGGGUAAAUAGUCAUUCAUCAGUACUCUUGUUCUUGUAAUGUUCUCUCCCUUUUCCAACUAAAUUAUCUUGCGGAACUUGUGAAUCACAUUUACUUUUCAAUUAAUUAAAAUCAAGUCUCUCCAUUUUCACAUGUAUAGCAUAUGUGCAAGACUAGUAUCGAGAAUUACUUUCAAAGCUCCGUAAUUUUCCAACCCUGUUCCUAUAUUGCUGCUCUAACACACCGUGAAGCUUACUCGAACUACAGAACAUUUACAAUCAAUUUUAAAAGAAUAUGCCAUUAAAGAAUCAACAACCACCAGCAUCUUGGAUAUAGCAAUUCACAGUGAACUUUGCUGACCUUUUGUACUGCCUGCAUCACGGCGUCUUUAGUCAUAAGCUUUUGGCCCUUCACUCCAGUGUCAUAUCCAGAGGAUUGAGGACAAUAUGAACAAUCCUCACUGCAUCCACCCGUCUUGAUGGAGAGGAGAGUGCACUGCUGCGCUUCCCUGAAGUUAUGAGCAUGUCUGUGAACUUGAGCCUGAAAAAUAAAAAGAACCUCCUACCUAGUUGCUCAAUCGGUAACAAUAAGUUUGCAUAUAGUUACUUUUAAAAAAAAAAAAAAAAAUCAACAGUGUAUUAUUGCCUACAAAUAAAUUUUAAACCAAAAAGAUCUCGCAGGGCAUUAUGUUCUUGGAAAACAUGAUACUCCUCUUCUACUCCAAAAGACUAAUACCAGACACUUUUGUCAAAAACUGUUUUUGAAAAUCAUUAGACAACACAUUUUUCAAAUAUUCUAAGUUUCCUGUUUUCAUUCUUGAGAAUAAUUUGUGAAAAAAGAAAAAAUUCUAAAAUAAUCCCAAAGCAUUAAAAGAAAAAAAAAAAAACAGAUACCAGCCCACUAAAACUGCAAAAAAUACAUUAGCAGAAUGGGGGUUCUAAAUUAAAACAAAAAUAAGAAACAAAAACAUAUUGAAUGAGAGAAGUGAAAAAUACAGACUCCAUGGAAGAGGAGAUCGAGAACAGGAGAGUCGUAGAUAGAUUUGAUGUCAUUUUUAGACCAAUCGUGUCUGGGACCUUCACGUAUUGUUCUUUCAGCUUCAAUGGCAGCAGCCGAGGCUGAGUAACACGAGCAAGAAGAAUGCAAUGCCAGAAAUUUCUUUGAGGGUCUUAAACUUAAACUACGUUGCGAACGCAGUAACGAUCGAAACGACAUCAUUUUGAUUUUUUUUUUCCGUUGCUGGAGCUGCACUGGAUUUUUGGCGAUGAAAACUAGGAGUGUCAAUCGAGAGAGAAGAAAGAAGAAUAAGACGAAAAGUUAGAUAGCCACUUGCUACCGACCUAAUUUUUUUGAACUUUGAAGGAUAUAGGCAUAUACGUGGCUUUGUUUCUUAAACUAUAUUUGUAAUUACAUCUAGGUCGCUAAUUGCUUUACUAUUUCUCAAACAAGAGCAUAGUUUCUCUAUUUUUAUCAUAUAGGUCCUAGUAAUAGUUCCUUCUUGUUUAGAUGUACGGAGAGUACCGACAAUACUCUCCACCCAUUUUUUUUGAAAGGUACUGCAAGAACGAUCACCCAAAAAUUAAGUGAAAAAUAAGAUUUUAUUAUUUAUUUAAAAAAUUAUAUUAACUUUUCAAAUUUUAAAAAAUCUUUUUAAUUAAGAUUUUAAAAUAAGAGAUAUUCUUUCUUCGAUUUUAUAAGGUGCUUUCUACAUCUUUAAUUUAUAUUUUAUUAUUUUGUAUUAAAAAAAAUAAUUUAAUUACUAUUUAUUUAAAAAAAUAAUUAUUUAAUUCAAAUAAUUUUGAUAAGAAACUUUUUAAAAAAUAUAUUUUUUCACAUUUUUAUUUAUCACAUAAGUAAGUAAAUAAAUAUUUAAAAAAUAAAAUUAAUAGUAUUUUUUAAUGAUGCUCUAAGUAUAUAUUUUAUUAGGGGUUGUUUGUUACUAGGUCUCCACAUUUAUUAAUUCAGUUAUUUUGUAAACCACUUCUUGGUGGAAUGCCGGUAUAUUUUUUAAGAGUUGGAUUAUUGGCACCCCUCCAUAAUUCUUUUAAAACCCCUCUUCUAUUAUAAUUACAUUUUAGGACAAUAUUAUAAUAUAUCUCAUAUCUAUUUUAUCUCAUUUCAAACUUUUGUUUUUUCUCUCUUUAAAAAAAAAAAGAAAAAUUCUUAUAUUUUCUCUGCUAUCACAUUCACACAUGUAAUUUUUUUCUCAAAUUCUCUAUAAAUUUUUCUUCAAUUAAUAAGAUAAUGUAUUGAUAAUAAACAAAACACAUUCUGAUAAAAUUGUCUUACUUUUUUUUAAAUUCAUACUAAAACUUUUUACAUCAUAAUCUUAGAGAUAAUUUAUUUGAUUCAUUGAUUUUUAUAAAGAAGUUUAUCACUGAUAAAAAUUAUUUGUGAGGAGUGAGAAAAAAAUAAAAAAUUAAAAGAUUCACAAAUUAAAUGUGUUUAUUUAGAAGUAAGGGUAAUUUUGACAUUAUGUCUAAUAUAAUUGAAAAAGGGGUUUUAAAAGAAUUUUGGAGGAGUGUCAAUAGUCCAACUCAUUUUUUAAUGCACUUUCUUGACUUGGCUUAUGAUGGACCUGUUUUGUAAUAGCCUUCAACCAUGGGUUGCUUCUCCCUGACCUAUGAUAGGCUCUAUUGGCACCCCUCUAUUUUAUUUAUAAAACCCCUUUCCUUUUGUAUUUAUAAUUCUAUCGUUUAUAUAUCAAACGCAAAAAUUCAUCUAAUUAAACGGAAUUUGCUAUAAACUAAGUUUAAUUCACUUUAUAAUUUUUGUUUGCGAGAAAAAUAAUUUUGUGAAGUAUUGUUAAUUUUAUGAGCUUGUUAAGGUACAUCCAAACCUUCUGGUUAUUCAUAAAUUAUCUUCUUCUUUGUCGAUUCUAAAGAAGAGUGCAUACUUGUAUUACAAAAACACCAUAUGUACAUUUGAGGGUUUAACUUUAAAGUAGGAGAAUAAUAGCAGCAUAGCAUUACUAGUUGGGAGGUUAUUGAGGAGGUUUAUAAAAAGAGAAGGGAUUUGAUGAGGAUGAUAGAGGGGCGCCCAUAGCAGAUAGCACCAUUCUAUGAAUGUUUGUAAUGUGUUCCAAACGCCAAUUUUUUGGGUGCGCUCAAAUCUAUGUAUUGAAAGUCGAACUCCAUAAUUUAUAAUAUUGUCUUAUUGUUUCGGUUUAAGGAUAUAAUUAUGUAGCAUAAAUAAAUUGAUUGAUAUAGUUUUAAAUAUUUCUGAUAUCAAUGUCUAAAUGUUUAUCUAUAUCUUCUUUUUAUAAUAAAAACAUUUUUAAUGUAUUGUACAUUACUUAGCUAUCUCAGAGAAUUGCUCAUUUGUGCGUGGACUUGUAAUUGAUUGAUAAUUGUAUAUAUUUGUUGUCAAUAUUAUUAAAUGUUAAAAAAAAGACAAAUACACUUUGGUGAUUUUUUUUUUAAUUGGAUAGAUUUUGCAUAAGAAGAUUUCAUGAACAUAUUCUCAUACUCAAUUAAUAUAUUUCAAAUUCACCAAAUAAUUAAAGAAAGGGUGGGGUUCUUUAAACCCCUCAAAUUUCUUUCUAAACCCAUUUUUUAAAUAAACUCGUAACUAAAAUUUAAAAAUAUUAAUUUCAUUUCUAUUCAUUUGAGAAUUUCAAAAAUAACCCUCAGUAGAAUUUCUAUACAUUGAUAUUUUUCUAAUUGUUCUUGAUUUGAACUAACAAAGAGACUUGCCUUUGUCAAUUUGAAAAACAUUUGACAUCAUGUAGAGAUAAAUUUCAGUUAAUCAUCUUCAAUCAAACCUUAUUUGAAUUAUAAAAUCAUUUUUUAAUGUUGGUAUUUGCACUAAUUAUUCCUUUUGAAAGGGAGAGGAACUUGCACAUUCCCAAAUAUUCCUUUAAGAAGUUACAAACCAAACGAUUUACUAGUUUCUAUUGUUUAAUGUAAACUCCAGGAAUUGAAAUAUCAAGAGAUAGUUUCAUCUUGUGACACAAUUUUUUUUAAAACUAUCAAAAAAUAUUUUUGAUAUACCAUUUAUGCAAAUAUAAGAAACUAUUUAUCUGUAAAUUUGAAUUAGAUUUCUCUCAUCAACUAUCAUAUUUUCAAUAUAAACUAAAACAACUCACGCUAGUUUAAAUAGAUGGAUGCUGAAAUAUGAAGUAAUUUUGAUACUAACAUGUUUAUAUAAGUAAUUUUAUCAAAGGAUAUUUUAGAGAAAAAAAUAUGUUGACUAAAGAUAAACUCUAGUUGGUUAGUAAACAAGUUCAUUUUUAUAGUAAACGAAUCAAAUUUGAUUUUAGAACUUUUUUGUUAAAAAAUCUGACUACUAAAUAAAAAUAAAUUUGAUUUCACUAAAUAAAAAAAUUUGAUUACUAAAUAAAAAAUACAUUUACUUCCUAAAUAAAAAAUCUAAUUACUAAAUAAAAACUAAAAUAUUUUACUAUAAAAAUUGACAAGUUAUAAGAGAUAUUUUACCUGAUCAAUUUUAAUUCAAUUAAGGCAUGAUAGUUUUUUAAUUUAAUAGUAGAAAGUUAACGGGUUGGGUGUGUGGUUUUACAUAAAAAGUUAAUAGGUGCAUAUUGAUAUUUGUCAAAACAUUUGGGUGUGCAUGGAAAUGAACCUUUCCAAAUGUUAAAAACGGUUGCCCAUGAUUAAUUUCUAUUCUGACCUUUAAUCUCAACCAUCCCAUUUCAGUCUCUAGAUCCAACGAAUCAAAAAUGCAUGGCUGUUACGUACAGUUUCUGUAACGUAGCCAGCUCCUUUUCAAUGAAUUUUAUUGACUUGGCUUAUGAUGAACCUGUUUUGUAACCGUCUUCAACCGUGGGUUGCUUUUCUGUACCUAUGAUUGGCUCUAUUGGCACCCCUCUAUUUUAUUUAAAAAACCCCUUUUGUUUUGUAUUUGUAAUUUUAUCGUUUAUAUAUCAAACGCAAAAAUUCAUCUAAUUAAACAGAAUUUGCUAUAGUUUUAUUUACUUUAUAAUUUGUGUUUGUAACAAAAAUAAUUUUUUGAAGUUUUCAUAAUUGUUAAUUUUAUGAAAUUGUUAAGGUACAACCAAACCUUCUACUUAUUAUUAUUUUUUAUAAUGAAAAACUUAAAUAAAUUAAAAAAAAUAUCCAUGAAUCAUCAUCUUCUUUUUCCAUUUUGAAGAAGAGUGCAUUCUAGUGUUGCAAAACGGUACAUUUGAGGGUUUAACUUUAAAAUAGGAGAAUAAUGGCGAGAAUAAUAGCAGUAUAGCACUACUAUUUGAUAGGUUAUUGAGGAGGUUUAUAAAAAGAAAAGGGAUUUGAUGAGGAUAACUGAGGGAUGCCAGCAGCACUCUAUAAAUGUUUGUUUGUAAUGUGUUUCCAAUGUGAAUUUCUUGGGUGCGCUUAAAUCCAUGUAAUGAAAGUAGAACUUAUAAUUUAUAAUACUAUCUUAUGGUUUCGGUUUAAGGAUAUAAUUAUGUAGCAUAAAUAAAUUGAUUGAUAUAGAUUUAAAUAUUUCUAAUAUCAAUCACUAAAAGUUUAUCCAUAUCUUUUUUUUUUUUAAUAAAAACAUUUUUAACGUAUUAUACAUUACUUAGCUAUCUGAGAGAAUUGCUUAUUGAGGUAUGGACUUGUAAUGGUCAAAAAAAUGUCAAUAAUGAAAAUGAAAAGCAAUAAUCUGAAAACUAGUAGAGCCAAGUACUGGGCAAGAAGGAGUUAGCCUAGGGUAUGUUUUAAAGACUUAGAAGAAAUGAUGAGAAAGCUUAACUCACUUCAUUGAUUUACAAAUACCAAUAUAUACAGCAAAGAGUGCAACAACUACUUAUAUUAUUGGUUUGUUACAACUGAAUAUAUUUUUACAUUCAAAUACUUUGAACAGGUAAACUCCUAUAAUCAUGGAGGAGAAUCCUCUAUCAUGCCCCCUCAAGAUGGACUUCUUGAAAGCAGUCCGAUCUUGCGUCGAAGUUGAAGGAAGCGUGGUCGUGGGAGAGCUUUUGUAAGAGCAUCAGCUAGCUGAUCAUUAGAUGAUACAUGUGCUACCCGUAAGGAACCGUUUUGAACUUGCUCCCUGAUAAAAUGAAAAUCAAUGGUAACAUGAUUCAUCCUUGAGUGAAAUAUUGGAUUAGAACACAACUGAGUUGCUCCCACAUUAUCGCAGUAAAUAACUGGACAAUUAGGCACUCUAAUAUGCAGGUCUGUUAAUAGUGAACAUAUCCAAGUAAGCUUGGCUGUUGUAUUGGCAACGGAGCGAUACUCAGCUUCGGUGGAAAGAUCGUGCCAAUGUGCGUUGUUUCUUCGAACACUAGGAUACUAAGUUUCGACCAAGAUAUACCAAGUACGCACCUGUCGAUGAAAAAUCAUCUUUGUUGCCUGCCCAGUCGGCAUAAAAAAAAGGCAUGUAUACUAGUGGAAGAAUGAUGAUAUAAUUGAAUACCCUCAUUAACAGUACCUGCCAAAUAUCGAAGGAGUCGCUUGACACAGGUCCAGUGGUCAGUUGUCAAACAAUGCAUAUAUUGUGAUAAGCGAUUGACCACGAAAGCUAUGUCUAGCCUGCUGAUUAAAAGAUAUUGUAGACUGCCCAACAUAGCACGAUUUUCAGUGGCACCAUCCAGGGGAGUGCCAAAUUGUGACGUCAGCUGCGUAGUGGUUGAAAGAGGAGUGAGUACCGAUUUCGCUGCCGUCAUGUUUGCUCGAUUUAAUAACUCCAGUAUAUAUCUUCUUUGAGACAAGAUCAACCCCUGGUCAUUCGGUACAACUUCAAUGCCCAGAAAAUAUGCCAAUUUUCCAAGAUCUUUGAGAGAGAAUUGCUUGGCAAGAAGAGCUAUAAAUUCAUUGAUCUUGAGAGGCUUGUCCCCCGUGAUUAUUAGAUCAUCAACAUACACAAUGAGAUAUAGAAUAUGUGUGCCAUCAUUAUAUACAAAUAGCAAUGUAUCAGCCAUAGAAUUUUUGAACCCGAAUUGAAUAAGAAAUUAUCGUAGUUUAUUCUACCAGGCGCGUGGAGCUUGCUUUAGUCCAUAGAUGGCCUUUCGAAGCUUGCAGACAUAGUUAGGUUUGUCACCAUCUAUGAAUCCUUGAGGUUGAGCCAUGUAUACAUCCUCAUACAAGUGCCCUUGAAGGAAUGCAUUAUUUAUGUCUAGUUGGCGUAGCUCCCAUCCAUGACUGACUGCAAUGCUUAGAACAAUACGAACUGUUGUUGGCUUUACAACCAGACUGAAAGUAUCAUGGAAAUCGACCCCUGGUCUUUGAUGGAAUCCUUUGGCCACCAAGCGGGCUUUGUACCUGUCAACAAAGCCAUCAAAAUUUCUUUUUAUUCGAAAAAUUCAUUUACACCCAACAAGAUUAUGAUUUGGAGAUGGUGAAACAAGAUCUCAUGUCCCAUUCUUAACUAAAGCAUUAAACUCAUCAUACAUUGCUGGUCUCCACUUGGAGUCUUUUAACGCUUGAGUCACUGUGGUUGGUUCAAUUUCAUUUGUGAUGGCAAGUUGAGCAAGGAGAUUCAUUCUGCGAAUAGGUUUAUGAAUAUUAUUUUUAGAUCUGGUGACGAUGGUGUGAGCGGGUGGCAUUGAUGGUUCUAGGGUUGUGAUUGUGGUGUGUUGAGAUGCACAAGGUUGUAUUUGAGGAGCUUCAGCCGCAGAUGACGUAGUGAGUGGCGGAGUAGUUGUGGAGAUAGGUAUUUGUAGGGGAGGAGGAAACCAAGUGGCUAUUGUGUGUGAUUGGUUUAUGAACUCUUGUGGUUUUUGGUGGACGAAUGAAAAUAUAGACUCUACAAACUUGACAUGUCUAGAGACGUAAACUUUGGAGGAACUUGUAUCACGACACAAAAAUGCACCCUGACUUGUCGAAUAACCAAGAAACACACAUGGUUUAGAAUUAGACUCUAGUUUGUGAACCGUAUAAGGUCUGAGCCACGGGUAGUAAAGACACCUAAAACUUCUGAGUUUGUUGUAAUUGGGUUUUGCCUUAAAAAUUUUCUCAUAGGGUGAAUAAUAUUAGAGGGUUGGUGUGGGCAUUCUAUUUAUGAGGUAAACAGCGGUGGCAAAGGCAUAUGGCCAAUAUUGUAAAGGUAUUGAUGCAUGGGACAAAAGUGCAAGACCAGUUUCGACAACAUGCAGAUGGCGACACUCAGACAUACCAUUGUGUUCUGGGGUGUGUGGGGGAGUGGUGAGAUGAGAAAUUCCAUUUGUAGAAAGAAAAUUAGUUGGUGCAAUGAAUUCACCACCAUUGUCAGAGUAAAAGGUUUUGAUGGGUUUUUCAAAUCGUUUUUCAACAAUGGCCUUGUAUCUUAUAAAAACUUCUUUGACAUCAGAUUUGUUUUUCAAUGGGUAAAAUCAAAUAUAUUUUGUGUAGUGAUCGACAAAAAUAACAUAAUAUUUGUAUCCAUUAACAGACACCACAAGAGACAUCCAAACAUCAAUGUAUAUAAUUUCAAGAGGAUGUGAAGAUGAUAUUGUAGAUUUUGAAAACGACAACUUAUGACUUUUAUUUGACAAACACGCAUUACAAUUGACAUCAGACAACAUAGAAGACGUUACACUGAGUUUAUUGGAAGACAUAAUUUGUUUUAAAAUGGGAAUGGCAGGAUGUCCUAGCCUAUGAUGCCAAUUAUAAGACGAGGUCGUGACACUUGAAAAGGAAAUAAUUGGGGUGGAGUCUGGCCACUCAUAUACGCCACCUUUAGCUUGACCCUUCAAAAGUGUUGUCCCUGUGCUGAGUUCCUUCACAAGAAAAGUAUCUGGUAAGAAUUCUAUGGAAGCAUUAUUAGAAUUGCAAAAUUGAUAAAUAGAAAUAAGAUUUCUCUUCAUGCUUGGAACACAUAGGACAUUGUCUAGAAGAAAAGACUUAUGAUGAGAGUUUAAAGUUGUUGAACUAGUGUGAGUUAUUUGUAACUCAGAUCCAUCCCAUAUCAUUAUAUCAUCACCUACUCUGUACGGGUUAUGUAAAGAGAGAUUUUCUAGAUCAGCUGUUACAUGAUGCGAUGCACCACUAUCUAGGAGCCAGGUUUGAUUGUUGUUUAUUAUGGCUACAUAAUUUGCUUUUGGCUACCAUGGGGUGGAUGACUGGUUAUUGUUUGACUGCACAGGUUGCAAUUUGUAGGAUGGACGUUUCUUGGCAGUGUGCCCUUGAAUGUGAUAGAGUUGGCAGUAGCCAAGGUAUGGGCGUUGUUGUCGCUGAGUGGAAUUGUUGUUUUGGGGCACUCCUGUGUUGCGGUUUGGGUUGGAGGAGUUUUGGUUGGUUUCGCUGUUGAUACACUAAUUGUUGUUGGUACGAGUUGUCACUUGGGCUGUUAUUGGGAACAUUGUUUCAGGUUUUGAAGUGUUUAGAGAUGCCUCAAAAUUGAGUAACUUUUCAUGAAGUUCUUCGAAUGUGAUAAGGGUGUCCCUGACUUGUACAACUCGAACAGCUCGGACCAACUCCUUAUAGUCAUCUCCAACAGCCUCCAGAAUUUUGUCCGUAAGAUCAUCUUCGUCAUAAGGUGCGCCAAGAAGCGUAAGUUCAUUUGCCCGAGCCUUAAUAUUUUGGAGAAAUUCUGUAAUUGAUGCUAACCCUCUAGUCAUUUGUCUAAUCUGGCUUUUAACUUGCUUAAUACGUCCUCUGGAAGGCUUUGCAUAGGUGUUGGCAAGUGUUAUCCACGCUUCUUUGGAUGUUUUGGCAGUGGCCACAAAUGGGAUGAUGUUGGGUGAGAUGGAGCCAAUUAUGGCAUUGAGGAUCAGUUGAUCCUGGCGAACCCAAAGUGAAUGAGCUGGAUUCAGGGUAGUAGUGUUGUUGUCUAUUAUUGUAGCUGAAGGACAAGGUUUAGAACCAUUUAUGUAGCCAAGAAGAUCAUAGCCUACGAAGAGAGUUUGAAACUGCAAUUUCCAUGAUAAGUAAUUGGUCGAUGUGAGUUUGAGAGGAGUUUGUGCAGCUACAUUAAUGGUGAUUAAGGUGUUGUUGAGGUCAUUAGUGUUUCUGAUGGUGGUGGCCAUUGCAGGGUUUACUUUCCAGAAAUAAGGAGAAAAAGGGAGAGCCUCUAGUGCUCUGAUACCAUAAAGACUUAAAAGAAAUGAUGAGAAAGCUUAACUCACUUCAUUGAUUUACAAGUACCAAUAUAUACAGCAAAGAGUGCAACAGCUACCUAUAUUAUUGGUUUGUUACAAUUGAAUAUAUCUUUACAUUCAAAAUACUUUGAACAGGUAAACUCCUAUAAUCAUGGAGGAGAAUCCUUUAUCAUGUUUACAUUUAGUUUCCACCAAUAUUUCAAAAUUACCGAAUAAGGCCACUUAAUAAAAAGUUGAGAAAAUAAAUAUUUAUUGAUUUAUUUCAAACAUUGCAUGUGUUAGGAGCAUUAAAUGUGAAAUUUUGUGAAAGAAAAAUCUCAUCAACUCUUUGCUUCACAAUUUUAAACUUUGACACGUGAUUAAAAUAAAAUUUAUAUAAAAAAGAAAUAUAAAUUAUUUGUGUUCAUAUUUUACCGUAUCAAUAUAAAGAAUAACUUUCUAACAAAUGAUCGGUUGUUGUUGUUAUUAUUAUUAGGCUAUGACUAUGUUGGAACAGAUCUACGGUGGAGUGCGAAUCUCAACCACACACGCAAAAUGAUAAAUAAUAAAAAAUUUAUUAUAAUUUUAAUCGAGUGGUUAUGAAAGAAUGCUCUACUUUAGAACAACUCCAUCAUAACCAAACCCUUAUUAUUAUUAUUAUUAUUAUUAUUAUUAUUAUUGAGAAAAAGAGCAAUAUACUAAAUUAGAAAAAACACGCGCGCUGAUGCAAUGUGUUUUUUCAGAAGCAUUGGAUUUCACCUUUUUAUCUGAAUUGUGAAAAGGGCAAAAACAUCUGUUCACUUGAAAUUCCGCGUGACAGGCACGUGUCCUGGAUGAGGCCGAAAAUACAAUUGCUUAUUAUCUUGCUUUCCUCCUUGAGUCGGCAUUGGCUUUCUCUUUGGCCAGUUUUUGUGAAGUUUGUCUUGUAAUUUCAUUUCAUUUCUGGAUUUGCUUAGUGCGAAAACCACUGGGUUCUAAGAAAACAAGGUGUUCGGUCAAUUGUCUAAAAGAAGUCUACAACGCUGCCCAUUACCACCUCCCCCCGUUCACAAUGAGUGGGGGCAACAUAAACUCGGUGUUCUACGCCGGGUCGUAUCAUCCGAUUCAAGCUGGUAGCAUUGACGGCACCGAUAUUCACCCCCACGAUAACGCCAUUUGUCGUGCUCUGCUCUGCUCCUCCGCCGGCCUCUGUAUGUACUUCUAUUUUCUUUAUUCCUUUUCACUCCCCCCACAACUUUUAAGUAUUCCCAGUUCUCACCCAUUUUGCAUCUUAAUCAUUUGCAGAUGACCCCCUCGGUGACCCCAAGGCCAUUGGUGACCCUCAUUGCACUGUCUUUGUGGGUCGGCUCUCUCAUUUUACUUCCGAAGACACUCUUCGCAAGGUAAGCGGUUUUUUUUUUUUUUUUUUUUUAAAUUCCGUUAAUUUUCUUCAUAUUCUGCAGUGUUGCAGAAUUGUAUCUAUUUUGGAUUGAAUUAAUGAGUUGAAAAAAUUAUUGGCAUGUGGGUGUUUUAGGCUAUGAGCAAGUAUGGUAGGGUCAAGAACUUACGGUUAGUGAGGGACAUUGGUAAAGUUGCCGUUCUGAAAAUUGUGUUAUGUUGCCAAUAGUUAUGUUUGGAAUGUAACAUCUAACUUGUUCUGGUGCUUAUUGAUUUGUAUGAUGUGCAGUUACGGGCGCAUCGCGUGGUUAUGCUUUUGUUGAAUAUGAAACUGAAAGAGAGAUGCGCCGUGCAUAUGAGGUAUGUAGCUGAUAAUUUGAUUCUUUCUUGCUUUGGAACUUUGUGACUGUUAUGCAAUUUUUGUUUUGCUCUGAAAUGUGAUUCAUUUCAGAUUCUGUAAUGCACCAUAAAUAUCCACACUUUGAUUAUUUGGCCGCACUUGUGACUGUUGAGUCUCAUAUUGGAUAUUUGCUUGAUAAAUGAGGAAUUUAUAUAAUAUGUUAUGUCUGUAUUAAAAUUGGAGUUAUGUCUAUAUUAAAAUGGGAGUUUUUUACCUUCUAGUUGAGGUUUGUGCACGUCCACAAUUUCAAAAUUAAACGAACUCAAACACAUUGAUCAUCCUGGCUGCAUGCAUGCAUUCAGUGUCCCCAUUGAUAGAAAGUAAAGUGAUGGUUUUUUUGUUUUCAUGUCUGCCAUGCAGGAUGCUCACCACUCCAUUAUUGAUGAUCAUCAAAUUUUAGUUGAUUAUAACAGGCAACAGUUGAUGCCUGGGUGGAUUCCAAGGAGGUUAGGUUAGUUGUUCAUUUUAUUUACUCUGGUCAGCAUCCAAUAAAUUUGAAUCAUAUAAUUUUUGUCUCCUUUUUCCGUCAAGCAGGAGGAGGCCUUGGAGGUAAGAAAGAGUCAGGGCAGCUUCGCUUUGGAGGAAGAGAAAGACCAUUUAGAGCUCCUUUGUAUGUUCCUAAUUUUGGGGUUUUAUGUUUUGUCAUAAAUUUUUUCAUUAUGUGAUUGAAUGGAAUUGUUAGCCUUUAAGCAAUUUUAGUUAUAAUUUCCUCGAAUGAAAAAUGCUUUCUAUUAAAUCUUCUUUCCGUUCAUUUAUUUACUUCUUUAGGUGUUAUAGGCAAUAGAUUCAAUGUUAGUUUUAUUGUUCUUUUUUGUUUGCUUUUGGGUGUUUAGUGGGUGUGUGAGUGGGUGGGGAAGAAGAAAGCUUAAGUGGAGCUACUGGCUGGAACAGGAAAAUAAUUGGAAUCAUCUAACUUUUGAUGGACCGAUGGAAUGAUACCUUGUGUGGACAGACCGUACUCAUUUUUUGUAAUAUUUCAAUAAGUUACAAAUCUAUUUUGUCAAGGAACUAUUUCAUUCCUCUCUUUCCG